GCUGCUGGAGCUUAUUAUGAGAAUCUGCCCGAUGAGGAGAAGAGAAAUGCCAGAUUUUCUUUCAAUGAAAUGGACAAAAACAAAGACGGGAAAAUUAACCUAGAUGAAUACGUGGAGUAUCUCAAGAAAGAUAACAACACGGUUCUUCCAAGCUUGUUUACAGCGCUGGACAAGGAUGGCAAUGGAACCUUGGAUUUUGAUGAAGCAAUCGUCUUGUACUACAUCAUGCAGAGUGGAAGGGCUAUAAUUUGCCAGUCUUGUAAGACGUUCUUGGCAGGAGCAUACUUCACUUGCUCUCAGUGUUUCUUCAAUGAUGAUGAUUCAGUUAGCACCUUUGAUGUUUGUUGUGAUUGUUAUGGUGGUAAAAAGUUCAGACACAACGAUGGGCACAUCUUCUGCGAUAACUAUACUUUACUUUGUCGAAGCAGGAGCGCGACACAAGCGGCCCCCAUUCAGGUAAUUAAUUUUAGAAACUAAAACAAUAAGAUAUUUUUACUAUUUAUUACUAUACAUUUGCCAAAAUUCACUGAUAACUCAUUGUUUAUGGAGCAUUACGUAUGGAGUUUCCUUCAACAUUGGGUUUUGUUUUAUUAUUAUAUUUCUUCUCUGCUUUACAUUUGAAUUCCCAUUCUUCGUAUUGAUUGAAGUUCUUUAAUUCUCUGGAUGAAGAGAUUAAUUAUAUUUUCAAGACUGGCUUCAAAAUAACUAGUGGAAUCCUCAUAUUUUCAUUAAUACAAAUAUUCUCUCCAUCUAAUUGAUAAAUAAAUACUAUAUUAAGUAUAAAAAUAUGUUUGCUUAUAAAAAUAUGAACUCAGCCUCUAAUAUAUCUGCGUAUUAUCUUUUAUUUCAGAAGCGAACCAAGGUGCUUAACAUCCUUAAAAAGGGACUGCAAGUUGCAGGCAUAACUAGUAGUGAUCUUGAAGGCAUAAGUACUGAUAUUGGUGAUGGUAUUGGUGAUGGUGAAGGUUCAUCAAAAUCUAACUGUAGCAUUAUGUGAAAGAAACCAAUGAUGCAUUUUAUCACCAGCCAAAUGCAUCCAAUCGUACAAUAAAUAUUGCCGAUGAGGUAAGAGGAAAUGACUGAAAAUUUACUGGAAACUCUUCAAGUGGGCUCAGAUCCGGUAGAGAAUAAACUCAAGUUACUUUAUAUUGCUGUAUCUUGUUUGUGGCAAUAAUUGUAUUCUCAUGCAUUCGAUCUCCAUAGUCUCAUGUGAACUUUUGGAGGGCAUUGAGAACUUGUUUAAUCUUAAGCUGCUUUUGUGUAAAAUAUCAUGUGGUUAAUGAAGCUUUUCUAGUAAAAUCAUUGAGCACCAUCACAACUGAUUUCAUUUCAUGCAAGACUAACUCAUAUACACAUGGCUUCCGGAUGAAGCGAGACAUUAUCGUGGUACGUGUAUUUUAAAAUUAUGUUUGACUCGAAAUUUAAUGCUUCUGUGGGUUAAUGACCAUGGUUUUAAAAGAUGAGUUCCUCUAGGCAUAGGCUGGAUCCAGUCCAUGAUUCAUGAAUUAAGCGAGUUGACCCAGGAGUGAACCGAUCAAAAGUAAAACAAUGAUGAGUUCCUCUAGGCAUAGCACCCCUAUUUUUUCAUUAUGUCGUUUGAAUUCCUACUUUUCUACUAACAAAUAAUGAAUAAUAGUUAUAUAAUCUCACCGUAAAACAAUUGUUUUAUGGAAAUUCAAAGUUUAAAGCUGCUGCUACUUCUACCAUCUUAAAUGCCAUGCUAAUCUUGGACUAAAAGUGCUCGACUAUUAGUUGGGUGUGGAAACAAAUCCUUAAAGUUUGUGUAUUGCUACGUUGGUAAACCUCAUCCAUUUGCAGAUUCUUGAUAUACUAGAAUGGUUUUAUUCUAAGGGUUUUCAUCGAAUAACAUUAACAUAAGCUGCACAUUAAAAAUCUUAAUAUAUAAAGGUUGAUCAAAACAACAUGAAACUAGAAGUAUAACAACACAAUCAACAGAACCUGGACAGAGAUCAACUAUUGUCUUGUAAAAAAAAAUAUAUAAGAAGCUGCUUUAAUUCGCUAUCAGAAAAUUAGCAAAUAAUAAUGGAAUUACUGACGGAAAAUAUUAUAUUAGUAAUGUUGUAAAUAUGGAGAAGUUAGAGGUGGAAGCAGCUUAUGAUACCAAAGAUAAUAGGAUUAAAGAGUAGCAACAAUUCACUCACAUAAAUAAUGUUCUAUACUCACCUUUUAAAGGUACAAAAUCAUAGAGAUAUAAAGUUAUGAGUUUAAAUUUUAUAACUCGCAGGGAGAUAUAAAAUUGAAUAGGGUGUCAAAAGAUAAAGUUAAAGACUUUUACUCAAAUUUUCACCAAAUAUGUUUAGUACACAGUACAAAUGAUCAUUAUAUCCUUGAAACAACCCUCCAAAUUUAGAGAAAAACAAAAAUGACAUAAUUGAGAUCAAAAUAAAUAACUUUGACUUGAAUCUAGACAAAUAAUAACUAACACAUAUUUUUGACUUGUUGAAAAUAUAAACAAAUACAUAAAAAAUUUAAAAACUAAAACAAUCACUACUACAUCAUAAAAGAAUAAUUAUUCUUAACGCCAUCAUGCUGAACUUUCCUAUCAUAUUACAUGAAUGACCAAACAACAAAUAACAUGCAUCCAUAUGAAUUAUAUCACACCACUAUUUGUUUUUCAAAGAAAAAUAAAACAAGACAUCUAUUUGUUACUUUAUGUUCAUGCUUCUUUUCCUACCAUCUCAAUUUGUAGGGAUGAGGAUAUGCUUCCAUCUUAAGGUUGAGAUUGCUUACCAUAUCAGUAGAUACAACAUUAGUAGAAGCACCAAUUUAUAAAUAAAUAAAAUAAGAGAUGUCUAAUUUAUUUUAUAGAGAUUAAUAGUAUUAUUUAGAUUCAAUAAAAAUACCUGAAAAAUUUCUCUAGAUUUCUAUACAGUUUGAUUUGUAACCUUAAAGCUAGAGAACCAUCUCCAUGACGAUGAUCAAGGGAUACAGGCUGUGUCAGGUGGAAAUUUUUCUCUAGUUUUAUCUUCGCUAUAUGUUGUGUCAGGUGGUAUUAGAGCAGGUCAACAUCCGGAUCAAAGGCAAAUCGUGAAGAGAAUUGUGGAGUAGUUGGCCAAUACAAUCUCUAUGAUGAUGAUCAGGAGAUGCAGGUUGUUUGAGAUCAACUAAAUCAUUAUUCAUUAAUGAUAGCAGCUUUAGAGGGGCAAAUGCAAACUAGGUUGGGUGAAACAUUCUCAUGUAUUAAAAUUAUUUUUAACAAGCAGCUUGUAUUUUAAUAUCAAACACUCAACCCUGAUUUUUGGCACUUGAGAAUACAAUCUCUUUAUCAGUAACAACAUAUUAAUUUUAUACAAUGAAAUUUAAUUGAAAAUUGGAGCCCCUAAGCAACUAAAUAUUAAUUUUAUACUAUGAAAUCUAAUGCAUGUGUGGGUUAAUGACCUAUGGUCAUGGUUUUAAAAGAUGAGUCGAGUCUCCUUUCACUACUAAAAAAUAUAGUAAUUAGCAACUAACUAAUCCGUUGCAAAUAACAUUAAAAUCCGUUGCUAAAACAAUUUAGCAACGGAAUCAGCAACGACAAAUAUCAUAUGCAAAUUUGUCGUUGCUGAUUUUUUAGCAACGGAAUCAGCAACGGCAAAUAUCAUAUGCAAAUUUGUCGUUGCUGAUUUUUUAGCAACGGAAAUUCCAUUGCUAAAAUUAGCAACGGAUUUUUCGUUGCUAAUUUAGCAACGGAAAAUCCGUUGCUGGUUUUGUGAAUCAGCAACGGAUUAUCCGUUGCUGAUUGAUGAAUUAUUUACAAUCAGCAACGGAUUAUCCGUUGCUGACUAUAUUAUUUUUAAUAAAUUAAUUUUUUAUUUAUUUAUCAAAAUGACUUUUAAUUUAUUUAAUUAAUUAUUUAUGGAUAUUUUAAAAAUUGUGGAAUAUAUAUAACCAACAUAAAUUAAUAUUAAAAAUAAUUGUAUCACUAAUAAAAAAUGGAAUAAAAAUAAUAUUCAUAUUAUAAAAAUUUAGUUAAACUUGAAUUAAUACAAAUAAGUUGAAAUACAAUAAAAAAAAACAACAAAAGAUACAAUCAUGGUGCUGGUUGCGGAGACGAACCAUGAUAUUUUGGAUCUACACAAAAUGAACCAGGAUAUAGUGGUCAAGGUGGAGUAACCAGGAGAUUGAAUCUGAACAGAGUUUCCUCCAUAGGGACUGCUUGCAUUAUUCAUUGAAUUUUGGUGGAGAAGCCCCACAAUAGUGCUGGCAGACGUGGUUGUAGAUGCUGUGGUGAGUGAGUUAUUUACACUAGCCAUACCAUUGCUAGCAGUGAUUUGCAUUGGGACUUGGGCUGAACUUCGAUCACUAUUUGAGUUAAAAAAAUACAGCAAUUCUUGCACAUCCUCAUUAAAAAAAAACAGAUAAAAGGAAUAAAAGAUGAAAAAGGAGCAGAGGACUGGCUUGGAUUCUAUAAGAGCAGUUGCACAGUAUAAUCUCCACAUAUGGAAAAAUAACCAUCCCUUACAUCUCCACAAUAAUCAAAUUCUGCAGCUGGAAAAAACUAUAUUAAAAAAAAGCAGAUGACAAAAACACACAGAAAAUUUCUCCAGAACUGCAUAAAGUGGAUAGCUGAACCAGCCACCAAAUCUAACAAAACUGGACCAGUUAUAGCGUCAGCUCAUACUCAGCGCCCACUGUAAUAAGAGCGCUGGUAAUCAGUAAUAGACGCAUAAUUAUCACCCAAAGAACAAGUUUAUCUGGGUUUUAAACUCUUCAAUAAAUCAAAGUGCAUCUUAAAGAGGCUGUGAAUACAAAACAAAUAUGUAGUACCUGCUUCACCCUUACAAGUACACUGGUUUUCAAAUCAAUAAAUAUAGUAAUCUAUCAGUAAGGAAAUACAAAAUUUCCAAUGCAAGUCAGAGCAUCUGCUAAUUGACUUUUAACAAUAUUAUCAAGCAGUAACAGUUUACAAAAUUGAGCAAUCAUACCCUAUCAGCAUCCAUCUCCUUCGUAAAAUUUGAUGGCUUCACAAAUCUCCUCCCUGCAAUCAAAGUUUAGAGAUUUAUUUAUUUAAUUUUCUUGAAACUAAUAAAUAAAAAAGCAUAGUUUAAGAGAUUGCAAGGAAGCAAACAAUCUGACCUUUGCGGAUGUGAGUGAUUUUUCCAUGGCAAUUAGGUGGGAAAGGAUCUCUCAAGGCAUGAAAAAUAAAUUACACAAAAAAACUGCAGAGCUAACACUCAAUUCAACCAGCCACCUUGCUCCUAAAGAACACCCAGCAUCAAUAAGACUACUUGUUAAAAAUUAAAUUGGGGGUUUUGAUAAAUUUUCAAUUAAACAUGCAUAAUUUCCAUCAAUCACUCUCUUCCAGACACAUGAAUUACCAGCAUUGGUCCAGUUGCCUAAAAUCAUUCAAUUUAUGAACCGUAACCCUAAAAAUUAAAUUGGGGGUUUUGAUAAAUUUUCAAUUAAACAUGCAUAAUUAGGUUAUAGAUCAUGGUAAAAACAUUUCAUAAACCUUAUAUUAUCGAAUUAAUAGCCUAAAACCAUUAUUCAAAGUAUCGACAAAAAAAAAUUGUUACCUGUGUUCUUGAGUUAUAGAUGAGCGAGAUGAAUCUACACGACAGAACAACACCUGAGAUUGUGAAAGUUAGGUUAAAACUUGUUAGUGUAAGUUAAAUUGCAACGGAGAAAAAUAUAAAUCCUAAAUUAAUUACCUGAUUUAUUGAAGAAGAGAGUGCAAAACCCAACCCGUUUACAAAGAGAAAGGGUGAUAAUGAUGGGUCUGGUGCGAUGUUGCCAUGGGUCUGUGUUUUUGGUGGUUUACAGAGAAAGAUUGAAACUGUUAAGAUGAAGGAGAAGAAGAUGAAGGAAAAAAAAUUAACAAUGCUGAAAACGAAUGAGAAGAAGAUGAAAAGUUUGGGACAAAAGGAAAAUCAGUUAUUGGUUUUGUUUAAUUUUGAAAAAAAAUUAACCCAACUGUGUUUUCAACUGUUGGUUUUGUUUUCUCUAUUUAGAAACCGUGGGGGGGGGUGUUAGGGACGAAGGAGACUGGGAAUUAAUUAAUUGUCAACUGUUGGUUUUUUCUUUGUUUAGAAACGGGGGGGCAGGUGUUGAAUUAGUAGGGGGGCAAAAUUAAACGGUUGUGAUUUUAUUAUAUCAAAAAUAAUCAACGGUCUAUAUAAUUUUAAUUUUAUAUUAAUAUUUAAAUAAUUAUUUUUUAAAUUAGCAACAGAUAAUCCGUUGCAAACUUUUCCGUUGCUAAAGUCUGUUGCUAAUAUUAAAAAAAUAAUAUAUAUUUAAUCCGUUGCAAAUCUGUUACUGAAUUUAGCAACAGAAUUAUCCGUUGCUAAAUUCAGAUGCUAAUGGCCCCUGUUUUUAGUAGUGUUUAGGCAUAGCUAAGAGACUGGAUCUUGUUCAUGCGAUUUGACCCACGAGUGAACUGGUAAAAAGUAAAACAUUCAGGUGUCGGGUUCAGUUUUACGAGUGAACUGGUAAAAAGGAAAAACUCUAUCCUGGCUAGAUUCAGUUUUGUCAUGUUCCUUGGAAAAAUGCAACUCGGCUUUUCAUGACUUUGAUACGUGAACCGUGUUUUAUGCGGUGUGAGAUAGUGGAAUUAUUGAAGAUACAACUUCACUUCAAUUCUUUAAUAUUUUUUCGUUGUGUGGUCUCUUUAAUAGUAGUUUUUUUUUUUUUGGUUGAUAGAGAAGGGUCGAGGAGAAAUAAAUUAUUGAUGGGUACGGUGGAAUAAAAGAAAGGAUGAUCUUGUCUCCAAAAGCAAAUUUGUGGGAUGGAUUGGUGUGGUUCCUUUACGCCUAGGACACCAGAAUAUCUAAAAAGGCAUGAGACGAAGAAAGGCAUGAGAGAAAAGCAUAUUGCACAUAUUGGCUAGUGAUUGUGAGGCCCCAAUUCUUGACUGGGCAUAGUUGUAGAUGAGCUUUGAGUGGCGGCUGCAGCUUGAAAAAGAAAAGGGUGUAUGUAUAGCGAACCAAGGUGCUUAAAAUCCUUAAAAAGGGACUGCUAGUUGCGGGCAUAAAUAGUGAUCUUGGGUGAUGGUGAUGGUGGUGAUGGUUUAUCAAGAUCUAACUGUAGCAUUAUGUGAAAGAAACCAAUGAUGCAUUUUAUCACCAGUCAAAUGCAUCCAAUAGCAGAAUAUAUAAUUAGCGAUGAGGUAAGAGGAAAUGACUGAAAAUUUACUGGAAACUCUUCAAGUGAGCUCAGAUCCAGUAGAGAAUAAACUCAAGUUACUUUAUAUAGAGCUGUAUCUUUUUUGUGGCAAUUGUAUUCUCAUGCAUUCGAUCUCCAUAGUCUCAUGUGUGCUUUUGGAGGGCAUUGAGAACUUGUUACUUCUUUUUUUUUUUGAUAAUGUAGGUGUCCGGGUUAGCUUACACGCACCUCGACUAAUCCCACAGGCCUUAAAAUUAACGACCAUAAAAACCUUCAAUAAUCCUGAGAUUUUUGAGACUCGAACUCAUGAUCUCCAGAGAGAACUUGUUACUUUAAUCUUAUGUUGUUUUUGUGUAAAAUCGUGUAGUUAAUGACGCUUUUGUAGUAAAAUGAUUGAGCACCAUCACAAGUGAUUAACUCUAAAUAGAGAUAUAGACAUGACUGCACGAUAAAAUGAGAUACUUAUUGUGUUUAUUUUGACUUGGAAAAAAUAUUAAAUUUAUAUUUUUUAAUGUUUUUUAAUAAUUUUUAUUUGUUCAUGUUAAAUUUAUUUUUAAAAAAAUCAUUCUCAUGUAUUAAAAUUAUUUUUAACAAGCAGCUUGUAUCUUAAUAUAAAACACUCAACCCUGAUUUUCGGCACUUGAGAAUACAAUCUCUUUAACAGUAACAACAUAUUAAUUUUAUACAAUGAAAUUUAAUUGAAAAUUGGAGCUCCUAAGCAACUAAAUAUUAAUUUUAUACAAUGAAAUCUAAUGCAUGUGUGGGUUAAUGACCUAUGGUCAUGGUUUUAAAAGAUGAGUUGAGUCUCCUUUAGGCAUAGCUAAGAGACUGGAUCCUGUUCAUGCGAGUUGACCCACGAGUGAACUGGUAAAAAGUAAAACAAUGUUACAACACUUCUUUUUAUUCUGCCGUUUCAAUUUUCCUUCUUUUCUACUAACAAAUAAUGAAUAAUUGUUAUAUAAUCUCACUUUUUUUUUUUUAUUUUGUUUUAUGUAAGUUCAAAAUUUAAAGCUGCUAAUCCGCACAUUGUUUUUAUUUUUUGAACACAUAGUUUUUUUUUCCUUUUCUUUUUGUUUCUUUGUUAUGAUUUAAAAAAUAUAUAUUUUUAUCAAUUUUAUUUUUUAAUAUUGAAAUGGUUAAGAAUUUAAUUUUGUAAUUUUUUUUCUUUUCUUUUGUCUUUCUAUGAGGUUAGCGUGGUUUCCGGGUUUGUCAAGGGAACCCACGUUAUCCCAAUUUAUGGAUUUGGUGGCGUUUUUUUUUAAUUAAACUUGAUUUUUUAUAGUCUAUUUUUUUCUUAUAUUGUUAAUAAGAAAAUAGUUUUAUAGAAAAACCAUAUUAUUAAACUUUAUGAAGUAACAAAAACUAAAGGAUAUGGGGAAAACCAUUGUUCAUCCAACACUCAUUGUGGAUUACAAUAGUAAUCCACAAUGUUUUGCUUUCUUUUUUCUGUUUUUUUUUUUUUUUGAAUUUUUGCUAUGAUUUUUUUUCAAAUCUAUUUUUGUCGUUUUUAUCUUUUCAAAUAUGGUGGGAUUUGAGCCCUCUUGCAAAAUAAUUAAAUGUGUUAAGGCCUCCUCUCGAUGCUCCAAUGGACCUCUAAUUUCUGCAUUGGCCGAAACUUGCAAGGCUAGUCUAUUUAAUACUUCUUUCAAUGCCUUUAUUUUGGACCUUGUAAUUGGCCCAUUUAAAACAUGCAAUAGAUACUUACUGGUGUUCGUGGGCUGAUCCACAUUAAUUAUGGUUACGACAAAACCCUAAUUAGUUUUUAGAGUUCUAAGAUAAGGGGUACUUGUUACGUUAAAGGAAAUGUAUUACCACCCUAAAGUAUCGUACCUAUAGUAAAUUCCAUUGCUACUUGUCUUUUAUCCCUAAUAGUCUAUUAUGCCCAAUCUACCGAUGGUGUAUCCACAUGGAUCUAUUGUAAUGAGUUAAACCUACUGUAGGUUUUAUUCCUAUCCGUUCUAAAGUUCUAGUUAUUCUUGUUACUUCCAAUUUGUUUGGGGAAUUGAUAUUUAUAUCCCUAUUUACUCCAGAUCAUGACCCGUGAUUAUUAAUAGUUUAUAAAGCCAUGCUAGUGAAUAAUUGAACGGGUCUAUGUUAGGUUCAUUAAACCCAGUUCAAAUCCUAGGAUGAGAUGUCGCCAAACAAUUUGUUUGGGAAUUGAUAUUUAUAUCCCUAUUUACUCCGGAUCAUGACCCGUGAUUAUUAAUAGUUUAUAAAGCCAUGCUAGUGAAUAAUUGAACGGGUCUAUGUUAGGUUCAUUAAACCCAGUUCAAAUCCUAGGAUGAGAUGUCGCCAAACAAUUUGUUUAUGCAACGGUGCUCUAUGGAUAAUGCCCCGUUCAAGUUCAUUUAUCCUAUAGUACCAGGGUCUACUCGUAAUUUUUACUGAAUAAGGGUUUUGUACCCUGAUCCUAAAAUGUCCAAGCAUUAACUAUUGUGGGUUAAUCUACUUAGGGAGUGUUUGGGUGGGAGGUUUUUUUUAAAGGUACAACCCUUUUAAAGCACACACAACACCUCCUAAAAGCAAAGAAUAUAUGUUUUUCAAUGAAAAAAAACCACCACACCUCCCACCAAAACACACAUUAGUGGUGGGAUCUAGUGGCACACAUACUUUAGGCAAUAUUGGACUUAGAUAUUUUUAAGACUUGUUUUUUUAUUUAAAAUCAAAAGAAACAACUAAUACUUUUAAUAUAAAAUGUAAUGAUCCAUGUUGAGUCCAUUUACCCUAAAUACCAAGAGUGAAUAGUAAAACACAUUUUGACCUAAUUUUAAAACAACAAGGAUGAGUUGUAAAGGCUUGGAACAUAAUAUUAAACAUGGCUUAACAUAAAAAUAAUAUCUUGCAGGUCAAUUCAAAAUCCUUACGAUCUAGAGCUUGAUUUAUAUUUUAUUUUAUUUUAAAUUAUUUUUUGAUAUUAACUUAGUUACAUUUGGAUGACUCAACAUAUUGAUUCAUAACUUGGUUAUGUACGGCUCAUGUGAAUUGUAUUUUGAUGUUUGGAAAUUCAUUAUUUAUGAUUGUGCACAUUGCAGCUUUUUUAGGAAAGAGAGAUGAUGACAAAAUAAACUAUCACAGGAUGUUUAUGUGAAAGGAGUCGAAGAUACCUUUUGCAAUACGCAAGUUGCGAUUGACAUCUACGACUUGCAUGUUGUAGAAUGUAUAUGCAAUAAUGGAGGUUCAGAAGGCAUUCGUGACUAACGGACACACAUGCCAAUUAUAACACUCUCAAUUAUAUUAGAUUUCUAAAUAUUAUGUUAUUUUGCAAAAUAUAUAAUUUUUUAAGGGUGCUCACUUACCAAAAACUCUAUCCUGGCUCGAUUCAGUUUUGUCAUGUUCCUUGCAAAAAUGCAACUCCAACAUGGCUUUUCAUGACUUUGAUGCGUGAACCGUGUUUCCUUUGGUGAGGGAUCGUGGAUGCGUGAACCGUGUUUCCUUUGGUGUGGGAUCGUGGAAUUAUUGAAGAUACCAAAGUUUCCACACCCAACUUCACAUCAAUUCUCUGUUUUCUUUUGUUGUUGAUAGAGAAGGGUUGAGGAGAAAUAAAUUAUUGAUGGGUACGGUGGAAUAAAAGAAAGGAUCUUUGUCUCCAAAAACAAAUUUGUGGGGGCCUCUCAUAGUACUAGCUGGGUUUGCAUGGACUCUGAUACAAUAAAAUAUAAUGACGUGGGCAGGUAUGCAUCAGCACAUCAGAGUUCUUCAAGAUUCUGACACGGGAGUUGUGUUUUAGGUGUUGUGUGAGAUAGUUAAAUUAUUGAAGAUACCAAAGGUCCCAUCAUGUACGAUAGCAAAGUUUUGAAGAAGUUUGGAACACAAUGAUAAUCCACACCCAAGUUAUUGAAGAUACCAAAGGUCCCAUCAUGUACAAUAUUUUUUUUUGCGCACUAAAAUUAUAUACUUAUCCUUUUACUUUUCAAAAUUUAAGAAUGACUUGAAAGGCAUUUUUAUCUUUGUCUCAUCGCUUUUUUUAUAAUAAUGAUAUGUCCUUGUACCCCUUUUCAUAAUUUGUCGUAUAAAAACAUUAAUAAAUGAAUAAAAUAUGAUGACGUAAGCCAUGUAUGCAUCAGCACUUCAAAGUCCUCCAAGCUUUUCUUAUAGAGGCGCGUGAAGACAAUUCUGAUGGAAAAAAAAAAUCCGGUCGCUAUCUCAUCUGAAGCAGGGUUGUGGCGCAACUUUUAAGGUGGCGUGAUGGGCAAGUCGGGCGGCGAUGAGUUUUUUUUUUCUUACCUUUUUUUUUUCUCCUAAACUUUCAUAUUUGUGUCAGGCCUUUAAGAAUUUAGUUGUGUCCUCCGGUUUGUAUUUGUUUUGAGUUUGAUUCUCAUUCUUUUGAUUUCUAUUUAUUUUAAUGUUAAUGCUUCGUAAAGUUUUUUUUUUUAUCAAUUUCAUCUCUUCGUAUUUAAUUUAAUUUAUUUUUUGUAUCCAAUCUGAUCAUCAUUUUUUUUAUUGUUAUUUUUUAUCCUUUUCAUUUAUUUAUUUUUAUUUUGUCCUUUUAAUUCAUUUUUUUUCAAAUUCUGGUCCUCAAUUUUUUCAUUGCUCUUUUUCUUCAUUUAUUUUGUAAUCCCUGAUUAGUUUCUUUCAAUUAUUUAUGGUGCAAGAUUUAGUCUUCAUUGUUUUAUUUUUUUUAUUUUUUAUAAUUGAAAAUUUUGCUUUGUAAUUUUUUCGUGUUUGCCUUUUAUAAGAAAGUCCUAAUCUCAUGAUCUAGUCUACCAGUUUUAAUUAUUUUCCUUGUUUGAGUUCAGUCUUUUUUUAAAAUUCAUUUUAGAAAUUGUUUUCUUUUUAUUUUCAUCAUUUGACAUUGAUUUAUUAAGCCUUGAGCUUUGUGAUUGGUUCUGUUUUUUUUUUUUGUAGGGUUAUCCCUGUCAUAACCCCUUUUUUGAUUACUCUCUAAAUUCAUUUUUUCUCUCUUCUCUUUUUUCUCCUACCCGUGUUUAUUAGUAUUUUUCGGUGAAAAUAAGUUGAAAAUUAUUUUUUUUUUUGGAAAAACAAAUAAAAGUUUUAUAGAAGGGUUAAGGAAAAAACAUAAGAAAUUUAAAGAAUAAGGACCAAAUAAUAAAAAAAAAAAAACACAUAAAACUACAUGGUGGAUGGAUAGUUUUAACCACUGGGAGGUCAUGUUGCAUGCUACAACCAAAGUGUGAGGACGCCUUCUAUACGGUGACGCAUGUCAUGCACAUGCUAGUAACUUUUUGUGCUCCAUUGCGAGUGCAUAUUUUCCUUUGUGGGAAAAACAAUGAUAACAAACUAUUACUAAUAGUCUUAUAACCAUUAUUAUGAAUAUUAAUUGUAUUAUCAUUAGCGUAAUUAUUACUACUACUACUACUUUUAGUACUAUUAUUAUUAUUAUUUUUACUAUCAUGACUAUUACUACUACUAUCACUAUUAAUACCACUAUUAUUACUAAUAUUGUUGUCAUUAUUAUUACCAACAUUAUUAUUAUUAUUAUUAUUAUUAUUAUUAUUGUUUGACAAAUAAAAGGAAGGGAGAAGCUUCUUUUUAUUUGGAUAUUUGAGUGUUAUCGAUUAGUUGGAAAACUGUUUAAAGAUAAUUGAAAACGUGAGAAAGACAGCUCCUGAAUCUUGCUUUGCUUUGUUACCUUGCAUGCUUUUAUUGCUUCAGCACAAGAUGGGCAAUAUUCAUCAUCAGAUAUUUGUGUGUUUGUGUGUGUGUGUGUGUGUGUGAUAUAUAUAUAUAUAUAUAUGGAUGCAAGAGAAUAGUAACAAAGCAUCUAUUUAAUGCUUCUUUCAGUGCCUUUAUUUUGGAUCUUGUAAUUGGUCCAUUUAGAUCAUAUAAUAGAUACGUAUUGGUGUUUGUGGGCUGAUCCACAUCAAUUAUGGUUAUGAGAAAACCCUAAUUAGUCUUCAGAGUUCUAAGAUAAGGGACUAGUUACGCCAAAGAAAAUGUAUUAUCACCCUAAAGUAUCAUACCUAUAGUAAAUUUCAUUGCUACUUGUCUUUUAUCCCUAAUGGUCUGUUGUGCCCAAUCUACCGAUGGUGUAUCUACAUGGAUCUACUGUAAUGAGUUAAACCUAUUGUAGGUUUUAUUCCUAUCCGUUCUAAAGUUCUGGUUAUUUCUGUUACUUCCAAUUUGUUUGGGAAUUGAUAUUUAUAUCCCUAUUUACUCCAUAUCAUGACCCGUGACUAUUAAUAGUUUAUAAAGCCAUGUUUGUGAAUAAUUGGAUGGGUCUAUAUUAGGUUCAUUAAACCCAAUUCAAAUUCUAGGAUGGGAUGUCGCUAAACAAUUUGUUUAGGCAACAGUGAUCUAUGAAUAUUGCCCUAUUCAAGUUCAUUUAUCCUAUAUAACCAAGGUUCACUCGUAACUUUUACUGAAUAAGGGUUUUGUACCAUGAUCCUAAAAUGUCCAAGCAUUAACUAUUAUGGGUUAAUCUACUUAGUGGUGGGAUCUAGUGGCACAAAUACUUUAGACAAUAUUGGACUUAGAUAUUUUUAAGACUUAUUUUUUUUAUUUAAAAUCAAAAGAAACAACUAAUACUUUUAAUAUACAAUGUAAUGAUCCAUGUUGAGUUCAUUUACCCUAAAUACCAAGAGUGAAUAGCAAAACACAUUUUGACCUAAUUUUAAAACAACAAGGAUGAGUUGUAAAGGCUUGGAACAUAAUACUAAAAUGGCUUAACAUAAAUAUAAUAUCUUGCAGGUCAAUUCAAAAUCCUUAAGAUCUAGAGCUUGAUUUAGAUUUUGUUUUAUUUUAAAUUAUUUUAUGAUAUUGAAUUAGUUAUAUUUGGAUGACUCAACAUAUUGAUUCAUAACUUAGCUAUGUACUGCUUAUGUGAAUUGUAUUUUGAUGCUCAAAAAUUGAUUAUUUAUGAUUGUGUGUAUUGUAGUUUUUUUUGGGGAAGAGAGUUAUUGACAAAAUGAACUAUCACAGGAUGUCUCUGUUAAAAGAGUCGAAGAUACUUUUGUGACAUUCGAGUUGCGAUUAACAUCACUACAAUAUUUAACAGUUUUACCAACGGAAAUAUUCCGACUAAUUACCCAACAUACAACGUCUGUCAGCAUAGAGUCGUGUUUUAGGUGUUGUGUGAGAUAGUUAAAUUAUUGAAGAUACCAAAGGUCCCAUCAUGUACAAUAGCAAAGUUUUAAAUAAGUUUGGAACACAAUGAUAAUCCACACCCAAAUUCACUUCAAUUCUUUAAUAUUUCUUCAUUGUGUGGUCACUUAUCUGUAAUAUAAAUCACAAUCGAACAUAAAAAAAUUUGUAAUACACUGUCUCAUUAAUAAUAGCUAGUGUUUUUUUGUAAGGCUAGUGAAAAUAUUGACAGUCCACGAGCGAUGUUACACGUGAAGAUAUCAAAAUAAUAUUUAUUUUUAUUUUUAAAAAUUUAUUUUUGAUAUUAAGAUAUCAAAACGUUACAAAAACAUAAAAUAUUAAUUUGAAUAAAAAAUAAACAAAUUUAAAAACACGGUUGGACCACAAAACCAAAAAAGGCGUAACAUAGGUAUAACAUCUUGCAGAUCAAUUCAAAAUCAACAAGAUCAGCUUGAUUUUGAUUUUAUUUUAUUUUAAAUUGUUUUUUAUAUUGACUUAGUUAAAUUUAGAUGACUCAAUAUAUUGGUCCAUUGUUUAGUGAAUUUAGUGGUCCAUUGUUUAGUGAAUUUAGUCAAACCUGACAAGUCAAAGUCAAGAAAAUAAAAAAAAAUUAAAAUGAUAUCGUUUUGAAAAAAUAAAAUAGACCCGAGUUGACUCAAUAAUGUAAGAAUUAUUAAACCAAUGAUCCGUAGAUUAACUUACAUCUCUAUUUCUUGGAUCUAAAUAUAGGUCAGAAUUUGAGGCGGGAUUUUGAUACUUUUCCAAGUACCAAAAAAUAAAUAUCAUUUAAUUGUUAUCAAUUCCAUAAAAAAUUCAAUUUCUCCAAAAUUUCCAACAUAACAAUAAAAUUGAUAAAAUAUGAUUGUUACCCAUUAAAUAAAAGAAGAUCUUGUCUCCAAAAACAAAUAUGUGGGGGUCUCCAAAAACAAAUACUUUAGACAAUAUUGGACUUAAUUAGAUAUUUUUAAGAUUUAUUUUUUUAUUUAAAAUCAAAAGAAACAACUAAUACUUUUAAUAUACAAUAUAAUGAUUCAUGUUGAGUUCAUUUACCCUAAAUACCAAGAGUUAAUAGCAAAACACAUUUUGACCUAAUUUUAAAUCCUAGGAUGAAAUGUCGCUAAACAAUUUGUUUAUGCAACGGUGGUCUAUGGAUAAUGCCUUGUUCAAGUUCAUUUAUUCUAUAUUACCAGAGCUCACUCUUAAUUUUAUUGAAUAUGGGUUUUGUAACCUGAACUGAAAAUGUCCAAGCAUUAACUAUUAUGGGUUAAUAUACUUAGUGGUGGGAUCUAAUAGCACAAAUACUUUAGACAAUACUGGAUUUAGAUAUUUUUAAGACUUGUUUUUUAUUUAAAAUCAAAAGAUCUGCAAUAAUGGAGGUUCAGAAGGCAUUCGUGACUUACUGAUGGCACAUGCCAAUUAUAAUACUCUCAAUUAUACUUAGAUUUCUAAAUAUUGUUUUACUUGUGUUAUUUUACAAAAUAAUUUUUUAAGGGUGCUCACUUACCAAAAACUCUAUCCUGGCUAGAUUCAGUUUUGUCAUGUUCCUUGGAAAAAUGCAACUCGGCUUUUCAUGACUUUGAUACGUGAACCGUGUUUCCUUUGGCGUGGGAUCGUGGAAUUAUUGAAGAUACCAAAGUUGUGUGGUCUCUUUAAUAGCUACUGUUUUCUUUUGUUGUCGAUAGAGAAGGGUUGAGGAGAAAUAAAUAAUUCAUGGGUACGGUAGAAUAAAAGAAAAGAUCUUUUCUCCAAAAAAAAAUUUGUGGGGGGCUCUCAUAGUAGUAGCUGUGUUUGCAUGGGCUUUGAGUGGCGGCUUCAGCUUGAAAAAGAAAAGGGUGUAUUUGCUGGUGGCUAGUACGAGGAAAGGGAGACAUAAGGUUGUAAGGGUUAGAGUUAACUUGGUAAUACAAGAAUAAAAAUGAAUUGUAUGUGAUUCUACUUGGGUGCCGAUUGAAACUAUGUAUGGUGCUGGGGUAAAAUUUUUUUUUUUAGUAUAUUUUUAAAUUAUUUUAAUAUGUCGGUUUUAAAAAUAAUAAAAAAUUAUUAUUUUAAUAUAUUUUUAAAUAAAAAAACAAUUUAAAAAUAACUAAUUCUAUACUUACAUGGCCUUCAAUACUCGGGUUUCAUGUACAAAAAGUCCCAUGAUGUACGAUAAUCCACACUUAAAUUAUUGAAGAUACCAAAGGUCCCAUCAUGUAUAACUUUUUUUUCACACUAAAAUUAUAUACUUAACCUUUUACUUUUCAAAAUUUGACAAUGACUUGAAAAGCAUUUUUAUCUUUGUCAGCUUUUUUUUAUAAUAAUGAUAUGUUCUUGGAUUUUUUUUAUAAUUUAUUUUAUAAAAAUAUUAAUAAAUUAAUAAAAUAUAAUGACGUGGGCAGGUAUGCAUCAGCACAUCAGAGUUCUUCAAGAUUCUAACACGGGAGUCGUGUUUCAUAUGUGUUGUGUGAGAUAGUUAAAUUAUUGAAGAUACCAAAGGUCCCAUCAUGUACAACAUCAAGCUACUGUUUUUUUUGUUAUAUAUAUAUAUAGAGAGAGAGAGAGAGAGAGAGAGAGAUGGGUGGAGGAGAAAUAAAUAAUUGAUGGGGACGGUGGAAUGGAGAGAUAAGCUUGUUUGGGUUUUUUAUUGUUAUUAUUUUUAAUUUUUUUUUCAUUAAUUUUUAUUGUUCACAACAACAUUAGUGUUUAAUAAUGUGAUAUAAGUUAUUUUUUUAAAGGUUUUUUACUUGUAAAUAAAUUAAAAUAAUAGUAGUAGCUGGGUUUGCAUGGACUCUGACACGGUAGUAGUAGCUGGGUUUGCAUGGACUCUGACACGGGAGUCGUGUUUCAUGUGUUGUGUGAAGAAAGUUAAAUUAUUGAAGAUACCAAAGGUCCCAUACAAAUUCACAAUGAUAAUCCACACCCAAAUUCACUUCAAUUCUUUAAUAUUUCUUCAUUGUGUGGUCACUUGCCAGUACUAUAAAUCACUAUCGAACAUGAGAGCUUUGUGAUCAGAUGCAGACCAAAGUCCCUUUGGAGUGUUAAAAUUGUUGAUCUAAGCUACCUCUCUUCCGUUAUCCUCUUAAAUCUUCUUCCUCUUAAAUAUUACACGCAUAAAUAGAUAUGGAGGAGAUUCGCCGGGCUGCUGGAGCUUAUUAUGAGAAUCUGCCCGAUGAGGAGAAGAGAAAUGCCAGAUUUUCUUUCAAUGAAAUGGACAAAAACAAAGACGGGAAAAUUAACCUAGAUGAAUACGUGGCGUACCUCAAGAAAGAUAACAACACGGUUCUUCCAAGCUUGUUUACAGAGCUGGACAAGGACGGCAAUGGAACCUUGGAUUUUGAUGAAGCAAUCGUCUUGUACUACAUCAUGCAGAGUGGAAGGGCUAUAAUUUGCCAGUCUUGUAAGACGUUCUUGGCAGGAGCAUACUUCACUUGCUCUCAGUGUUUCUUCAAUGAUGAUGAUUCAGUUAGCACCUUUGAUGUUUGUUGUGAUUGUUAUGGUGGUAAAAAGUUCAGACACAACGAUGGGCACAUCUUCUGCGAUAACUAUACUUUACUUUGUCGAAGCAGGAGCGCGACACAAGCGGCCCCCAUUCAGGUAAUUAAUUUUAGAAACUAAAACAAUAAGAUAUUUUUACUAUUUAUUACUAUACAUUUGCCAAAAUUCACUGAUAACUCAUUGUUUAUGGAGCAUUACGUAUGGAGUUUCCUUCAACAUUGGGUUUUGUUUUAUUAUUAUAUUUCUUCUCUGCUUUACAUUUGAAUUCCCAUUCUUCGUAUUGAUUGAAGUUCUUUAAUUCUCUGGAUGAAGAGAUUAAUUAUAUUUUCAAGACUGGCUUCAAAAUAACUAGUGGAAUCCUCAUAUUUUCAUUAAUACAAAUAUUCUCUCCAUCUAAUUGAUAAAUAAAUACUAUAUUAAGUAUAAAAAUAUGUUUGCUUAUAAAAAUAUGAACUCAGCCUCUAAUAUAUCUGCGUAUUAUCUUUUAUUUCAGAAGCGAACCAAGGUGCUUAACAUCCUUAAAAAGGGACUGCAAGUUGCAGGCAUAACUAGUAGUGAUCUUGAAGGCAUAAGUACUGAUAUUGGUGAUGGUAUUGGUGAUGGUGAAGGUUCAUCAAAAUCUAACUGUAGCAUUAUGUGAAAGAAACCAAUGAUGCAUUUUAUCACCAGCCAAAUGCAUCCAAUCGUACAAUAAAUAUUGCCGAUGAGGUAAGAGGAAAUGACUGAAAAUUUACUGGAAACUCUUCAAGUGAGCUCAGAUCCAGUAGAGAAUAAACUCAAGUUACUUUAUAUAGAGCUGUAUGUUUGUGGCAAUAAUUGUAUUCUCAUGCAUUCGAUCUCCAUAGUCUCAUGUGUACUUUUGGAGGGCAUUGAGAACUUGUUUAAUCUUAAGUUUUUUGAUAAUGUAGGUGUUCGGGUCAGCUAGCUUACACGCACCUCGAUUAGUCCCACAGACCCUAAAAUUAACGACCAUAAAAAUCUUCAAUAAUCCUGAGAUUUUUGAGACUCGAACUCAUGAUCUCCAGAGAGUCAGGUGGAAAUUUUUCUCUAGUUUUAUCUUCGCUAUAUGUUUUGUCAGGUGGUAUUAGAGCAGGUCAACAUCCGGAUCAAUGGCAAAUCGUGAAGAGAAUUGUGGAGUAAUUGGCCAAUACAAUCUCUGUGAUGAUGAUCAGGAGAUGCAGGUUGUUUGAGAUCAACUAAAUCAUUAUUCAUUAAUGAUAGCAGCUUUAGAGGGGCAAAUGCAAACUAGGUUGGGUGAAACAUUCUCAUGUAUUAAAAUUAUUUUUAACAAGCAGCUUGUAUCUUAAUAUCAAACACUCAACCCUGAUUUUUGGCACUUGAGAAUACAAUCUCUUUAUCAGUAACAACAUAUUAAUUUUAUACAAUGAAAUUUAAUUGAAAAUUGGAGCCCCUAAGCAACUAAAUAUUAAUUUUAUACAAUGAAAUCUAAUGCAUGUGUGGGUUAAUGACCUAUGGUCAUGGUUUUAAAAGAUGAGUUGAGUCUCCUUUAGGCAUAGCUAAGAGACUGGAUCCUGUUCAUGCGAUUUGACCCACGAGUGAACUGGUAAAAAGUAAAACAUUCAGGUGUCGGGUUCAGUUUUACGAGUGAACUGGUAAAAAGGAAAAACUCUAUCCUGGCUAGAUUCAGUUUUGUCAUGUUCCUUGGAAAAAUGCAACUCGGCUUUUCAUGACUUUGAUACGUGAACCGUGUUUUAUGCGGUGUGAGAUAGUGGAAUUAUUGAAGAUACAACUUCACUUCAAUUCUUUAAUAUUUUUUCGUUGUGUGGUCUCUUUAAUAGUAGUUUUUUUUUUUUGGUUGAUAGAGAAGGGUCGAGGAGAAAUAAAUUAUUGAUGGGUACGGUGGAAUAAAAGAAAGGAUGAUCUUGUCUCCAAAAGCAAAUUUGUGGGAUGGAUUGGUGUGGUUCCUUUACGCCUAGGACACCAGAAUAUCUAAAAAGGCAUGAGACGAAGAAAGGCAUGAGAGAAAAGCAUAUUGCACAUAUUGGCUAGUGAUUGUGAGGCCACAAUUCUUGACUGGGCAUAGUUGUAGAUGAGCUUUGAGUGGCGGCUGCAGCUUGAAAAAGAAAAGGGUGUAUGUAUAGCGAACCAAGGUGCUUAAAAUCUUUAAAAAGGGACUGCUAGUUGCGGGCAUAAAUAGUGAUCUUGGGUAUUGGUGAUGGUGAUGGUAAUGGUGGUGAUGGUGGUGGUGAUGGUGGUGAUCUAACUGUAGCAUUAUGUGAAAGAAACCAAUGAUGCAUUUUAUCACCAGUCAAAUGCAUCCAAUAGUAGAAUAUAUAAUUGGCGAUGAGGUAAGAGGAAAUGACUGAAAAUUUACUGGAAACUCUUCAAGUGAGCUCAGAUCCAGUAGAGAAUAAACUCAAGUUACUUUAUAUAGAGCUGUAUCUUUUUUGUGGCAAUUGUAUUCUCAUGCAUUCGAUCUCCAUAGUCUCAUGUGUGCUUUUGGAGGGCAUUGAGAACUUGUUACUUUUUUUUUUUUUUUUUUGAUAAUGUAGGUGUUCGGGGUCAGCUAGCUUACACCGCACCUCGAUUAGUCCCACAGACCCUAAAAUUUACGACCAUAAAAAUUCUUCAUAUCCUGAGAUUUUUGAGACUCGAACUCAUGAUNNNNNNNNNNNNNNNNNNNNNNNNNNNNNNNNNNNNNNNNNNNNNNNNNNNNNNNNNNNNNNNNNNNNNNNNNNNNNNNNNNNNNNNNNNNNNNNNNNNNNNNNNNNNNNNNNNNNNNNNNNNNNNNNNNNNNNNNNNNNNNNNNNNNNNNNNNNNNNNNNNNNNNNNNNNNNNNNNNNNNNNNNNNNNNNNNNNNNNNNNNNNNNNNNNNNNNNNNNNNNNNNNNNNNNNNNNNNNNNNNNNNNNNNNNNNNNNNNNNNNNNNNNNNNNNNNNNNNNNNNNNNNNNNNNNNNNNNNNNNNNNNNNNNNNNNNNNNNNNNNNNNNNNNNNNNNNNNNNNNNNNNNNNNNNNNNNNNNNNNNNNNNNNNNNNNNNNNNNNNNNNNNNNNNNNNNNNNNNNNNNNNNNNNNNNNNNNNNNNNNNNNNNNNNNNNNNNNNNNNNNNNNNNNNNNNNNNNNNNNNNNNNNNNNNNNNNNNNNNNNNNNNNNNNNNNNNNNNNNNNNNNNNNNNNNNNNNNNNNNNNNNNNNNNNNNNNNNNNNNNNNNNNNNNNNNNNNNNNNNNNNNNNNNNNNNNNNNNNNNNNNNNNNNNNNNNNNNNNNNNNNNNNNNNNNNNNNNNNNNNNNNNNNNNNNNNNNNNNNNNNNNNNNNNNNNNNNNNNNNNNNNNNNNNNNNNNNNNNNNNNNNNNNNNNNNNNNNNNNNNNNNNNNNNNNNNNNNNNNNNNNNNNNNNNNNNNNNNNNNNNNNNNNNNNNNNNNNNNNNNNNNNNNNNNNNNNNNNNNNNNNNNNNNNNNNNNNNNNNNNNNNNNNNNNNNNNNNNNNNNNNNNNNNNNNNNNNNNNNNNNNNNNNNNNNNNNNNNNNNNNNNNNNNNNNNNNNNNNNNNNNNNNNNNNNNNNNNNNNNNNNNNNNNNNNNNNNNNNNNNNNNNNNNNNNNNNNNNNNNNNNNNNNNNNNNNNNNNNNNNNNCAGCAAAGACAACUGAAGCCGACGAUCAGACCACCUCAUUCUCCUCCAUCUUCGCCGGCCAGACGCAACAGAAGCACAACCUCCGACAGCCCCUUGGUCACACAGCCCACCGCCUGAAAACAGAGAAGAAGGGGAAACGAAAAGAAAACACUGAGCUGCAGAAAAAAACUGAACCAGAGAAGCAGAUCUGCAAAACAAAAACAAAAAAUUAAAAUCGACUGUGUUGUGCGUUUUCUAUUAUUGCAGGUAAUGGUGUUCCUCACAACCGUCAGGGAAGGGAAGAGAAGAAGAUAGCCGACCAGAUCCGUCCAUUUUCCAGGCGUUGUUUGCGGCGGCGCGUGAACCCACGCACCGCCAGUGGCGGUGGCGCGUGGGAAGACGCGCCGCCACUGUUCAUGCAGAUCCAGAAGGUUUUCCAGCACUGUUAUGGAUUUUGGGGGGCUGUUUUGUAAUUUUCAAAUUUUUUAAUGUAAUUUUUUGUUUAGUUUUGAAUUUUUAUUAUUUGUAGUGUUGAUGUAACAAAAAAAAACAAAGAAAAGAAAAGAAACAAAAAAUAUAGUAAAAGUGAAUGUAUGUGUUUAGAUUUGUUUUAUUUUUUUAUAUAUUUUUUUUAUGAUAAAAUUGUAAAGAUUAAAGAAGAAUUUAAUAUUUUGAUUGGAUCACAGUCAAGAAUUAUUAACUUAUACGUAAGUUGUAUUUCUAAUAUCCGAUGAAAAAACAAUUAUUAAAACUUCUUUAAACACAUCAAAUUCGCGAAGCAGCUUACCUCAGGUAGGGUGCGUUAGGGGUGCUAAUACCUUCCCUAACCACAACCAGUCCCUUACCCGCGAAUCUCUGACAAGACUAGUACAUCCGGUUUCCUAGUAGCCUUUAAUAAAUUACUAGGUGGCGACUCCAACGAAUCAAGUCAAGCAAACGCAACGACAACGAAAAGAUCGCCAGCCGACGCCGCGCGGAUUUCACAUGCGACAGAAUGGUGACUCCACUGGGGAAGGUACUGUUUCUGACAAUAUUGGACUAAGCUUUGUAUAUUUGAUGUGUUUAAGUUUUUGCAUUUUUGUCUUGUUUUAUUUUUGUUUUAUCCAUGCAUUUUUAGAAUUGUUUCAUGCAUCACCUGUAUUUAUUUUUGAAAGCACACACAAGCUUCUAAGUUAGGUGGUGAAUUAGCGAUCUGUCCUAUGACUAUUGGUCAGGGUUCAGAUGCGUGAAAAACCGAACUCAUAUCUGAGUGCUUGCUUGGAAAUGGUGGGUAUACGUACCUUAACUAUUUCUUGCAACGCCCCUAUACUGUCUUUACGAAGAUCGUCACUAGGCAGAUAUGAGACCCUUUUGAGACCAGGUAGAAAACCUACCCAUGUUCACAUAAUGAAUAGAACUUCUCCUUAGGUUGUAUGUGCUAUUUUUAUUUGCAUCAAGACAAACCCUUCUUGAAGCAUCUUGAACUCAAGACUUGUGGGUGACCCAAUAGCCGUCACUCAGAAAAUUUUCAUUGUAGAGUUUGGGCAAGAAUCACGAUUCUUGUUUCAUCAUACAAGAGUUACGACCAUAUGUCACCCCUCGAAGGGCGAGUUCAUCAUAUAGAUUACAUGUUCAUACAUUUUUCAUGCAUGCACCAGAAUGAAAAGUAGGUCCCCUACGAGUCUACAACACUCGAUUUUGAACGAAAAAAAACACGGAAGAUGAAGAGUGUGCUCGCCGUAAUGUCUAUUUUUAAGAAGAGUUGGAGUUUCUGAAGACAUGUGUGACUCGCCUCUAGCUUACUCGAGCAAAUACUGAAAAAUAACUCUAUGAAAGUUCCUUCCAACCGACCGUUCAUCUUUGUUCAAAACCCAACAACGACUCAGCCUGAAAAAAUUGGGGGCAAACAUGGUCAAGAUGCCUCAACACAAUCUAGCAUUUCUACAAAAAGCUUUUGUGGGAAGGCUAACCGAAGGGGAAUUGCACCACCGGUGCAGAAUGGAGCCUCUUCUUGUUCUGAAAAAAAAAAUACCUCUGUUUGAUCAUGCCUGCAAAACUUCUUGAUGUUGUUUCAACCUGUUCCGGUUUUUGUUGGUAAUGUGGCUUAAAAUUUCAUAAGACUUUCAUUGUCAAAUGAGCCUUUCUUGUUAAUAAGAUCAUGUGUUUUCCUGUGUUCAUGACAUGCCUUCAUUUUUGUUGUUGUUUCAUGCAAAUAACACAUUGAACAUAACCUUUAAGCAUGAAACCAUUACACCAAGAAUAUUUAGGUAUGUUUCCCCUUUCUUCCAAAACUAUGCAUGAUCGCACACAAGGAUUUUUGGGAAUUCAAAGUUUAGUACAAAAACAAAAAUCAUGUUGAUAUUUGUCCGAAACAAACGAGUUCUGGAAAUGCAGGUGAUUCCUUGGAAAGGUAACAAUACACCUAAAAAAACAAAAACACCAUGAAAUGACUCCAAAGUUGAGUUUUAUUUAAAUGAAUAAUGAGAAAUCACGUUGCAUACUCGCAUGAAAGCAAGACUUACCGAUCUUAAAUGCAUGAGUUUGGAAUGAAGAAAGGCCAUCUUUGAUAAUCUUUUCACAAGGCUAAAAUAUAUCAUUUGUAGUCCCCUUUUGAGCCUAGUAACAUUUUUUGGAAAUAGCUGUGGCUAGGAUCACACACUACACUGGGGGCAAGUGCAAGAGACAUAGAAAAAAAAAACCUCAAUGAUUGAAAGUGCCCAAACAACACUGGAGGGCAUAAAAGAAAAUUCUCAAUCAUCAAAAGUGUCCAAACAAAGCUUGGGGGCAUGAAAAAAAAUCCAAAGGAUCCAAAAAUUUUGAGCAAAAAAAAAAAAACCAAUACAAUGAUGCUCAAAAUCAAAUGAAAAAAAAACAAAAACAAAGGGAAAGAGCCCAAGCCCAACACUAGGGGGCACGAUAGACCAUUUUGGAAAGACAUUCCAAAGACAAAAGGUCAGCAAACAAGCACAAGUGAUCCUUAGUCUUGAAAUCCCUUAAACACCUUUUGAGCUUGCAAAUAUCAUUUUCUUCAUAACCAAUAGCCCGAGCCUACAUUACGUGCCUAAUCAAGCCCUUUCUGAUCAAAGACAAGCAAUCUGGAUCGGUAGGCAGUGCUUCCUCAUGCGAAACAAAAUCAUUAUUCAUGCAAAUUAAAUGAAUGCUUUGAAGACCGGUUCUCAGUAACUCUCAAAUUAAAUCUUAAACUUUUUUGACCAACCAAAUGUCACUUCAUAUUUUUCACCAAAAGCAAAACAAAAAGUUUUCAUCACUUCUGGAAACCUCUCCAUAGGAAUCACUUGAAUUUCUUUAGAAAGAGUUUGCUUUGAAUCAAUGUCAAAAUGAUUUCUGUGUCUGGAAUAGCUUUGAAAUUCCAAAAUUUCUGCAUGAAAACAACUCCUGGCCAAACCUUCCUUCACAUAGCCUCAUCCCUAAACCCGAUUUGAACACUUGAGGGCAUGAUCAAGCUUGGGGGCAAUAAAAAAAAUGCAUGGUAAGGCUGGCUCCAUGAUUCCCUUUCUAAGAGAAAUACCGGGCAAAAUGGGCAACCCUUGAGAUAAAGGGCGGAGGACAAAGAAGUAUGAUGACAUCAAGUCCUUCCAAGAGGUCAAGAUCACAAGAUAGUACUCAAGUAAGUAAGAGCGAAAAAGCCAUCGAUGUUUACUAUCAACACUCCAACUUUUGAGAAAAGAAAGACAUCAUGGAGAAAUGGGGACCUAUAUUCAUAACUUAGUUACAUUUGGAUGACUCAACAUAUUGAUUCAUAACUUAGUUAUGUACUGCUCAUGUGAAUUGUAUUUUGAUGCUUGGAAAUUGAUUAUUUGUGAUUGUGCGCAAUGCAGUUUUUUCAGGAAAGAGAGAUGAUGACAAAAUAAAUUAUAACCUGAUAUCUCUGAUAAAGAAGUCGUAGAUACCUUCUGUGACAUGUGAGUUGCAAUUGACAUUUAUGACUUGCAUGUUGUAGAUUGUAUCUACAAUAAUGGAGGGUCAGAAGUCAUUCCUUACUGAUGGCACAUGCCAGUUAUAAUACUCUCAAUUAUACUUAGAUUUCUAAAUAUUGUUUUGCUUGUGUUAUUUUACAAAAUAUUUUUUUUAAGGGUGCUAACUUACCAAAAACUCUAUCCUAGCUAGAUUCAGUUUGUCAUGUUCCUUGGAAAAAUGCAACUCGGCUUUUCAUGACUUUGAUACGUGAACCGUGUUUCCUUUGGUGUGGGAUCGUGGAAUUAUUGAAGAUACCAAAGUUGUGUGGUCUCUUUAAUAGCUACUGUUUUCUUUUGUGGUUGAUAGAGAAGGUUGAGGAGAAAUAAAUAAUGCAUGGGUACGGUGAAAAGAUCUGUCUCCAAAAACAAAUUUAUGGGGGCCUCUCAUAGGUUGUAUUUGCUGGUGGCUAGUACGAGGAAAGGGAGACAUAAGGCUGUAAGGGCUAGAGUUAACUUGGUAAUACAAGAAUAAAAAUGAAUUGUGUGUGAUUCUACUUGGGUGCCGAUUGAAACUAUGUAUGGUGCUGGGGUAAAAUUUGUUUUUUUAGUAUAUUUUUAAAUUAUUUUAAUAUGUUGGUUUUAAAAAUAAUAAAAAAUUAUUAUUUUAAUAUAUUUUUAAAUAAAAAAACAAUUUAAAAAUAACUAAUUCUAUACUUACAUGGCCUUCAAUACUCGGGUUUCAUGUACGAAAAGUCCCAUCAUGUACGAUACUCUACACUUAAAUUAUUGAAGAUACCAAAGGUCCCAUCAUGUAUAACUUUUUUUUCACACUAAAAUUAUAUACUUAACCUUUUACUUUUCAAAAUUUGAGAAUGACUUGAAAAGCAUUUUUAUUUUUGUCAGCUUUUUUUAUAAUAAUGAUAUGUUCUUGGAUUCUUUUUUAUAAUUUAUUUUAUAAAAAUAUUAAUAAAUUAAUAAAAUAUAAUGACAUGGGCAGGUAUGCAUCAGCACAUUAGAGUUCUUCAAGAUUCUGACACGAGUCGUGUUUCAUAUGCGUUGUGUGAGAUAGUUAAAUUAUUGAAGAUAGCAAAGGUCCCAUCAUGUACAACAUCAAGCUACUGUUUUUUUUGUUAUAUAUAUAUAUAUAUAUAUAUAUAUAUAUAGAGAGAGAGAGAGAGAGAGAGAGAGGGGUGGAAAAGAAAUAAAUAAUUGAUGGGGACGGUGGAAUGGAGAGAUAAGCUUGUUUGGGUUUUUUAUUGUUAUUAUUUUUAACUUUUUUUUUUCAUCAAUUUUUAUUGUUCACAACAACAUCUAGUGUUUAAUAAUGUGAUAUAAAUUAUUUUUUAAAAGGAUUUUUACUUAUAAAUAAAUCAAAAUAAUAAUUUUUUUAUUUUUUAUAUUAACACAUCAAAAUGAUACAAAAAUAUAAAAAAUUUAAAAACACGGUUGGAACAUAAUACCAAAAAAACCUAACAUAGGUAAAAUAUCUUGCAAAUCAUCCAAAUUAACUUCAAUUCUUUAAUAUUUCUUUAUUGUGUGGUCACUUAUCAGUAAUAUAAAUCACUAUCGAACAGAAGAAAUUUGUAAUACACUGUCUCAUUAAUAAUAGCUACUGUUUUCUUUUGUUGUUGAUAGAGAAGGGUUGAGGAGAAAUAAAUAAUUCAUGGGUACGGUGGAAUUAAUAAAAGAAAAGAUCUUUGUCUCCAAAAACAAAUUUGUGGGGGGCUCUCAUAGUAGUAGCUGGGUUUGCAUGGACUCUGACACGGGAGUCGUGUUUCAUGUGUUGUGUGAGAAAGUUAAAUUAUUGAAGAUACCAAAGGUCCCAUACAAAUUCACAAUGAUAAUCCACACCCAAAUUCACUUCAAUUCUUUAAUAUUUCUUCAUUGUGUGGUCACUUGCCAGUACUAUAAAUCACUAUCGAACAUGAGAGCUUUGUGAUCAGAUGCAGACCAAAGUCCCUUUGGAGUGUUAAAAUUGUUGAUCUAAGCUACCUCUUCCAUUAUCCUCUUAAAUCUUCUUCCUCUUAAAUAUUACACGCAUAAAUAGAUAUGGAGGAGAUUCGCCGGGCUGCUGGAGCUUAUUAUGAGAAUCUGCCCGAUGAGGAGAAGAGAAAUGCCAGAUUUUCUUUCAAUGAAAUGGACAAAAACAAAGACGGGAAAAUUAACCUAGAUGAAUACGUGGAGUAUCUCAAGAAAGAUAACAACACGGUUCUUCCAAGCUUGUUUACAGCGCUGGACAAGGAUGGCAAUGGAACCUUGGAUUUUGAUGAAGCAAUCGUCUUGUACUACAUCAUGCAGAGUGGAAGGGCUAUAAUUUGCCAGUCUUGUAAGACGUUCUUGGCAGGAGCAUACUUCACUUGCUCUCAGUGUUUCUUCAAUGAUGAUGAUUCAGUUAGCACCUUUGAUGUUUGUUGUGAUUGUUAUGGUGGUAAAAAGUUCAGACACAACGAUGGGCACAUCUUCUGCGAUAACUAUACUUUACUUUGUCGAAGCAGGAGCGCGACACAAGCGGCCCCCAUUCAGGUAAUUAAUUUUAGAAACUAAAACAAUAAGAUAUUUUUACUAUUUAUUACUAUACAUUUGCCAAAAUUCACUGAUAACUCAUUGUUUAUGGAGCAUUACGUAUGGAGUUUCCUUCAACAUUGGGUUUUGUUUUAUUAUUAUAUUUCUUCUCUGCUUUACAUUUGAAUUCCCAUUCUUCGUAUUGAUUGAAGUUCUUUAAUUCUCUGGAUGAAGAGAUUAAUUAUAUUUUCAAGACUGGCUUCAAAAUAACUAGUGGAAUCCUCAUAUUUUCAUUAAUACAAAUAUUCUCUCCAUCUAAUUGAUAAAUAAAUACUAUAUUAAGUAUAAAAAUAUGUUUGCUUAUAAAAAUAUGAACUCAGCCUCUAAUAUAUCUGCGUAUUAUCUUUUAUUUCAGAAGCGAACCAAGGUGCUUAACAUCCUUAAAAAGGGACUGCAAGUUGCAGGCAUAACUAGUAGUGAUCUUGAAGGCAUAAGUACUGAUAUUGGUGAUGGUAUUGGUGAUGGUGAAGGUUCGUCAAAAUCUAACUGUAGCAUUAUGUGAAAGAAACCAAUGAUGCAUUUUAUCACCAGCCAAAUGCAUCCAAUCGUACAAUAAAUAUUGCCGAUGAGGUAAGAGGAAAUGACUGAAAAUUUACUGGAAACUCUUCAAGUGGGCUCAGAUCCAGUAGAGAAUAAACUCAAGUUACUUUAUAUUGCUGUAUCUUGUUUGUGGCAAUAAUUGUAUUCUCAUGCAUUCGAUCUCCAUAGUCUCAUGUGUACUUUUGGAGGGCAUUGAGAACUUGUUUAAUCUUAAGCUGCUUUUGUGUAAAAUAUCAUGUUGUUAAUGAAGCUUUUCUUGUAAAAUCAUUGAGCAUUAUCACAACUGAUUUCAUUGCAAGCAAGACGUUAUUAUGGUAUAUUUUAAAAUUAUAUAUGUUUGACUUGAAAAAAUAUUAAAUUUUUUUUUUUUAUGUUUUUUAAUAGUUUGUAUCUUUUGAUGUUAAAUUUUUUUUAAAAAAUCAUUCUAAUUAAUAUAUUAUAAUUAUUUUUCAAAAUCAUCUUAUAUCACAAUAUCAAACCCUCAUUUUUUAUUUUGUACAAGAGAAUACAAUCUCUUUAACGGUAACAAAAUAUUAAUUUUAUACAAUGAAAUUUAAUUGAAAAUUGAAGGAGCACCUAAGCAACCAUAUAAUAAUUUUAUACAACGAAAUUUAAUGCUUGUGUGGGUUAAUGACCAUGGUUUUAAAAGAUGAGUUCCUCUAGGCAUAGGCAAGAGGCUGGAUCCGGGUCAUGAUUCAUGAAUUAAGCGAGUUGACCCACAAGUGAACCGAUCAAAAGUAAAACAAUGAUGAGUUCCUCUGGGCAUAGCACCCCUAUUUUUUCAUUAUGUCGUUUGAAUUCCUACUUUUCUACUAACAAAUAAUGAAUAAUAGUUAUAUAAUCUCACCGUAAAACAAUUGUUUUAUGUAUAUUCAAAGUUUAAAGCUGCUGCUACUUCUACCAUCUUAAAUGUCAAUUUUUAACCCAUCUUUUUAUAAGUUUUCAAAAUAUUCAAAAAAUAACAAAAAAUUAAUAAAAACUCAAAAAAUAUAUUCAUUGUUUUUAGUAUUUUCAGUGUUAUUUUAAAAGAAAUUUAAAUUUUUAAAGAUCUUUUAAAUACGUUCGAGAUGUUGAUAUUGUUCAUUUUUAAAAUAAAAAAAAUAAUAAAAAAUCAAAAUUUAUAAAAAAGAAAUUAAAAAAAGUUUGAGAGAUCUAUUAAUAUUUACCUUUAAAUAUAGGUCGAUUUUGAAAAUUAGGGAAACACAAAGAAACUGUAAACCUAAACUCAUCUACAGACAAGCCACCACCCCCUCCCUUGAGCGAAAACCAGAGAAACCCCUGGCUUUGGGCUUUUGAAUUUUCGGCUUCUUCUCCCUUCAACCGGACAAGUAUUCCCCUUCCCUCUCCAUCCCCACAGACCCAACCAUCUCCUUCCCUUACUAGAUCUUCCCACUUGCCCUCCAUCUCUCCAGCCGUUCACCCUUUGGCCAAAUCGUCCUAUCCUUUCCCUCACCUAAAACAGCCACACGCCAGACCUUCUCCCUCUCAGGUGUUCUUCCCAUAGCCACCGAGAGCACCACCCCCAUCUCUUGGCCAAACCAGAGCUGCUGCUCACUGACAUAGGAGACCAACCCCACAGACGUCGUCUCCAGCGUCCCUCAUCCCUGCUAAUCCGAGACCCAUCUCUCUCUUCCUUGACCAGAAUCCAGUGGCAGCCAAAACAUAGCAGCUCUCACAGACCCGUGACCGUUCCCCGCGCCCAGGAGACACUUACUUCUCCUCCAUACCAAGGCCUUCAAGCACUGGCAGAUUCGUCCACUGCAACGGCCACCGUCACCGCCAGAUCUACAACCAUCAAAUCUGCCACCUAAAGAAGGAAAGAACAAUGAACCAAAAAAAGACAAAAAAGAAUAGAUCUGAAAAAAAGGAGAAAGAACCAAAAACUUUCUUGUGUUUUUCUUCUUUUGUAGAUGGCGAUGGCCCUCACCACCGAUAGGGAAGAGAAGAGAGGAGGGAGUCAUCCCAGAUCCACCCAUCUCUUGGGCUUUGCUUGCUGCGGUGUAUGAACCCACGUGCUGCUAGUGGCAAUAGCGAGUGAAGCAAGCACCCGCCACUGUUCCACGACUCGGAAAUUCCUAGCACUGUUACCGAUUUAUUUUGUCUAUUUUGUAAUAUUUUUUUUUUUUUUUUUUUUUGAUUUACGUGGGGUGUCCGGGCCAGCUUACGCGCACCACGACUAUUCCCCACGGCCCACUGGACAUCCUGCAAGCCCAGGAGCAGGUAAGGCACCGCGGGGGUGACAGGCGUGCACAUAGAGGGUCGAACCCGGGACGGGGGCGGAACAAGUCACACGAUUGACCACAGCAGCUAGACCCUCAAGUGCAAUAUUUUAAUUGUAUAUGUGUUGGUUGAUCUAUUUUGAAUUUUUAUUAUGUCCUAACAUGUAAUUAGGAAUAUGGGAGUAAAAAUAGUGAAAACUGACGUGUGGUGUUUGUACUUUCUUUUAUUUAUGUUUUUAAAUGAUAAAAACUAAAAGGAUAAAAAAAGAAUUAAAAAGAUAAAAAAUUAAAUGUUUUAAUUUGCAUAGAAUUUAGUUUAUAUUUUAGAAAAUAUUGUUUUCUUUUUGUAUUUAGGAUUAUGAUCUUAUAUUUAAGAUAUAUUUUUAAUAUUAAAAAAGUUUGUUUUGUUUUUUUGUGUUGAUGUUAGAAUUUUUUUAUCUGAUAAGUUAAGAAUCUUCUCAGUGAUGAGAACAUUUCUUCAACUUUAGAUAAAUCGUUGAUAAGACAACCGUCAAAACUUACAAAUCACAUCAAAUCAUGAAGCAACUUACCUUAGGUAGGGUGCGCUAGGGGUGCUAAUACCUUCUUUAGCCACAACCAGUCUCUUACUUGUGAAUCUCUACAAAGACCAGUACAUCUAGAUUUUCUAGUAACCCUGAACUAAAUACUAGUUAGAAACUCUCAAGAAUCAACAAAGAAAUGAACAAAAAUUGUUAUCGACGUCGCGCGGGCACGUGCGAUAGAAUGGCGACUCCACUGGGGAAGGUACUGUUUCUGACAAUAUUGGACUCAACUUUGUGUAUUUGAUGUGUUUAAGUUUUUGUAUUUUUGUCUUUUAUUAAUGUUUUUGUUUCCAUGUAUUUUAUAGAAAUGUCUCAUGCAUCACAUGUUUUUAUUUUUGAAAGCGUACACAAACUUUUAAGUUAGAUGGGGAGUUAGCGAUCUACCCUAUAACUAUUAGUCAGGGUUCAGAUACGUGAAACACUCAACUCGUAUUUAAGUGUCUGCUUAGUAAUGGUGGGUAUACGUGCCUUAACCAUUUCUCACAACGCCCCUAUAUUGUCUUUAUGAAGAUCAUCACUAGGCAGAUAUGAGACUCUUUUGAGACCAGGUAGAAACUUACCCAUGUUCACAUAAUGAAUAGAACUUGUCCUUAGGUUGCUAUCUUUACUUGCAUUAGGACAAACCUUUCUUGAAGCAUCUUGAACUCAAGACUUGUGAGUGACACAAUGAUCGUCACUCAAAAAAUUUUCAUUGUAGAGUUUGGGCAAGAAUCAAGAUUCUUGUUUCAUCAUGCAAGAGUUACGAUCAUAUGUCACCCCCUCGAAGGGCAAGUUCAUCAUAUGGAUUACAUGUUCAUAUAUUUAUUAUGCAUGCACCGAGAUUAAAAGUAGGUUCCCCCACCCGAGGUCUACUACACUAGACUGAGAAAAGUUAGAAAAUAAAGAAUGGGAUCCGAAAGAGGCUCAUUGUCUAAAGAAAAUUGAGAGUAUCAAAUGUGAAGAAGUUAGACUCCUUGAUCUGCUUAAACAAGUGUUGGGCUUUAAGAAUGGAAAGGGAAUGUUCACACAACCUCUUAGGGAAACACUGUUUGUCCGCAUCUCACACACAAAAACAUAAUUGACUUUUCUCCUCAGCACUCCACUAGUAGAGGCCAUUAACACUGAAGUGGCACCGACUCUUCUUCAUUUCAGUCAUGAACAACAACAACAAUGCCUUCAAUCAUCAACACAUAUUGUAAUUUGACCUCAUAACUUUAAUUUCUUUUAAUUAAAGCAUAAAUUGAUUUAAAAAUUAAUUUUUCUUGCAAUCAAACCCUCCAUAAAUUCAAUUAAAACUUUAAUAAAAUUUAAUUGAAUCCAUAAAUAUUUGGUUUUGAACUUUUCUUUCUCAAAUUGAAUUUUUUUUGUCAACAAAACUUUCAUCAGUAAAAAAUAUACUGUCAAAUUUCAAUCUUUGUAUUUCUGAACCUUCUCAAUAAUUUUUUGGUCAUUUUCUAGGCACUCUGGAAUCCUUUUUUCACUGCUAUUAUUUUUUUGAUUUUCUUUCGAAUAUAUUUUUUGAAUUUUUUGUAUUUUCUCUUUUUUGUGUGGUGUUAAAAAAUGCAUAACAACUUUCUUUAACGUCUAAAGCAGGUUUAUAUAAAUUAAAAGAAAAUGUCAGACCUAUUCCUGUCCUCAUCAGGGGACCACAACCUCAAAUCUCCAUCUCCAAAAUGACAGUGAGAUUGAUUGGUAAUAGGUAACAAAACGAUAAGCGUCUUUUCAUGAUAUAUUUAUAGUUUGGAUGUAUAAAUAUAAGUUCAAUAAGAGGUCUAGUUGAACAAAACAACAUGUCUUAUAAAAACAACUAUAUAAUUUUUUAUAUGAUCAUUGAAUCAUACACAAAUUUCACCAAGAAAAACUAUAGGCAUUGUUUUAUAAUGAGACUACAACAUGUUGGGUUGCAUGGUUUGACAGAUUUGUAGAUUGUAAAAGUCAAUGGCCUCUGGGCUUGAAGUAGUGUUAGAAGUUGCUGCUAAAUUUCCUAGAAAAUGCAAUUUCUUUAAUAUAUACGUAUAGAUAGCAAUAUGCAACACUAACGUAUCGAUAUGCAAAAUGAAAAGUGUUUUCUCAAGUUAAAAUGAGCAACACUUUCUCCACUCAAGAUCUUAUAUUUUUCUUUUCAGUGAAAAACACGUUCGGUUGAUUUAUUUGCCUUCUAGCCCAAUGACAUGCAAUAAUUUAAUUAGAUCUAAUUAACAUAUUAAAAUAAACUUUGUGUGGGAGUAAGCUUGUUUGCUAGUUGGGAUAACAUAUCAGAAAUUAAAUUUUAGUCCGUAUAAUUAUAUACCAAAAUUGAGACUUGACUUUUAUAAAUGCCAAAUUAAGUUGACUUGACGCAAAGAAACUACGAGACGGAAUCAUAGAUUAUAAUUAUGAGGUAUUCAUUCAAUUUAUAUCAACCACCAACUCAUAGGUAUAAUGCUUCCUCGGCAGGUUGAUACAAAUACAUCCAUUAUUUGGUAGAUUUAGCCAAACUGGAUUAGGACUGAGCCACUUCCUUAUAAAGUCCCUUUGGAGUUUUGAAGUUGUAGAUCUAAGCUACGUACCUCUUCCAUUAUCCUCCUCUAAAGUAUUACACGCAUAAAAGAUAUGGAGAGGAUUCGCCGGGUUGCUGUAGCUUAUUAUGAAAAUCUGCCCGAGGAGAAGAAGCGAUAUGCCAGAUUUAUUUUCGAUGAAAUGGACAAAAACAGAGACGGGCAAAUUGACCUAGAUGAAUACGUGGAGUAUCUCAAGAAACAUAACAACACAAUUUUUACUGAUCCAAGCAUGUUUAGAGCGCUGGACAAGGACGGCGAUGGAAGCUUGGAUUUUGAGGAAUCAAUCACCUUGUACUACAUCUUGCAGAGUGGAAGAGCUCUAUUUUGCGACUGUUGUCAUACGUUCUUGGCAGACGUAUACUUCAGCUGCUUUCAAUGUUUCUGUCUUCAUGAGUCAGCUAGCACCUAUGAUCUUUGUUGUGAUUGUUAUGGUGGAAAAAAGUUCAAUCACCACGAUGAUGCCAUUUUCUGGGAUAACUGUACUUUACUAAGUAAAAGCAGGAGCUUGGCACUAGGAGCUCCCAUAGAGGUAAUUAAUCUUUGAAAAUGAUAUCCAUGUUAGAUGAUGGCAAGCUAGAUAGAAAUACUACAAAUCUUGAAAGGUGUAACUCAAUUGGUUAGGUUAUAAAUUUGUUUUUUAGAAGUCACCGAUUCGAGUCCCACAAAUCUCGAAACCAUUAGAGAUUUACAUGGUCGUUAACUUCACAGCUCAUGGGAUUAGUCGAGAAGCACGUAAGCUGAUCCGGACAUCUACGUUAAUAAAAAAAUACUUUAGAUUGCUUAAAAUUUCCAAUUAAUACCUCUAAUUAUGUUUCUUUAAUUGUGGAUUUGGUUUGAAAUGGAUUUUUCUAGCAGAUUGCUUCUUCAUUAUUAGGAAUUGAUAUAUGUUCUUUCAUUAAAUUGAAAAAUUUGAGAGAAAUAAUAGGGUUUCAAAUCAAAUUUCGAAAAUUAUAGCUUUUUAACUUUUUUUACUUCUUUAAUUAUUUCCGAUUUUUUAGUGACGAUUUAUAUAAUUUUAUCAUAAUGAUACUUAUUUUUUUAAUUUUUUUAUUGGAAUAAUUUAAUCCAUUUAUUCAUUUUGUAACGUGAAUAAUUUAAUCAAUUAUUGGAUAUACGCACUUGCUCUUCUUCAUUAGGCAUUACCAUUGCAUAAAAAUUUAGUCUCGAGCAGGAUAAAAUAUUUUUGUAUAUAUAAUAUGAAUAAAUAAGUAUUUUUGUAAAUGUUUUUUUUAUGCGGUCAAUAGAGUGAUUUGCUUUUCUAUUUUUUUUUUAUAUAAAUUGUGUCAUUCUACAUUUCUUUUUUUAUGAAUUCUGCUUUUUUUAUUAGGAACUAUAUUUGUUAAGGUUUAUGUAUUUUUAUUAGUUAUGGGUCCACUUGUCUAUCAUUUAUGUAUACAAAAAUUAAUUAAUGAUAUAUUAGUGAAGAGUCUACUUGUCUAUCAUUUAUGUAUAUAAAAAUUAAUUAAUGAUAUAUUAGUUAAGAGUCUACUUGUCUAUCAUUUAUGUAUAUAAAAAUUAAUUAAUGAUAUUUUAGUUAAGAGUCCACUUAUCUAUCUUAAAAUUAUAUUGUUCCACUUGUGUUUCGGUAAGGUUUUUUUUGUUUAAUUUUCUUAAAUUAUAUACCACUUGUAAUUAAAAAUAUGUGCAUUGCCUAAUAAGAUCAUUAAUUAAAAAAUAAAACUAUAUCUAUAAAAAUUGAAAAAAAAAGAACAUUUGAAUUAAAAAACCAAAACCAAUAAAAAUUAUCAUCAAAUUAAAAUAAAAUAAAAACUUAGCAUUUUGUUAAGAAUAUUAUGCAUGAAAGUUUUUUUAAAAAAGAUAUAAUAUAUAUAUAUAUAUAAAGAAAACUAACAAAUACAUGUUAUUUUUAAGAAAAUAAUAACUCAUAUUUGUCCUUAUUUUCAUGUAAAACCUAAUUAUCUCAAACACGCAUCUAACCAAAAAAAUGCUAAAUUUUUCAUUCAUAAUUUUGUUGAUAAUGAUAUGUUUUGUUCCUGUAGUUUUUUUUUUUUUUUACUAGAUUUUUCACUUAUAGAAAAUUAUUUUAUGGAUUAUACCGUUCCACCAUAUGUUUUCUUAAGGUUUCUUUCCUUGUGUUAAUUAACCAUAAAAUGCUAAAGUUCUCUUUCAUAAUCUUAUUAAUAAAAUAUUUUUAUUAGAUAUUAAUAUUUAUUGGUAUUUUAUAAACUAAUAUUAAAUAUUCGAUUAAGGAGAGUAUUGGUAACUAAAUCUUUUAAUCAAUAAAAUGAAAAAAAAAAAAAAACAAACUAUGACAAUGUGCGUCGAUGUUCUAAACCAUUACAGGUAUCGGCCAAUUGAUCAAACAAGUGAUCCAAAUAGUUCGUUUCUAUAAAUUUAUUUGUCGGAUUUGAUAACGUCUUUCUAAUUAAAUUUCCAUAAAUAAAUAAAAUCAAAAAGUUUUCCAUAAUUGCAGCUUUUGAAACAUUUAAUGUCUUGUUGUCCUAAUCGUUGUAUGGCUUUUACUCUACAGCAUAGUGUUUGGAUGUAAUUUACCACAGGACAUUAGUUCCAAAUACCUAAUCAUGUGCUUCUUUAUCUUUACUUUCAGAAUCGAAGAAAUGUGCUUGAAAAAAUUGGAACGAUAGCGGACUUUACAGGCAUGGUUGUUAGUGGUGCUGUUUUUGCGUCAUCCUUUGGCUGCAGCAUUAUGUGAAAGAACGAAUAAUGCAUUUUAUUAUCACUGUGUUUAAAUUUUAUUAGAGUUUUGAAAGGGGUGGAACUCGAACCGCUUGCCUAUGGAAGACUGAGCUUUUCACGAGGUGCGAUCUUCAGCUAGUAAAGUAAGACUAUUAUAUUGCUGUGCCAAUGCUUGUGAUUUCUGAAAUUAUUGUAUGGUUACUUGUGGUUAUAUGGUUGCUUAUUGUUGCUUGCUUGUGAUUGGUGGAUUUGUAAGAGAUGAUCACUGUGAUUGGUGUAGAAAAUGGCCCUAAAUUUUCCAUUCAUAAUGAUAUAUAUGUUUUGUUCCUGUAGUCUUUUUUUUUUCACUUGUAGAAAAUUAUUUUAUGGAUUAUACCGUUCCACUAUAUGUUCUCUAAAGGUUUCUUUCCUCGUGUUCAAUUCUCAUAAAUCAUGCAAGACGUGUCAAAAAUAUAUAGCAUUACUUGAAAAUAUAUAUAUAUAUAUAUAGAAAACUAACAAAUACAUAUUAUUUUUAAGAAGAUACUAACUCAUAUUUGUCAUUAUUUUCCUGUAAAGCCUAUCUUAAAUAAAUAAUUAACCAUAAAAUGCUAAAUUUCCAUUCCAUAAUCAUUUUAAUAAAAUAGUUUUCAUUAGAUAUUAAUGUUUAUUGGUAUUUUCUAAACUAAUAUUAAAUAUUUGAUAAAGGAGAACAUUUGUAACUAAAUCUUUAAUCAAUAAAAUGAAAAAAAAAAACAACUAUGACGAAGUGUAUCGAUGUUUUGAACUGAUUAAUAGAAAUUCUAGCUUGUUUUUGCUUGAUAUAUAGUAAAAUAUACUUAGAGUUCGUUUGGUAAUGAGGUUGCAUCUGCGUUUUGUUUAAAACGCAGAUGCAACCUGUUUGGUAAAGGAAAAAACAUAGCUUACUGUUUAUUGGAACCACAUGUUUUUGCGUCCGAAACGCAGGGGAAGGAAAAGUAGCAAAAUGCUGCUUCUUGCGCACUGUUCAUGCUAAUUAAUUAGCAUGAACAGUGUAGCUAUGCUACACUGUUCACUGAACAGUGUAGCCAGCUCUACUGUUCCAGUCGGACCGGUUCUGGUUCAAAACUCAAAAUGCAUUGAACCAGGUCCGACCCAGUAAAAUAAAAUAUAAAAAUUAUUUUUUAUUUUUUAAUUGUGUUUUAUUCGAAAAACUAGUGUUUAACAUUAUUCAAUGACACUACAUAAAUUAGACAGAGAUCACUUGAUGACGUAGCAUUUGCAGAAUUUGAUCGCAAUCCCAAUUUUGUUCCUGAUUAUAUUUUACCUGAUGUUGUUGCGCGCUUAAGAAACCAAAAACAUUGUAGUCCUUGUCGGAUGUAUUUCAUGCGUGAUGGAAUUGUAGAUAGUUUAAUGGAACAAUAAAAAAUAUUUUAUAUAAAGUAUUAUUUAUUUCAUGAUGUAAUAACAAUAGUUAAAUCUACAAUAUUUAAAUUAAAAAUCAUCAAUAUUAAUAUAUAUUUUUUAAAAUUAUUUUAUAACCUCAAUUUCAAAAGCAUUAUUAACCAAACACAUUAAAUUACUUUUUGUUCAAUCUCAAUUUCAACCACAUUUUUAACCAAACAUACAUAAAUACCAAAUUAACCUCAACCAAAAGUACUUUUUAUAGAACAAUUUUUUUCAAACCAAACCAGCUAGAGGAAGCGAGAUAGCAUAAGCAAACCAGCCAACCCGCGUUCUGUUCUAUAAUUCCCUCUAACCUAGUGUUGUAGUAUACCCAGUAAUCCCAGGUGCUGGAGUUAUAAAAAAUGAAAGGAGAUAUGCACCUUUUUAAGGGAUUGUCUUGCUCAACCGAAAACAGAGAUAAGCUCGAGUGAUGUAAGUAGGUCUAUCAAGAGGGAUCGGUUUACGGUUCACGCAUGUUUCAGUCGAGAACUUCCUUUCCUGUGGAAAAUAGCUUCGACGAUUGGUCUUCUCAGAUAAUUCGAUCGGCGAGUAAGACUCCCUAUGUUAUGUGGGUGCAAUUUAUAAAGGAGUGCUUUCUCGCUAAAAGCACGACUCGCAGUGCUUGAACGUCUUGUGGCGGCUAAGGCAGCGUUAAGCCUUGGGAAUAGAAGUCAGUCAAGUCAAAAAGCCAGAAUGUCUUUCCUAUGGCAUCUGUCUUAUAAGCGCUCUUUUUUAACUUUCAGGGAAAGGCGGUUUGGUCGACCUUCACCACAACAGUUGCCACAAUACCAAACACAUUUUUAGUACAAACAACCCAAUAGUACAAGACUACAAGUAGUGGCCUAGGCCUAUUGAUCAAACCAGGGAUCCAAAUAGCUCGUUUCUAUAAAUUUAGUUGUGGGAUUUGAUAAAAUCUUUCUAAUUAAAUUUCCAUAUUUAAAAAAAAUUCUCAAAGUUUUCCAUAAUUGCAGCUUUUGAAUUUAAUGUCCUGUUGUCUUAAUCGCUAUGUGGCUUUUAUCAAAAAAAUCUUCUCAACUCAAUAGGUUAAGCUAUUAGGUGAGGUCCUAAGAUAUGAUUUAUAUUAUUCUCUAACGCACCCCUCAAGUUCAAGCCUUUUGGGUUUAAUACUUUUACAGGCUCAUACUAUCUUGUGCUUUAUUGUUAUCAAAUAAAAAGAAAUGAUGAGAUUUAAACUUGUGACCGCUUAGACAUUAAGACUCUGAUAUCAUGUGAAAGAACCAUCUCAACCCAAUAGCUUAAAUUAUUAGGUGAGAUUCUAAAAUAUAAUUUAUAUUAUUCUCUAACAGAUUUUACUCAUUAGCAUAGUGAUAAGAAGAAUACAUCAUAAUCGAAUUUGUUUUAUAGUUUGGGUGUUACCAAUUAGUCUCACGUAAUUUACGCAUAGCAGACAGGACAUUCGUUCCAAAUAUCUAAUCUUAUGCUUCUUUAUCUUUAAUUUCAGAAGCGAAGAAAUGUGCUUAAAAAAAAUUAGAAUGAUAGUGCAAGUUACAGGCAUAGUUGUUGGUAGUGCUUGUGUCUUGUAUCAUCCUCUAGCUGCAGCAUUAUGUGAAAAGAACGAAUGAUGCAUUUUAUUAUCACCUUGAAACUUGUAAAGGGUGAAACUUGAACCGCUUGACUAUGGAAGACUGUUAUUGAUGAAGUAAUGAAAAACUUCAGACUAGAUGGAGCUUUUCACAGGCUGCAAUCUUUGGCCAGUGAAGUGACCGACUUAGCACAGGUCCACGAGCUCUUCAUGCAAAACAAGAUUUCUAUCGAAAUGGGGGAUCUUAUGAUGUUUAAGUCAGUAAAAUAUAAGAGAGUAAAGAAUGUUGGAAAUUAUAUUUAUGAAUAUUAUGUAUUCUAAUGAUUAUUCAAUUUGUUGUACCGUUGCUUUAUUCCUUGGCAUGAGAGCUCAAUCUUCUUGAGAAAGAGAAACUUUAGCCAAGUCUAUAGAAGAAAGUCCACCGAGGAAGUUUUUGUCUCUUGUUGUGGUUAGAGGCCAGGUUGAAGUGAUGGAAGACUAUCCCCAUCAUUUUUAUUAACUCUCUAUUUUUAAGGGCUCUGUUCCUAAGGAAACAUCGGUGAGAGUCAGAAAUCCUGCAAAAAAAAAUAAAGUCAGAGGCAGUCGUACUCCCUCAAUUGGAGUUGAAGCAGAUUUUAACUUCUUUUAAAGUGAUUGCGAGCGUUGCCACCACUUUAAGAUAAGGAGGGUCUAUACCCCUGUGAAAUUCGAUGUUCCCAACUCAACUAUAGUGAUUCCUAUGAUGGCAUUUUCUCUGCCUCAACUUCCUUCCAGCUUUGCCGAUAAAGGCUGCAGUUGUUGAGCCCUCUACUUGAGUUGUUUAUGAGAAAACUAAGUUUGAGAUGCUUCUGCCAACCUCGAUCUUGUUCGAGCUCCCAUCACUUAAUUUCUCCAUCUUUAUUGAGAAGGAAAAGCUUAUAUCUCCAUUUUAUUAGACAUCUUAAUAAAAUUUUAUGAGAGCCUUAUUUGAUUUUAAUUAGUCAAAUUCCAAUGACAAAACAAGAAUUUUUAAAUAAAAAAACAUUUUAAAAAAAUUAUUAUAUAACUUCGAAACAGCCAGAGGAGAUCAUGUUCCUUAGACAAAUAGAACUUGGAUUUCCAUGACUCUAAUACAUGAACCGUAUUUCAUGUGGUGUGAUAUAGUGGAAUUAUUGAGGAGAAAUAAAUAAUUCAUGGGUAGGUGGAAUCAAAGAAAAGAUUCUCUCCAAAACCAAAUUUGUGGGGGCCUCUCAUAGUAGUAGUUGGGUUUCCUUGGGCUUUGACUCGCGGUUUCAGUGAACUACACUUACAGCUAUACAACUCCAAUUAAAAUAUUUGAUUUUCUCUAAAAUAUUACAAAAAAUAUUAUUAAAAAUAUAUUUUAUUUUCAUGCAUAUAACCAAGUCUCUCUAAAAUAAAAUAAAAAAUCAUAGCGUAUUCUCAUUCAACAAAAUUUCAAAUAUGUCUUAAGCAUGUAUUUUUUGCUUUAAUAACCAAUUCAUUAAAGUCAUGAAAACAAGGUCAAUAUUUCAAAAUUUUCAAAAACAUUAUUUUGUUUUCUUUUAAGCCUCGUUUGUUUGCUGGAAAGUAAUUUCUUUUUGUAAAGUAAAUUCCGGAGAAAGUGAAUUCCGGGAAAGUAUUUUCCGAUGUUUGAUAGUGUAAUGGAAAAUAAGUUGGAAAACACUUUCCAAUGUUUGGUUAUGUUAUGGAAAAUGAGCUAGAAAAUAACUUAUUAAUGUUUUAUUUUUUUCAAGUUUAUUAAAAUAAUGAGGAACAAAUCUUACAUAUUAAAAAGUUGAAUGGGAAUGAAAUUGAAAAAAAAUAUAAUUUCAUAAAUUAUCUCAGACAAGGUUGUCAAAAAUGCUUUUUUGACACGACACGGAACAUACAAUAUUAACUCGAAUCGUAAAAUCAUAAAAUCACAAGUAAAAUUUUUUAACUAAAAAUCGUAAAAUCACAGUUUAAUUAAUAAAUGAAGAGCAUGAAUGUUAAAUAUGCAUGUUAUAUCCUGCAGUUCAAUACACUUGAACACAAAUUAAUCAGACAUGCUAAUUGUGCAAGGACAAGAAAUUUAAUAAAUGUUGAGGCUGCCAACAACACCACAAUGCAAGCAACAACUAAAUUUCUCAAUUUUAAUAAAAACUUUUUGGUUACAAAUCUAGGUAACAAUUGACUUGUCUAAACGGGCAUGUGAAAUUUCCAUGGAAACUAGGUUACAGUACAACUCUUUUCACUAUAAAAAUAUAAAAAAACUGAACUAGUGUAAAGAUUGACAGAAAAGGAAAACACUAACAUCAUACCACAGGAAGUUGAACCUUAGUUUUAAGUUUUCCAAUUCUGCAAAACUAUGACAAGAAAUAUGAAAGGUGAAAGCAAUGGAUCAGGUUCUGUAUUGGAGGACGAAACAAAGCACGAAGAUCCACCAAGAAGGGAUUGUAAACUUCCUUCUCGCAACUCUUUUCUCAGUAUAGAAAAUGCUAAGUUAGCUCCCCCCCUUCUGCAGUCUCCUCUUACGCUGCACGUAAUCUCCAGUCAAGGAACUUCAACAGAUAAGUCAAUACAAACUAAUAGUUUGGACACCGUUAACCGGUAACUAACAAGAUAGAUUUUCACCCCUUUGAUGUUGAAAGUUUCCCAUGAGCCUAGAGAUUCACUAGACAGAUUUUCAGUUACCAACAUUACCUAGGUCACUUUUCCAUAUAAUUAACAUUUGAACUACAUAAACAUGCAUGUUUGGUUGUGUGUAAACCAAUCCAGACUAUGCAAAAAAACCAGAACCAAAAUGUUAAAUAUUAAGAGUCAAAUUUUGAGAUAAAAGGAUAUAUUAAAGAAGUUCCCAUGCUGCCCAGUAAUGUGAGUAACAAUGUUCAUCCCCACCCUUUUAGCACAAACUGGACAUACCUGAAAACAAACAAUUCCAGUAUCAUUUCAGUAACAGUCUCUAGACAAAAAAAAACUAGGAAAGUGUAAUUAAUAGUGUUCCAAAAAGAAAAUGACCAAUUUAUAUGCUCUAGGAUAAAAUAAAAAACCUUCAAAAACAAGGCGACAAACUCACACAGUUAACCAAAUUAUCUCAUUUAAAAUCAAACCCCAUAAAACCCUUUACCAAAAGCAAUUUAACACUAAAGAACUAAACUUUUUAAUUUACAUCCAUCAAUAGAACUCGAUAAGAAUAUGAUACCCCAUUCUUGGCUUCAGCAGGAUGCUCUUCAUGGAUGUGGCAAAAGAGACCAACAACAUCAAAAUCCUCGCCGCAAAAUGGACACAAAUACUCUGCUUUCAAAUCCUCUUCUGUUUUAGUCUCAUCAUACAGAUCUAGCACCACAAACCAACAAAAAAAUCCAAAAAAAAAGCAGCUUUCAAACACCAUCUCUUACUAAACUAAGGACAUUGCAAAAGAAAUGAAAGAUUUUAAACAAACCAGAUCCUAGUUCUUUCGUUCUUGGUUGUGAUGGUUCUUGCUUCUACGCAUUUAGAAAGGGAGGGAGAGAGAUAGAGAUGGCGAAUCCUUUAUCCUUUCAUAAAAACCAGAGUCAUCAGGUGGACAACAAAGGUCCCCUCAACAUGGUGGUGUUGGGUUCAAUUCAUGCUCCCUCAGCUCUCUCUCCACUCCAAAUGAUGAUCGUUUCUUCUUCAGAUAAUAAGAGCCUAGUUCUUGGAAGAUGAAGAACCAUAGCCUUUGGUUCCAGUGUUGUAGUACUGGUUUCCUUACUCAACUUGCACAACCCAAUUCGUGUCAAUUACGGGUGGGGAGGGGAUUGGGAAAAGGGGUGCUGAGUCAGCACAAGGCACAGGUUUUAAAUUUCAUGUGAAAUCGUGAAAUCAGACCGGUUUUUAUGUUUUUUACGGGUUGACCCGAUUUUAUGCGAGUUUGACCGGGUUUGAUCGAUUUUACCGGUUUUCGAGUUUUAAACCUGAUUUUACACGUUUUAUGCAUUUUGACUCGUAAAAUCAGCGAUUUUACGAGUCAAAACUAGUUUUUAACAACCAUGAUCUCAGAUAAAAUAAAUAAUAAUCAAAAUAAUAGCUUCGCUGGNNNNNNNNNNNNNNNNNNNNNNNNNNNNNNNNNNNNNNNNNNNNNNNNNNNNNNNNNNNNNNNNNNNNNNNNNNNNNNNNNNNNNNNNNNNNNNNNNNNNNNNNNNNNNNNNNNNNNNNNNNNNNNNNNNNNNNNNNNNNNNNNNNNNNNNNNNNNNNNNNNNNNNNNNNNNNNNNNNNNNNNNNNNNNNNNNNNNNNNNNNNNNNNNNNNNNNNNNNNNNNNNNNNNNNNNNNNNNNNNNNNNNNNNNNNNNNNNNNNNNNNNNNNNNNNNNNNNNNNNNNNNNNNNNNNNNNNNNNNNNNNNNNNNNNNNNNNNNNNNNNNNNNNNNNNNNNNNNNNNNNNNNNNNNNNNNNNNNNNNNNNNNNNNNNNNNNNNNNNNNNNNNNNNNNNNNNNNNNNNNNNNNNNNNNNNNNNNNNNNNNNNNNNNNNNNNNNNNNNNNNNNNNNNNNNNNNNNNNNNNNNNNNNNNNNNNNNNNNNNNNNNNNNNNNNNNNNNNNNNNNNNNNNNNNNNNNNNNNNNNNNNNNNNNNNNNNNNNNNNNNNNNNNNNNNNNNNNNNNNNNNNNNNNNNNNNNNNNNNNNNNNNNNNNNNNNNNNNNNNNNNNNNNNNNNNNNNNNNNNNNNNNNNNNNNNNNNNNNNNNNNNNNNNNNNNNNNNNNNNNNNNNNNNNNNNNNNNNNNNNNNNNNNNNNNNNNNNNNNNNNNNNNNNNNNNNNNNNNNNNNNNNNNNNNNNNNNNNNNNNNNNNNNNNNNNNNNNNNNNNNNNNNNNNNNNNNNNNNNNNNNNNNNNNNNNNNNNNNNNNNNNNNNNNNNNNNNNNNNNNNNNNNNNNNNNNNNNNNNNNNNNNNNNNNNNNNNNNNNNNNNNNNNNNNNNNNNNNNNNNNNNNNNNNNNNNNNNNNNNNNNNNNNNNNNNNNNNNNNNNNNNNNNNNNNNNNNNNNNNNNNNNNNNNNNNNNNNNNNNNNNNNNNNNNNNNNNNNNNNNNNNNNNNNNNNNNNNNNNNNNNNNNNNNNNNNNNNNNNNNNNNNNNNNNNNNNNNNNNNNNNNNNNNNNNNNNNNNNNNNNNNNNNNNNNNNNNNNNNNNNNNNNNNNNNNNNNNNNNNNNNNNNNNNNNNNNNNNNNNNNNNNNNNNNNNNNNNNNNNNNNNNNNNNNNNNNNNNNNNNNNNNNNNNNNNNNNNNNNNNNNNNNNNNNNNNNNNNNNNNNNNNNNNNNNNNNNNNNNNNNNNNNNNNNNNNNNNNNNNNNNNNNNNNNNNNNNNNNNNNNNNNNNNNNNNNNNNNNNNNNNNNNNNNNNNNNNNNNNNNNNNNNNNNNNNNNNNNNNNNNNNNNNNNNNNNNNNNNNNNNNNNNNNNNNNNNNNNNNNNNNNNNNNNNNNNNNNNNNNNNNNNNNNNNNNNNNNNNNNNNNNNNNNNNNNNNNNNNNNNNNNNNNNNNNNNNNNNNNNNNNNNNNNNNNNNNNNNNNNNNNNNNNNNNNNNNNNNNNNNNNNNNNNNNNNNNNNNNNNNNNNNNNNNNNNNNNNNNNNNNNNNNNNNNNNNNNNNNNNNNNNNNNNNNNNNNNNNNNNNNNNNNNNNNNNNNNNNNNNNNNNNNNNNNNNNNNNNNNNNNNNNNNNNNNNNNNNNNNNNNNNNNNNNNNNNNNNNNNNNNNNNNNNNNNNNNNNNNNNNNNNNNNNNNNNNNNNNNNNNNNNNNNNNNNNNNNNNNNNNNNNNNNNNNNNNNNNNNNNNNNNNNNNNNNNNNNNNNNNNNNNNNNNNNNNNNNNNNNNNNNNNNNNNNNNNNNNNNNNNNNNNNNNNNNNNNNNNNNNNNNNNNNNNNNNNNNNNNNNNNNNNNNNNNNNNNNNNNNNNNNNNNNNNNNNNNNNNNNNNNNNNNNNNNNNNNNNNNNNNNNNNNNNNNNNNNNNNNNNNNNNNNNNNNNNNNNNNNNNNNNNNNNNNNNNNNNNNNNNNNNNNNNNNNNNNNNNNNNNNNNNNNNNNNNNNNNNNNNNNNNNNNNNNNNNNNNNNNNNNNNNNNNNNNNNNNNNNNNNNNNNNNNNNNNNNNNNNNNNNNNNNNNNNNNNNNNNNNNNNNNNNNNNNNNNNNNNNNNNNNNNNNNNNNNNNNNNNNNNNNNNNNNNNNNNNNNNNNNNNNNNNNNNNNNNNNNNNNNNNNNNNNNNNNNNNNNNNNNNNNNNNNNNNNNNNNNNNNNNNNNNNNNNNNNNNNNNNNNNNNNNNNNNNNNNNNNNNNNNNNNNNNNNNNNNNNNNNNNNNNNNNNNNNNNNNNNNNNNNNNNNNNNNNNNNNNNNNNNNNNNNNNNNNNNNNNNNNNNNNNNNNNNNNNNNNNNNNNNNNNNNNNNNNNNNNNNNNNNNNNNNNNNNNNNNNNNNNNNNNNNNNNNNNNNNNNNNNNNNNNNNNNNNNNNNNNNNNNNNNNNNNNNNNNNNNNNNNNNNNNNNNNNNNNNNNNNNNNNNNNNNNNNNNNNNNNNNNNNNNNNNNNNNNNNNNNNNNNNNNNNNNNNNNNNNNNNNNNNNNNNNNNNNNNNNNNNNNNNNNNNNNNNNNNNNNNNNNNNNNNNNNNNNNNNNNNNNNNNNNNNNNNNNNNNNNNNNNNNNNNNNNNNNNNNNNNNNNNNNNNNNNNNNNNNNNNNNNNNNNNNUUCCUGAAAACCACUUUUCCGGAAAACAAACAUAGCCAAAAGAGAAAAUACUUUUCUGGAAACCAAGUAAAAUUUUUCUUUGACGGGAAACUGUUUUCCUUUAACAGGAAAGUGUUUUCCGUUGACCACCUUUCCUAAUGGCAAACAAACACAGGAAAGUUUGGAAAGUGAUUUCCGGGAAACAAACAUGGCCUUAAUAUCAAAGAUUAUAAACUUAUAUGUAAGAUGUAUUUCUAAUAUUAAAUAAGCGUUAGUUAUUCUUUUUGUUGAUAUUAGAACGAUUAUGUUUUAUCCAAUAAGAUAAGAAUCUCCUUACUGAGGAGGUCUUUUCUUAAACCUUAGACAUAUCAAUAAUUAGUAAACACGACAACACCUUAGUUUAUAUCAAACAAUCAAACAAUGCAGCUUACCUUAGGUACAACAUAUUUGGGGUACUAAUAUAUUUCCUUUACGCAACUAGUCCAAGUGUCUAGUCUUUGAAACCAGUUAGGAUUCAUAGUAACCAAAAACUAGGUGGUGACUCUCAUUCCCUCUUUCCACUAAUAAUAAACAAGAAUUUCUUGUCUACCUUAAUUUCCAGAUACUCAAAUCAAUAAAGUGGAAACAUUCACCGCGAUAUCGCACACAUGCAAUAAAAUUCAAACUAUAAAAUAAAAGGAGUAAUCAUUCAUCAAGUUCCAUUAACCUCUUUGUCAUGUGGCCGGAUUUGUUUGUUUGUUUGUUUUUCUGGGAUGCAGGCGACAUCUCUCCCACUAACUUUUCUAGCAUGUCCUAAAAUACUGUAUUGUUUUCCAUCCUCUCUGACAUGUCAUCAAAAGCAUUGCGAUUUCAUGAUUAUCUUUUUGGUGCACAUGCCAAUCAAGAUCAAUAACAAUCAAGGUUAAUAAAGAAACCAAAAGGUCACAAAUAAUAUUACUAUUAAUAAUAAUGAUAAUAGUUCUAUGCAUUUUUUAUUUUGAUCCUUGGUCUUGGAUUUAAGCGAUUUGACCCUGAAUUAACCAUUAAACUUUUAAUUUUUUUCAAUUUAACCCUAGAUUGCAAUCAAUUGGGUCUUUAUAGUUCGAUGUUUUUUGUAGAUUGGUAUUUGAAUGCGAAUUUCUUUAAUUUAACCCCUAAUUGACCCAAAACUUUGAUUUUCUUAUGAUUUUACCCCUGAUUUCAUCAAUUAACAUGGUAAAAAAUGAAUUUGGUCUUCUAAAAUUUCAUUCUUCUUAAUUAAGUUCAAAUUGAGCUCUCCAACUUAAUUUUUCACCAAUUAGGCCCUCAAUAACAUUAAUUUUAUUAGUCCCUGGAUGUGAAUUUCUUCAAUUUAACCCUAAUUGACCCUAAAACUUUGAUUUUCUUAUGAUUUUACCCCUGAUUUCAAUCAAUUAACAUGGUAAAAAAUGAAUUUGGUCUUCUAAAAUUUCAAUCUUCUUAAUUAAGUCCAAAUUGAGCUCUCAAACUUAAUUUUUCACCAAUUAAACCCUUAAUAAAAUUAAUUUGACCCAUUUACAGUAUAAUAAAAUCCCUGUACCUAAUUAAAUCCUUCAAUUGGAUCCAAAUUAAUUCUUAAACAUAAAAAAUUAUUUAAUUUGGCCCAUGAUUAAAUCUAAUUGGCAUAUUAAAAAACUAAUUAUGUCUUUGGACUUAGAAAUUAUGCAUAUUUGUCCAAUAAUGAUUUGAUUUGACCUUAAAUCUGCAUUGUCUCUCCAGGUUUGGGUAUAAUGAGCUACAAUUAGGCUUUCAAUUUGUCUAGAAUUGUAGCUUCAUCUUCCUAUAUAUUUGAAAUCCUUUCUAGCCUACUUUUUCAAGUCGGCAGUACUCUUCUUGCUUUCUUUACUUUAUAUUUUUAUUUUGGAAAGAAAAAAGAUGAAUUUAAGGCAUAAAUUGGUUGUUGUUGUUAUUAUUAUUAGCACAAUUAUUAUUAUUACUAAUUAAUAUCAUCACUAUCAUUAUUACUAUUAUUACUAUUAUUAUUAUUAUUAUUAUUAUUUAUUUCCUACAAUCAUUCAUCAAAUGCAAAUUAUAAAAUGAAAAAAAAAAGUACUCAUUCAUCAAGUUCCACUAACCUCUUUGCCAUGUGAAUGUGUUUGUUUUUUCUUUUCCGCGGGAUGCGGGCGACAUCACCCCCCACUAACUUAACUUUUCUAGCAUGUUCUAAGAAAUGAUGCAGUUCUUCAUCCUUUGUGACAUAUCAUCAAAAGUUGUGCAGUUUAUAUAGAUGAUAUGUAUCUUUUUAUGAUUAUCUUUUCGGUGCGAAAUGUUUAUCAAGAUAUUAAUAUUAUUAAUAAUAAUAUUAAAGGAUUGUGGUGCAGGAGAUUAUGAAGAUUUGACUAGUCAAAAUAUAAAAGAUAUAAUUAUAGAAUAAUAUAAGUCUAAGAAAAGAGACGGUCGAGUCAAAUGAUAUGUGUUAUAAAAACAACUAUAAUUUUUAACAGUGCUCAAGUCUCAUAAAUAAUACUUUAGGUCUUUUUUUAUAAUUUUAUAGUGGACAACAAGAAUUAUUGAGGAGAAAUAAAUAAUUCAUGGGGAAGUGGAAUCAAAGAAAAGAUAGUCUCCAAAACCAGAUUUGUGGGGGCCUCUCAUAGUAGUAGGCAGUAGCUGGGUUUCCUUGGGCUUUGGGUCGCGGCUUCAGCAUGAAGAGGGUGUUUGGUUUUAAAAUCAAAGACAAAUGAUGAUAUCAUGGUUUGAUGUGGCGGAGGGAGAUUGAGUGGGAUUUGGAAAGAUUGUGGAAGCGGGUACACUUGAUUUUUUUUCUCUUCUUCUUCUUUUUUUUUCUAUUUAGGAAAAUAUUAAACUUCAUAGAUGUGUAUAUUAAAACUCGGCCUAGUCGUCUUGCGGGUCUUUGAAUCUUAUUGAUUUGCUUCAACCGAUUCAGAUUGAAAAUAAUAAUAAUAAUAACUUGAACAAAAAUUUAAGAUUGAUGCAUUCACCAGGUCGAUAUGAUAGGUGGCUAGUAUGAGAAAAUGAAGAGAUAAGAUUGUUUGAGUUUUUUAUUGUUUUUAUUUUUUACUUUUUUACUUUUUUUAUUAGUUUAUAUUAUUUAAAAACAUGUUUGUGUGCAAUAAAAAAUAGUUUUUAAAGUGUAUUUUAUUUGUAAAUAAAUUAAUAUUUUUUUUAUUUUUAAAAUUUAAUUUUGAUAUGAAUAUAUUAAAACAAUUUAAAAAUAAUAAAUAAUAAAUAAUAAUAAAAUGAUAUUAUUUAAAAAAAAAUCUGAUUUAACUGAAUAAUACGAGAAUUAACCCAGCUCUCUAUUUCUUAGAUAUAAAUAUAGGUCAGAUCUUUCAGAUAUGCACCAAAUGACCAGAGGCAGGAUUUUAGAGUUAUCCGCUUCAUCAAAACUCCCUUCGCAGUCUUGAAAUUGUAGGCCAAAGCUACCUCGUCCAUUACCUUCUUAAACUCUCCUCCUCUUAAAUCUUACACCCAUAAAUAGAUAUGGAGGAGGUUCGCCGCGCUGCUGUAGCUUAUUAUGAGAAUCUGUCCGAGGAGAAGAAGCGAAAUGCCAGAUUUUCUUUCAAUGAAAUGGACAAAAACGGAGACGGGCGAAUUAAUCUACAUGAAUACUUGGAGUAUCUCAAGAAAGAUAACAACACGGUUCUUACUCAUCCAAGCUUGUUUACAGCGCUGGACAAGGACGGCAAUGGAAGCUUGGAUUUUGAGGAAACAAUCGUCUUGUACUACAUCAUGCAGAGUGGAAGAGCUCUAAUUUGCCAGUCUUGUAAUACGUUCUUGGCUGACGUAUACUUCAGUUGCUCUCAAUGUUUCUUCAAGGAUGAUUCAGAUAGCACCUAUGAAAUUUGUUGUGAUUGUUAUGGUGGAAAAAGGUUCACUCACCACGCUGAUGCCAUCUUCUGCGAUAACUAUACUUUACUCAGUCAAAGCAGGAGCUUGGCAGUAAAAGCUCCCGUACAGGUAAUUAAUCUUUGAAAAUGAUAUCAACUUCGAUCCCUGUUAGAUGAUGGCAUGCUAGAAAGAAAUACUUCAGAUUGCUUAAAAUUUUCAAUUUUUGAAACGAAUUAAUUAUGUUUCUUUUAUUGUGGAUUUGGUUUGAAUUGGGUUUUUCUAGCAGAUUGCUUCUUCAUUAUUAGGAAUUGAUAUAUGUUCUUUCAUUAAAUUGAAAAAAAAUGAGAGAAAUAACAGGAUUAAUCAACUAGUGAUACUUAUUUAUUUUUAUUUUUUUUCUAUCGGAAUAAUUUAAUCUAUUUUCCUUUUUUAUAAAUUUUUUCAUUCUACAAUUUUUAUUAUUUUUUCCAGAACUAUUUUUGUUAAUGUUUGUGUAUUUGUAUUAGUUAAGAGUCCACUUGUCUAUCAUUUAUGUAUAUAAAAUUAUUUUUGGAUUAUAUUGUUCCACUUAUGUUUCGUUAAGGUUUUUUGUGUUUAAUUUUCUUAAAUCAUAAAACACAUGUCAAGAAUAUGUGCUUUGCCUGAUAGGAUCAUUAAUUAAAAAAAUAAAACUAUAUUUAUAUGUAUAAAAAAAAGAAUAUUUGAAUUAAAAAACCCAAACAAAUAAAAAUUUAUCAUCAAAAUAAAAAAUAAACUUAGCAUUUUGUGAAGAAUAUUAAUUACACAUAAAAAAAGAAAUUAAAAAAGACACACACACACACACACACACAUAUAUAUAUAUAUAUAUAUAUAUGAAACUACAAAAUACAUGUUAUUUGUAGGAAAAUAAUAACUCAUAUUUGUCCUUAUUUUCAUGUAAAACCUAAUUAUCUCAAACACACAAUUAACCAUAAAAUGCUAAAUUUCUCAUUCAUAAUCAGAUUAAUAAAAAACUUUUUAGAUAUUAAUAUUUAUUGGUAUUUUCGAAAUUUGUUUUAUAGUUUGGAUGUUACCAAUUAGUUUCACAAAAUUUACCCAUAACAGAACAUUAGUUCCAAAUAUCUAAUCAUAUGCUUUGUUAUCUUUAAUUUCAGAAUCGAAGAAAUGUGCUUGAAAAAAUUGUAAUGAUAGUGGAAGUUACAAGCGUGGCUUUUGCUUUAGGCUGUAGCAUCAUGUGAAAGACGUAUGAUGCAUUUUAUCGUCAUUGUGUUUCAAUUUUAUUAGAAUUUUGUGAAGGGUGAAACUUGAAUUGCUUGCUUGUGGAAGACUAUUAUUGCUGAAGCAAUGAAAAACUUCAACUACAUUGAACUUUUCACGAGCUGUGAUCAUUAGCUAGUGUAUUAGGGGAAUAUUAUGUAUUCUAGCUGUUUGAACUCGUAGGAUUGUUAAAUGAUUGUUUGUGGCUUACUAAAUUUAUUGCAUAAGAGCUUGUGAUUCCUAGAAUUAUUGUAUGGUUGCUUGCUUGUGGUUGCUGGUCACUGCAAUUGGUGUAGAAAACGGCCUUGUUGUGCAUAGAAAAGGUUGGUUGUGCACUCACACUGACCAUGAAUCAAUAGCUGAUCAUUUCAUAUUUUUUUUUACCAUUAUAUAUAUUGUUUUUGUAUUGAUAAUUUAAAAAAAAAUAAAAAAAAAUUAGAAGAAAAGAAUAUAUAAGAGAAAAUCAAUACAUCAAAGACUUUUUUUCAGUGGGUAAAACAUAAUUCAAAAUAUAAUAAGGGCUAAUUUAGUUUAAAAAUAAUAAGUGCAAGGAAAAAAAAAGAGUAGAAAAAGCAAAAUUGUCUUAUCGGUCACGGGCACCAACGGCAUUUAAAGAAGUUUUGAAAGAUUACCACCUAAUAUCAACAAUAGGGGACAAGAAGCAAGUAGAGAUGCUUAUAAUGAGAAAUUGGAAGCAGCAUACAUUAAAUUCUCCCUAGUAUAAAGUCCCUUUGGGCAUCAAAUUCGAGAGGCACCGCAUUGUUAUUUUGUUUUUUUUUUUUUUUCUUUAAUCAUCAAAAACAGAUCCUUGCCCUUGCCGCAUUAUUCAAUGAGUUUUUCAUUUAAAAGAUCAUCAACUUGACAUGUCAUUGAAAGCUGUGCAAUUUGUUCAGAUGAUAUGUAUCUUUUUAUGAUUAUCUUUUUGGUGCAUAUACCAAUCAAAAUUAAUAAAGAAAUCAAAGGCCAUUAGUAAUAUUAUUGUUAAUAAUAAUGAUAAUAGUAGUACUAUUAUUAUUAACACUAUAUCCUUAUAUAUCUUUCAUGGACAUUAUAUCUUAUUUUCAAACUAAAUCUCUUUUAUUUAUAUUUUACACAAGCUAUUUAUAUCUAAAUCAUGCAUUUAUAAAAAUUUAUUUCUUGCAAUCAUUUAUUAAAUUCAAAUUAUAAAAUGAAAAAAAAAAAAAAAGGAGUAAUCGUUCAUCAAGUUCAACUAACUUUUCUGUCAUGUGAGCAUUUUUUUUUUCCUGUGAUGCAGGUGACAUCUCCCCCACUAACUUUUCUGGCAUGUUCUAAAAAACUGUGCAGUUUUCCAUCCUCUUUGACAUGUCAUUGAAAGCUGUGCAAUUUGUCCAGAUGAUAUGCAUCUUUUCAUGAUUAUCUUUUCGGUGCGCAUGCCAAUCAAGGUUAAUAAAGAAACCAAAGGCCAUUAGUAAUAUUACUGUUAAUAAUAAUGAUAAUAGUAGUACUAUUAUUAUUAACACUGUAUCCUUGCAUAUCUUUCAUGGACAUUAUAUCUUAUUUUCAAACUAAAUCUCUUUGAUUCAUAUUUUAAACAAGCCAUUUAUAUCUAAAUCAUGCAUUUAUAAAAAUUUAUUUCCUACAAUGAUUUAUCAAAUUCAAAUUAUAAAAUAAAAAAGUAAUCAUUCAUCAAGUUCCACUAACCUCUCUGUCAUGUGAGCGUGUUUGUUUGUUUUUUUCUAGGAUGCAGGCGACAUCUCCCUCACAAAAUUUUGCAGCUUUCAAUCCUCUUUGACAAGUCAUCGAAAGCUGUGCCGUUUCAUGAUUAUAUUUUUGGUGCAUAUGCCAAUCAAGUUCAAUAACAAUCAAGGUUAAUAAAGAAACCAAAGGUCAUUAGUAAUAUUACUUUUAAUAAUGAUGAUAAUAGUAGUUUUAUUAUUACUAACAAUGUAUCCUUGCAAAUCUUUCAUGGACAUUAUAUCUUAUUUUCAAACUAAGUCUUUCAACUAAAUCUCUUUGAUUCAUAUUUUAAACAAGUCAUUUAUAUAUAAAUCAUGCAUUUAUAAAAAUUUAUUUCUUGCAAUCAUUUAUCAAAUUCAAAUUAUAAAAUGAAAAAGAAAAGGAGUAAUUGUUCAUCAAGUUCAACUAACGUUUCUAUCAUGUGAGCAUGUUUGUUUUUUUAUUCCUGUGAUACAGAUGACAUCUCCCCCACUAACUUUUCUGGCAUGUUCUAAAAAACUGUGCAGUUUUCCAUCCUCUCUGACAUGUCAUCGAAAGCUGUGCAAUUUGUCCAAAUGAUAUGCAUCUUUUCAUGAUUAUCUUUUUGGUGCGCAUGCCAAUCAGGUCAAUAACAAUCACGGUUAAUAAAGAAACCAAAGGCCAUUAGUAAUAUUACUUUAAUAAUAAUGAUAAUAGUAGUACUAUUAUUAUUAACAAUGUAUCCUUGCAUAUCUUUCAUGGACAUUAUAUUUAAUUUUCAAACUAAAUCUCUUUGAUUCAUAUUUUACACAAGUUAUUAAUAUCUAAAUCCUGCAUUUAUAAAAAUUUAUUUCUUGCAAUCAUUUAUUAAAUUCAGAUUAUAAAAUGAAAAAAAAAAAGAAGUAAUCGUUCAUCAAGUUCAACUAACUUUUUUGUCAUGUGAGCAUGUUUUUUUUUUCCUGUAAUGCAGAUGACAUCUCCCCCCACUUACUUUUCUGGCAUGUUCUAAAAAAAUGUGAUUUUCUUGCAUGUUUUUCUAUCGAUUUUGUCAUGUAUUGGGUUGUAAUUUGACACUGUAAGAUACAAACUCGGUAUUAAAAUACCCUGUUUUCUUCGAAAUGUUGCAAAAAACAUUAUUAAAAAAACUUGUUUUGUUUUCAUGCAUACAGUCAAAUCUCUCUACGAUAAAAAAAAAUCAUAUCGUAUUCUCAUACAACAAAAUUUCAAAAUAUGUCUGAAGCAUGUAUUUUUUGCUUUAAUAACCAUUUCCUUAAAGCCACGAGAACUAGGUUAAUAUUUUAAAAUUUUCAAAAAAAAUAUUUUGUGUUCUUUUAAUAUCAGAUUUUAUUAACAUUAGAACGGUUAUGUUUUAUCUGAUAAGAUAAGAAUCUCCUUACCGAUAAUGACUUUUCUUAAAUCUUAGACAGACAAAUAAUUGGAAAACACAACAAUACCUUAGUUUAUAUCAGAUAAUCAAACAAUGCAGCUUACCUUAGGUACGAUGUAUUUGGAGUGCUAAUACCUUUUCUUUACGCAACCAGUCUUUGUACCCAAUCUUUAAAACCAGUUAAGGUUCCUGGUAACCAAAAACUAGGUGAUGACUAUCAUUCCCUCUUUCCACUAAUAACAAACAAGAAUUCCUUGUCUACCCUAUUUUCUAGAUACUCAAACCAAUAAAGUGGAAGCAUUCGUUGCGACGCCACACACAUGUGAUAAAAUUCAAACUAUAAAAUAAAAGGAGUAAUCAUUCAUCAAGUUCCACUAACCUCCCUGUCAUGUGGGCGUGUUUGUUUGUUUUUUCUUCCUGGGAUGCAGACGACAUCUCUCCCACUAACGUUUCUAUCAUGUCCUAAAAUACUGUGCAGUUCUCCAUCCUCUCUGACAUGUCAUCGAAAACUGUAUGGUUUCAUGAUUAUCUCUUUGGUGCACAUGCCAAUCAAGAUCAAUAACAAUCAAGGUCAAUAAAGAAACCAAAAGGUCAUUAGUAAAUUACUGUUAAUAAUAAUGAUAAUAGUUUGAUGCCUUUUUGAUUUUGGUCAUUGGUCUUGAAUUUAAGUGAUUUGACCUUAAUUGACCAUUAAACUUUUUAUUUUCUUUAAUUUAACCCUUGAUUGCAAUCAAUUAGGUCCCUAUAGUUUGAUGUCUUUUGCAGAUUGGUCUCUGGAUGCGAAUCUCUUCAAUUGACCCUAAAACUUUGAUUUUCUUAUGAUUUUACCCCUGAUUUCAAUCAAUUAACAUGGUAAAAAUUGAAUUUGGUCUUCUGAAAUUCCAACCUUCUUAAUUAAGUUCAAAUUGAGCUCUCAAACUUAAUUUUUCACCAAUUAAGCCCUUAAUAAAAUUAAUUUUAUUUGUCCUUGAAUGUGAAUUUCUUCAAUUUAACCCUUAAUUGACCCUAAACUUUGAUUUUCUUAUGAUUUUACCCCUGAUUUCAAUCAAUUAACAUGGUAAAAAAUGAAUUUGGUCUUCUAAAAUUUCAAUCUUCUUAAUUAGGUCCAAAUUGAGCUCUCAAACUUAAUUUUUCACCAAUUAAACCCUUAAUAAAAUUAAUUUGACCAAUUUACAGUAUAAUAAAAUCCUUGUACCUAAUUAAAUCCUUUAAUUGGAUCCAAAUUAAUUCUUAAACAUAAAAAAUCAUUUAAUUUGGCCCAUGAUUAAAUCUAAUUGGCCUAUUAAAAAUCUAAUUAUGUCUUUGGACUUAGAAAUUAUGCAUAUUUGUCCAAUAAUGAUUUGAUUUGACCUUGAAUCUGCAUUGUCUCUCCAAGUUUGGGUAUAAUGAGCUACAAUUAGGCUUCUAAUUUGUCUAGAAUUGCAGCUUGAUCUUCCUAUAUAUUUGAAAUCCUUUCUAGCCUACUUUUUCAAGUUGGCAGUCUUCUUGCUUUCUUUACUUUAUAUUUUUAUUUUGGAAAGAAAAAAUAUGAAUUUGAGGAAUGAUUCAAAAAUUGGUUGUUGUUGUUAUUAUUAUUAGCACAAUUAUUAUUAUUACUAAUUAAUAUCAUCACUAUUAUUAUUACUAUUAUUAUUAUUAUUAUUAUUAUUAUUAUUAUUAUUAUUUAUUUCCUACAAUCAUUCAUCAAAUGCAAAUUAUAAAAUGAAAAAAAAAAAAGUAAUCAUUCAUCAAGUUCCACUAACCUCUUUGCCAUGUGAACGUGUUUGUUUUUUCUUUUCCGUGGGAUGCGGGCGACAUCACCCCCCACUAACUUUUCUAGCAUGUUCUAAGAAAUGAUGCAGUUCUUCAUCCUUUGUGACAUAUCAUCAAAAGUUGUGCAGUUUAUAUAGAUGAUAUGUAUCUUUUCAUGAUUAUUUUUUCAGUGCGCAUAUUAAUCAAGUCAUUAAUAAUAUUAAAGGAUUGUGGUGCAGGAGAUUAUGAAGAUUUGACUAGUCAAAAUAUAAAAGAUAUAAUUAUAGAAUAAUAUAAGUCUAAGAAAAGAGACGGUCGAGUCAAAUGAUAUGUGUAAUAAAAACAACUAUAAUUUUUAACAGUGCUAAAGUCUCAUAAAUAAUACUUUAGGUCUUGUUUUAUAAUUUUAUAAUGGACUCCAAGAUGCUGGGUUGCAUGGUAUGAUUAGAUUUGUUUAUGGUAACAGUCAAUAGAAUUAUUGAGGAGAAAUAAAUAAUUCAAUUUAUGGGUAGGUGGAAUCAAAGAAAAGAUUCUCUCCAAAACCAAAUUUGUGGGGGCCUCUCAUAGUAGUAGCUGGGUUUCCUUGGGCUUUGAGUCGCGGCUUCAGUGAACUCCACUUACAGCUGUACAACUCCGACCAACCCGGCAGGUGAAUUUAGAAUCUUAUUGACUUGCUUCAACUGGUUCUGACUAAAAAAAAAAUUUAUAAUUUUUUUUAUUUAUUUUUAUUUAUUUUCUAUUAAAUUUUUUUGGUUAACUUAGAUAAAAAUCUAGAUUCAUCUAUUUAUCGAGUUGAUUUGAGCUUAACCUGUCUAAAAUCUGAUCAUUAACCCAUUAAUUUUUUAAAAUAUAAAACUAAUAUAAUAAUAUUUUUUUAAUUAUUAUUUUAAAAAAAAAUUAAGAUUUGACCCUUUCAAUUAAUAACCUAACUUUUAUAAGUAUAUUUUAUUCAAACCUGAUUAGUGAUGUUAAAAUAAAUAUAAUUAUAAUUCUGUUAUUUUUUUAUUUGUUUCGUACGAAAUAUUUUUUUAUUUCUAAAUAAAUUAAAGCUUUUUAGAAAAAAAAAAAAAAACUGCGCUGUCUUGGUUACUUACCUGUACUAUAAAUCACUGUCUAAUCAGAUGGAGACCAAAUUCUCUUCGGAGUGUUAAAAUUGUAAAUCUAAGAAGAAAACAGAUAUGGAGGGGAUUCGUAAGGCUGCUGAAGCUUAUUUUGAAAAUCAGUCCGAUAGGAAAAAGAAAAAGGCCAGAAAAACUUUCAAUGCCAUGGAUAAGAACGGAGACGGGAAAAUUAGCCUCCGUGAAUACACGGACCAUCUCACGAGAAAAAAAGCCACAAACUUCACUCAUCAGAACAUCUUCGGCGCGCUGGACAAGGACGGCAAUGGAAACUUGGAUUUUGAGGAAGCAAUCGUCUUGUUCUACCUCAUGCAGAGUGGAAGAGCUCUAAUUUGCAAGUCUUGUAAGACGUUCUUGGCAGGAGCAUACUUCAGUUGCUCUCAAUGUUUCUUCAAUGAUUCAGUUAGCACCUAUGAAAUUUGUUGUGAUUGUUAUGGUGGUAAAAAGUUCAGACACAACGAUGGGCACAUCUUCUGCGAUCACUAUACUUUACUACGUCAAAGCAGGAGUGCGAUACAAGCGGCCCCCAUAAGGGUAAUUUACUGAUUUGUUUACUAAUUACUAUACACUUGCCUAAAUUCACUGAUUACUCAUUGUUUCUGGAGCAUUAGGUUUUUUUUUUUUUGCAAUUUCAGCUGUCAUUUUUUUGUGUUGAGAUUUUCUUUUCUUUACAUGAUCUUUCUAAUUCAAACUGUCAUGAAAUUAAAUCAAAGAUCAAUUUAAUGAAAUAGAAUUUAAGGCUAGUCUUAAAAAAAUAAUAAAAACAAUGACGAAAUUUUUGUAAUUAGAACUGUGCUUUUAUUCAUUUUCUUUUGAAAAUCUUCAUUUUAGUCUACCUAAUUUAAUGAUUUUUAUUUAUAAUUCUGAACUUUAUUUUUUAAUAUUUCAAUUCUUUAGUGUUGAGAUAAGAGAAAAACUCGGUAAAAAAUAAAAAGGGAAUUGUAGUAACGAUGAGUGCCAUUUGAAUUCCCAUUUUUCGUAUUGAUUGAAGUUCUUUAAUUCUCUGAAUGAAGAGAUUAAUUAUAUUCUUAGGACUGGCUUCAAAAUAACUAAUAAUUCCCAUUUGAAUCCUCAUAUUUUCAUUGAUAAAAUUAUUCUCUCUGUCUAAUUAAUUAAUAAAUACCAUAAUAUGUUUUAAAAAAUGUUUGCGUAUAAAAAUAUGAACUCAGCCUUUACUAUAUGUGUAUUAUCUUUAAUUUCAGAAGCGAGAGAAGGUGCUUCAAUUCCUUAAAAAGGGACUGCUAGUUGCUAGUAUCAGUGCUGGUGUUGCUGAAUGCAUAUCUAAUGGUGAUGAUGAUGAUGAUUCAUCAAAAUUUAACUGUAGCAUUAUGUGAAAGAAACCAAUGAUGCAUUUUAUCACCAGUCAAAUGCUUCAUUCGUACUGUAAUUGCUGAUGAGGUAAGAACAAAUGACUUGAAACUCUUCAAGUGAAGCUCACAUGCAUCCAGUACGUAGAGAAUAAGCUCAAGUAACUUUUAUGGAGUUGUAUUUUUGUGUUGCAAUUGUAUUCUCAUGCAUUCGAUCUCCAUAUUCUCAUGUGUACUUUUGGAGGGCAUUGAGAAGUUGUUAGUUUAAUCUUAAGCUGCUAUUAUGUAAAAUCAUGUUGUUAAUGAAGCUUAUCUAGCGAAAUCAUUCAGCACCAUCACAAGUAUCAAGCUUAAAAAGUUUUCACUUGAAGAGAUAUGAGAUAUGUUAGAGAAUAAUAUAAAUCAUAAGACCUUACCUAGUAGAUUAAGAGUUGAGAUAAUUCUUUAAUAAAAUUAACUUUAAAUAGUUAUAUAGACAUGACUGUCGGAUGAGACAAGACACUCUAACUAGUUUUGCAUUCCAAUGUGUGUGUUUGAUUUAAAAAAACAUUAAAUUUAUGUUUUUAAUGCUUUUUAGUAAUCUUUAUAUGCUAAUAUAAAAACAAUUUGAAAAAAAAAUGAUAUAUUAAAAUCAUUUUAACAAAACUUCAUCACAUUCUCAGACACUCGAGCAACUGCUGUCAAAGGUGGAAGAUAAUCCACAAUGUUCUUUAAAACAAAACAGCACCGUUGGAUUAUCCCUAGCCCAAAUGGGGCUCACACACCUUUGCGCCAAUCCAACCCUUAAUUUUUUGAUAUCAUGCAAUAAACCCCUCUCAAUUAAACAUAAUUCUCGGGAGGACUUUUCUCAAUUUCAUCCCUAGAGAUUUCCAAUUGAACCCUCAACUUCCAGCGCCUCUUCCAACUUAUCCUUGGUUUUAAGAUUCAUCAAUUUGCCUAUUAAGUAGCCUUCAAACUUCUAGUAUCUUACAAUUUGAUCUUUAAUUUCACCCAAUUGAGUUUGAAAAAAUUAAAUUUAGCCAUGUAAAAUUUCAAUCUUCUCAAUUAAGCUCAAAUUCACAAUUAUUUUAAAUGAGAAUUAAAACAAAAUAUUUUAAAUUUUAAUACCUAAAUAAAUUGAGGUCUCUUCUUCCUACUAAAAAUAAAUAAAUAAAUAAACCCACAUGUACAUUUGAAUUUUAUAUUUUUCUCUUGGAAAAUUGUGCUAAUUGGUAUGUGAAUGUGGUCCACCUCUUAUCAUCCAAGAUUUGAAUUUUAAAAAAGAUUGUAAGAAAAUAUUUUAAAAAACAAAUUCAAGCAGGGACUUAGUCUCAAUGUAAAAAACUAAUUCAAAUAUAUUAUUACUUUUAAUGUUUAAAAACUAUAUAUUUAUAUGGAGUUGACUUUCAAGAAUUUUUAUUUUUUCCUCGAAGAGUCAAGAUAAACUAAUGGCUAUAUAUCAGUAGAAUUGCAUUCAAAUUUAAUUUAUCAUAUUGUUUUUAAAAUAUUCAAGAUGAUGUGAAUGCUUAUAGAAAACUUUUCAAUUUAAAAAACAAUAUAUAGAAAGUUGUUUCCAAAUUCUUAUUGUAAGAAAACACAAACCAGGUUUUAAUUCAUCUGAUUUUUCGUCUUUUUAUUUUUCGUUUUAAAACAAAGCUAAAAAAAACACUUUAUCUUUGAAAAACUAUGGUUAAUAAGCAUGCUUUUUUAAAAUUUUCAUGAAAGAUUCCCUUUUAUAAUAUAAAUAUAAAGUUACAAAUAGAAAUAAGAAAUAAGAAAUAAGAAAUAAUUUAAAAGUUGGUAUGAAAUAGGAAAUAUGGAUUGGAAUAUUUGAAUGCGGAGUAGCUGGGGUUGAAAUAUUUUUUGAUAAAUAUAUUAUUUUUAAUAAUUUGAUUGCAUUUAAGAAAUACGUUAGAAUACUAUUAUUAUUAUUUUUAUUGUUAUACAAAAAUUGGAACAUUUAUUUAAUCUAGAAAAUAAAGUUUUUUUUUUUGCAUGAUAUAGCGAGGUCAUUUUAAAAAUUAAUUUUUAUUUAGUUUUGUAGAAAUAAAGAAAUACUAGACAAAAAUUAAUGAUUUAAAUUUUAGAGUAAAAACUAUAUUUACAAAGAUCAAAUUAUCUCUUCUUAUUUAUGCAUUUAUUUAUUUGAUUUAAUAAUUUCAUGAUUUUUUUUAUCAAUAACAUUAUGUUUUGAAUAAGAAUUUAAAUAAAUUAAACUAAAACUAGAUAAGAAUUUAAUUUUUUAAAAUUUAUAAGAAAAAAUAUAUUUCUUUAGAUAAAAUUUCAUUUUUGUUACUCAUUUAUUUAUUUUUAUUUUUGUGGAAAUUUGUUUUUUAUCAAAAGCCUGGUUUUUCAUAUAAAAAUUUAUAAUGAUAUGUAAGUCGAUUUUCAACAAAGAAAUAAAAUUUUAUGAAAAACUAUGGUUAAUAAGCAUGCUUUUUUAAAAUUUUCAUGAAAGAUUCCCUUUUAUAAUAUAAAUAUAAAGUUACAAAUAGAAAUAAGAAGUAAGAAAUAAUUUAAAAGUUGGUAUGAAAUAGGAAAUAUGGAUUGGAAUAUUUGAAUGCGGAGUAGUCGGGGUUGAAAUAUGUUUUGAUAAAUAUAUUAUUUUUAAUAAUUUGAUUGCAUUUAAGAAAUACGAUAGAAUACUAUUAUUAUUAUUUUUAUUAUUAUACAAAAAUUGGAACAUUUAUUUAAUCUAGAAAAUAAAGUUUUUUUUUUUGCACGAUAUAGCGAGGUCAUUUUAAAAAUUAAUUUUUAUUUAGUUUUGUAGAAAUAAAGAAAUACUAGACAAAAAUUAAUGAUUUAAAUUUUAGAGUAAAAACUAUAUUUACAAAGAUCAAAUUAUCUCUUCUUAUUUAUGCAUUUAUUUAUUUGAUUUAAUAAUUUCAUGAUUUUUUUUAUCAAUAACAUUAUGUUUUGAAUAAGAAUUUAAAUAAAUUAAACUAAAACUAGAUAAGAAUUUAAUUUUUUAAAAUUUAUAAGAAAAAAUAUAUUUCUUUAGAUAAAAUUUCAUUUUUGUUACUCAUUUAUUUAUUUUUAUUUUUGUGGAAAUUUGUUUUUUAUCAAAAGCCUGGUUUUUCAUAUAAAAAUUUAUAAUGAUAUGUAAGUCGAUUUUCAACAAAGAAAUAAAAUUUUAUGCAAAUCAAUAAAAUAAUAAUUAAUUCAAUAUAAAAAAAUUGAUAAUAAAAUAUAUUUUUAUUGAAUAUUUAUGCGUAUGUUAACAAUAUUAUGGAUAUUAGUUUAAUAUAUAAUUAUCAAAACAAUUAUAAAUAUAACCAUAAAAAUUUCUAAAAUAAUUUUUAAAUAUCAUUAUUGAAUAAUUUUUGAAACAUGAGCAAAAGUAUUUGUUUAAAGAAGAUUUUAUUUUAAAAUAUAAAGAUUUUAUAUAAACAAAAUAGAAGGUAAGAGCGAAGAGAGGCCAUAUAGGUAUGGGUAUGGCCUACACUACUAAGCUCGAAAACAUUGACAAGUAUUUUUAAUAAACAAAUAAUAUAUUGUCUGUCUAGAUAAAUAAUGUAUUGUCUGUCAUAACAAAUUUUAGUAAUCGGAGAUGGUUAAAAAAUUGAGUUUUUGGGAUAUUUGGACCUGAAAAACCUUAAAUUUCAACUUAUUUUUAUCUAAAAGUAUCUUAUUACAAUACUUAAAAACUCCAUUAAAAGCCCUAAAACACUCACUAAUGAAUCUAAAAACUGAAAAACAAACUGAAUAAAAAAAAUUAGUUAUGAAUUGUGAUUGCUAGCAUGAGUAAAGAUCAAAACCAUUAAAUGAAUACCAUUUGUAGCUAGUUAAUUUUCUUUCCUCUCUUAAUAUUCAAGAAUUGAAAAAUAAUAAAAAUAAAAUUUAGAACCAAAAUAUAAAUAUGUACAACUAAAAAAAAAAUGAAGGGACAAAUUAUACUUUUAGGGAUAAUUACAAAAACGAUCUUUUAUAGUUUGAUCAUGUUUACUUGUUGUAUUUGGAGAUAUUAUACUUUACAUCAUAGGUUUUAUAUGUUAAAUAGAAGUUUACAUCCUCAACCUCGCUAGCAAAAGUUUUUUAAAAAGAUGUAUGAAUUUUUAUAAGUUUUUCAUUAUAUUCAAUUUAAUGACUAAAGAACUCCUAAAGCCUCAAAAUAAUAAAAUUGUCAUCCAUUUUACCAUUGCUAUAAAUUAAAAAACAAAUAUUAUUACCUACAUUCAAUUUAAUUACAAAAAUGCAAUCAAAACAUGUUUAUAACAAGAUUGCUUCCUUUUCCAUAACCAUUUGGUGUAAACCUAUAAACGCAGUUUUUAAUGAUUUUUCAUGAAUACUAGAUGAAUUGAAGAAAAUAAAAGAUGAAGUAGGAACAAUUUGGAUCAAAAAUCACAAUAUAGAUGCCACUUUUACAAGUAUUGAGUUGUUGUUGAUAAGUAUUUUAGUAUGUGUGGUGUUAUUGUUCCUAACUAUGAUCUUUCUCGUGUUCAACAAAUGAAACAUAUGUAUUCUCUUUUUAACAAAAUGCAAGAAACAUUAAUAUAUUAUAUAGAAAAAGCAUGCACAUCAAGGUAAUAAAUAUCCAAAAUUUAAACAUGUCAUUACAUCCACAUUGAUCCAUGAUAUUCAAGCUCUUGUUGCUUUAAGAAUAAAAAAAUGAGCACAUAAAACAAACACAUGUGAUUUCAUGGCCAUAUUGAUCUCAAUGCAUGGUAUUUGGGUAUACUGUUAAGAAGGGAAAAUGUCAGCACCAAUCUACAAUUUUAAAAAAAAAUCAUUGUUUAAUAAUUGCAUAAUUUAUAAACUAAUUGGACUAAACUUGAAUAUUAUGAAGGACCAACAUGUGUUCGUGUGUGUGUGUGGAGGAUGAACCGAUCCUACUUUUAUCACCUCUUGAACCUCUGUCAGCCAAUCUUCCACCUCUGUUAAGCCCUCUUCCACCUCUAGCAACCCUUCUUUCCACUUUGGCAAUUUCUCUUCCACUAGAUUUCAUAGCAACCUCAGCUCUUUCCUUUUUGAAAUUACCACUUUCAGCUCUCUAAUCAUCAUUCAAUCCUCUAAUUUGUUCACUAUUAUCUCUUUGGCAGAUCUCUAAAUUGUGGUCAUAUUGCUUACAAAUAUUGAACGUAACUGUGGUUGCCUUUUUUUCUUAUAUUAGAAUGUUGAUCUUCUCCUAGUUUCUUUUGUCUAUUUUUUCUCAGUCUCCUAACACUUCUUUUAAGGUUUGGAGGUAAAACAAUGAAAUCAUUUUCUUUAAGAUCUAAAUCAACUUCUUGUAAUGGGUGAACUGUUUGAAAGUAAAACAAUAUUGUUAUAGCACUUUUUUUUUUAUCAUGUCGUUUCAAUUCCUUCUUUUCUACUCCUCAACAAAACAAAUAAUGAAUAGUAGUGAUAUAAUAUCACUUUUGUCUAUUUUGUUUUAUGUAAAAUCAAAGCUUAAAGUUGCUGCUAAUUCUUCCUUUUUAAAGGCUAUGCUAAUUUUGGACUAAAAAAUUAACAAAUACAAUAGAAUUACUGAUGAAAAUACCCCGUUGAUGAAAAUAGUAAUAUUACAUAUCCAUUGGACAUUACUGACUUGAAUAGAGAUGAAAUAUGUGUCAUAAAUAAUUGAAAAAUCAAACCGACGUUGAAUAAAGAUGAAGUAUGUGUCGUAAAUAACCAUCUAGGUGGUAGUCCAGUGGUAAGAGCUUGGGACCAAGAGGUUUGCUCCCUCUGUGGUCUCAGGUUCGAGCCCUGUGGUUGCUCAUAUGAUGGCCACUGGAGGCUUAUAUGGUCGUUAACUUCAGGGCCCGUGGGAUUAGUCGAGGUGCGCGCAAGCUGACCCGGACACCCACGUUAAACUAAAAAGUAUGUGUCGUAAAUAAUUAAAAACUCAAUAAAUAUUUCAUUGGCAUGUAGUGAUUUACCUGGACAGAUAGUGGGUUUUAUCAAUAAUAUUGUGGUUACAUUCAUUGCUGCCGUCAAUUGUCACUACGGAGAAGUUGGAGGAUGAUACCAGGAUAAUAGCAACAAUUCACUCACAUAAAGGAUAGUGUAGUAUAUGCUGUAGUAUAUGCUCACCACUAUGUACAAAACCAAAGAUAUAUAUACACACAAACAAAUAACCCGUCACUUUAAAGAUACAUAUUUUCUCAUCACUUUAGAAAUACAAAAAAAUAUUUAGUACACGAUUCAAAUGAUAAUCAGAUACUUGGAACAAGUGUAGAGAAAAAACAAAAAUGAUAUAAUUGAGAUCACAAUAAAUAACUUUGACACAAAUCUAGAAAAAUAAUCAUAGUUGUCAAACCCGGUCUUGGGGUCGAUCUAAGAAAAUAAAAAAAAUUGUUUUGGGUUUCAAUAUCCCUAAUAAAAAAUUUAAGAAACGGUCUAUAUGGAUGUAGGCUAUACAUGUUUUAAAUAAUUAAAUUUAAAAGAUUAUUUCAAAAUAUUUUUUAUCCUAUAUUGUAACUUUUAAGUUGAAGUAUUUAAACAAAAAAGUUUCGUACACAAAAUUGGAAAAGCACAUCUUUCUUAUUGUGAACAUGAAGUAUAUAUACUAAUGGGCUUCAAAUCUCAUAUUAGAAAAAUAAAAGCCUUUUCUAGUGUUUAUAUAGUGAACUUUGAUAUGAGCGUAACCAACAAGAAAAUGGUGGUAGACUCGUGCGCAUAAGGUUGGGUCGAGCUAGUGUAAAACCUCUGAUCUCCCCCAUGUGCGCGAAGCAACGCCUAUACUAUCUGAACCUUCCAUUUUGUUCUUACCUCUCCUAAUUGAUUUAAUGUUUUUCACCUUUUUAUACAAUUGGGAUCAUUUAAACAAUAUCCACUAGGGAAGUUUUGUUUUUUAUAGUAUUGGACUAAGCUUUGUGUGUUUUAUGUGGUUUAUGCAAUUUGAUGUGUUUAAAUUUUUGCAUUUGGCUUAUUUCUUUAUUUUAUUUUAUUUACUCUUUAGCAUAUUUUAUCUUGUCCAUGCAUGUAUGUUGGAUACAAAUGAAUGUCUUCAUGCAUCAUUAGUUUAUUUGUGAUAGAUCGCUUCAGAAUGCAUACACAUGGAAAUUUUAGGCUAACUGAGGGACUAAUAGCUUACCUUAUAACAUUUAGUUUGUGUGUUUCCAACUCUUCACUGAGUGUUUAGACUGGUAAUGAUUGGUAUACAUGCUAUUUUAUUACCUACUAAGCCCCCAUAUUGUCUUUAUAAGGGUGAUCACUAGAACAACAAACCCUUUUAAGAGACCAAGCCAAGUAGUAAAUCUACCACCUGUCUCACGUAAAAGGAUUAAAACCUACAUUUAUGGUGUAUUGUAAUCACCCAACAAAACAAAAGUAAAGCCAGAAAUGACUCCACCGUAGUUGCAAAUUUCUAAAGUGGAAAUGACACGGUUUUCGUUACUGGUUCCCGAAUCGGCAGCGACACAGUUUUCGUUGCCGGUUUCUGAAUACGUAGCGCGUCAUAGUUUUCGUUGCUGAUUUUUUAGUCGGCAAGAACACAGUUUUCGUUGUUGAUUUUUGAAUCGGUAGCGCAUCACAAUUUUUAUUGUCGAUUUAUGAGUCGACAGUGACACGGUUUUUGUUGUUGAUUCUUGAAUCAACAGCGCAUCAUAGUUUUUGUUAUCGGUUCUGGAAUCGGCAAUGACACAGUUUUCGUUGCUGAUUUCUAAGUCGACAGUGACACAAUUUUCGUUGCUGAUUUCUGAAUCGACAGUGUGUCACAACUUUCAUUGUCGAUUUCUGAGUCGGAAUGACACAGUUUUCAUUGUUGAUUUUUUAGUCGGCAGCGACACAAUUUUUUUUACUAUUUCUGAGUCAACGACGGCUGCGUGUGCCGAUGAAUCCAUGCGUUUUGUAAAACCUAACAAAAAACUUAGUUCUUUGUUAUGUAAAACCCGAUGAAUUUUAUCUUUGGCCGAUCUAUAUUACCAAAAACUUAGUCAAUUAGGUGUUCAAUCAAAGGUUUAAAGUGAAAAGAAAAACCUAGAAAGAUCCUUCAUCUCAACCUCUAAGAGCAAAAAUCUCUGAUAGCAUAACUCAUGAUGGAAGAAUAGUAAAAGAAGAUGAAGGGGCAUAAGUGAUCCUAGACCUAUCAAAACCCUCAAACACCAUUUGAACCUGUGAAUUUCUUUUCUUUGGUAGCCAUGCAACUCAGCCUCCAUUAUGUGCUUUGAAAAGUUAAUUCUAAUCAAGCAAAAGGGAAAGAUUGAUAAAUAACGCUCUCUAAACUUAAAAAAUCAUUUAUGAGAGUCAUGAUGAAAUGGACAACUAUACAUUUUUGUUCACAUUGAGAAAAUCCAAACACAAGACUUCAAAUGAGUAUUUGAUCCUUCUUGAACCCAAUGCAAAAUAGGUUAUCUCCUAAACCAAUCCCCAUGAUGAAAUACCUUUCUUUAAAGACCGAUACAAAUCAUGAAAGUUAUAUGAACAUUAUUAUUUGACCUGUUUUUGAAUGGACAGGUCGCCCAUAAAAAUAAACUAGUGUUUGAAUUUCAAAAUGGGUAGGUUGCUCAUGAAAAUAUUCUAGUUUUUGAAUUUGAAAAGGGUAGGUCGUUCGUGAAAAUAUACCAGUUUUUUAAUGGACAGGUCGGCCGUGAAAAUAAAUCAGUGUUUUAAUUUCAAAAUGGACAGAUCGCUCAUGAUAAUAUACUAGUAUUUUAAAAACAAAAUUCAAAAAAGGGAGGUAGGUUGUCAUAGCCCAAAUUUUGGUUUUUGCUUUUUUUUUUUAUAUGAAAAAAAUUAAAAUUCAGGUCGAGACAACACAAGUUAGAAGUUUUUAGGGUUUAAUCAUGGUGGAAUUUUGACUUUAGAAGUUAAUUUUGAAAGAAUUAACAAGUCUGUGGUUUCGAUUAAACUUUGAUUCAGUUUAAUUAAUGACAUCAAGAGUUUAAUUGAAGAAUUAAUAAGUUUGGGGACUUAAUUGAGCUUAGAAUUAGUUUAAUUAAUAAAAUCAGGGGUAUAAUUGAAAAAAUAUUAAAUUCUAAACUAAUUUAAGUCAAAAUCGCAAGAAAUUAAAGUUCAAUGACCAAAAUACAAAGACGGGGUACUGUAGGGAGCUUAAUUGAUUUAUUCCAAGGGUAAUUUUGAAAAAAUUAAAAGUUAAAAAGUCAAUUAGGGAUUAAAUCGAUUUAAAAUUGAAGUCAAGGACCGUUUUGGAAAAGACACCAAGAUCCUGGGGUCUAAUCAUAGUUUUCCCAGGGGGCCUGUUUAAAGAAUUCCAAAAGUUCAAGGACCAAAUUGAAAAUGGUCAUCCCAGUCCAACACGACGCCGUUUCAAACAUGCACUGUUCUUCUUCCUUCUCUGACGCUGAAAGUCCACCUGCAAAGAAGGAAAGGAAAUUAUGAAAUGCCGGCACCCCAGUCCAACCAAAACACAAAUUGCAAAUCCUAUCUUCACGAAGAUUACAACCCUGGGGAGAUAAGGAUGAGAUUUCAUGCCCUCGUGCUUAUAAAAGGGAAGAACAGGGGAGAUCGCAGGGGGAGAAAAAAAAGGAGAAAAAGCUGGGAAAACAAAAGGAAGAACACUAGCCAAAAGCCUAAGAAACGGAGACCAGAAAUAUGACUUAACAACUUAGAAUCCAGACGAAAAAACAAAAAACCCAGAACACAGACGCAAAAAACAAUGAAAAGAAAAAACAGAGAAAAGAAAGGAACAGAGAAGGUAGGGAAAAAAAAUAAAACAGAAGCCAAAGAAAAGAAGAGAUAAAAGAAGAGGGAAGGAGCAGGAGCAGGACAGGACAGAAGCAGCCCGAGCGACAAGCGACUCCACGCCUUUGCCGCCAGCACAGGUAAGCUUCUUCCUCCCCACUCUUCUUGCAAAUUUAAUUAACUCCUCACUGUACACGCGUGAUCCUCGCGUGACUACUGCCUGGACCGGUUUCUGGUCUGUACCAGUAACAUGGCCGGGACUGCUUAGCUAUACCCAGCCCAACAUAAAAAAAGAGUAGUCUGGGCCUCAAGCCUAGCCAGCCAGACAGACUAUGCUUUGGUAAAACACACUCUUAUGUCUUAUUCAUAUAUUUUAUUCCCUUUUUAUUAUGAUAUUUAUCCAAAUGAGUCCCAUUUAAAUAUUAGAAAAUUUCAAAAAUAUUUUAGGAUCUCAUUGAUUUAUUUGUGAGCCCGUCGCGCUUUCUUUAUAUUUUUUCUUUGUGUUUUUUUUUUUUUUGCUCUAUGUUUUGUGGACCAAUACUGUUAAAUGCAAAUUUGCUGUGUAAUUUUUCUUUUUUAGGCUUGUCUAAAAAGAGUAAAUAAUUAAAAGGGAAAAAAAAAGGAAAAGCCAUAGAAAAUUUAUUACUCCUUAAACAUUUCAAAAUUUUGUGAACUUAUUUAUUGGUGUUAGAGUCAGGAAUAUCAUAUUCUUUUGGGUUUGUGCAAUAUUUACCAAUACCAGAGUUGAAAAUAUUCAUAGGUAUUGUUCAUUGAUGCUAGAGUCAGGAAUAUGAUAAGAAAUAAAAAAAAGGGAAAGUACAACUCUUUGCAAUUUUAGAGAAAACCAGCAAUGUAGUUUGCGUCAGGUAGGACGUUUAAGGGGUGAUAGUAUCUUUCCUUUCGCGUAACCAGUCUUAUGCCAAAUAAUCUUUAUUGACCAGUUAGGAUUCCUAGUAACCAUAAUAUUAGGUGGCGACUCCUUGAACUAAACAUUUUCUCAAAAAACGAGAUGUCAGAUAUUCGUUCUUUGCCCGAUAAAUAAACAAGAGAUGGUUUUUUAAUCAGUCACCACGAUGUUCGGGUGUGACAUAGGUCACUUGUGAUAACAAGACCAUUUUUUCAAAACAAAAAGUGAAGUCUUUGGAUGGGUGCAUCACAUAAAAAAUAUAGAAAAAUAAGCAUUGUAAAGAGGGGGCAUGUGUUGCUACCCAUUUUUUACCAUAUAAAAAAUAAAAGAAAAAUAUAGAAAAAAAAAUAAAUCUAAAAUAUAAGAGGAUACAUAUGAAGAAAUCCUAAAAGACUGCCCAAGUUAGUGGUGAAGGACCAAAAUGACAAAUGAAAAAGUUAGAGGACAAAAAUAUACAAGAUUGGCAAAAUUAACAACCCAAUUUUGAUUGACAAAAGGCCUCAUUGGUGAAAAUAUUUUUAUUUGGGGUAAAGAAAUGAAAAUUUUGAUGUUUAAGGACCCAAUCAGGAUUUUGAAAGACUUAAUUAAUUUUAUUAAAGACUUAAUUGCAAGGAAAAUCAGUUUUUGAAGUUAAUUUGGAUGUUAAUUGAAAACAAUUGAAGUUUAGGGACUGAAAUUGGAUUUUGGGAAUCUUAAUUGGUUUAAUCAAGGGCUUGAUUGCAUAAAAUUCAAAGUUUGAUGGACAAUUAAGGACUUAAUUGAACAAAUUAGAAACCAAUGACUAACUUGCAAAAGGCGUAUGAUUUCGAGGACUAAAAUUAGUGAAAAUCAAGGACUAAAUCAAAGAAAAUUAAAAGUUUGAUAGUUGUCUAGAGGUCUAAUUAAACAAAUAAAAAAUCAAGGACCAAAUUAUAAAAGACGCUCAAAUUUAAAGCUGGCAAUUGAACUUGACAUGGGUGAAAAUGCAUGAAAUUAAGAGUUCAGGAAGAAAUUAAGGGCCAAAUGAAAAGAAAUUGGAAGAAUAAGGAUUCAAUUAAAGUUUUCUAAAUCCCAAAUUAAAAACCCUAAUAUGUAGUUUUUAGCCAAAACAACAUUGUUCAGGGUACUAUGCAUCUUCUUCUUCAAUAGUUUUAGCUAGUCAAGUAGGUAUUUUAAGAUGAAUGAAUGUGGCAUUUCCGACCACCUCUGAGGCUAAAAUAACCACCAUUCAACUGAGAAACACCCCCUUGAUAACCCCAUUUCCAUGAAAUCAAACAUAUACAUUCAAUUUUCUCCAAUGAUCUCAACAACAUCUUAUCUUUAUUCAGCCAUUACUGCACAUUCAAAUUCCAUACUAAUUGAUCUGACACUUUCAAGUGGUCUCCUGCAAUGUUGACAUUGGAGUUGCUCCAGCAAUGCCACGAAAGUGACCAACUCAGUCAGCCUAGACUGAGACGCUCAUUUGCACAAAAUCAUCUAACUUUUUGUGUGUUUAUACUUAAAAAAAAUCCCCAAAGGGUUCUUAUUAUGGGUUUAAAAUAAAACCCUUCUCUUAAGAUCAAAAGGCCAGAAAUACUUCACCUUAGCCUCUAAGUUAGUUACAAAACAAUCUAAAUCCAAAACCAUUGUAUAACAACCCCUCAUUCAUAUGACUUAAACCAAAAGCAAGAACAUAAUAAUAUAGUUAAGAUUUUUGUACUAUCCUUGAUAAUAAUAAAAGUCAAUAUUAUGAAAAAUUGGAGAAAAUGAUAAAUUAAAUUAUAACAUAAUGAUAGAUUUUAUAAUUUGAAUAAUAAAAUGUUUUUGUACGAGUGUUAAAAUAAAAAUUUUAAAAAUACAGAAAUGCGAAUAAAAUUUUAAUGAAACUGAAAGUACUAGCGUGUAACUUAAUGAAAUUUGAAAUAUCUUGAGUAAGAUUUGGUAUAAACAGGCGUCAAGAUUUAGAAAAUUUUACCUGAAAAAUCAUAAAAGUUACUAUUGAGGGACAUAGAAAGAAUUUGUAAAAAAGUUAUGUUUAUAUAUAUGUACGCGCGCGUGCAUAAGCGUAUGUGUGUGGAAAGGAAGAAAAAAAAACUAAAAAAAACUUGAUUGUUUCAAAAGAGAAGGGGAAGCAUUAAUAUGUUAAGAUUACAUUUGAGUUUGAUUUGAAAUUUGCCAAAUAUGGCAGCAUGGUUUUGGUGUUCUUUUGUUUUAGUUAAUGCAUGUUUCUGAGUUUUUCUUUUUUUGUCCUAGUUAAAGUUUUAGAAAGAUUUUUUUAAAUCCAAAUUGCGUGAAUAUAUAGGCUGUUUUAAGUUGGUAAUUUUAAAGAUUGGAAUUUGAUGCAUAUUUAUGAUGAUUUGUUGUUUUUGUGAGUUUUUUUUUUUUAUUUAAGUAAGUUUGGUUUUGAUAAUGUGUCUUGUUGGAACCAAGAAACCAUGUUUUAGAAGUAAAAAAUAAUCAUUCUGGGUUUGGACAGUGGCUAGGUUUUCUGGGUUUGAUUUUUUAGGUUUAAGGCAAUGUUUUUCUUGUUCAAGGGAAGAACAUUACCUUAAACCUUUAUUUGGACCAUUUUUGUCCAUUUAUUUGAACAUAAACCUUCAUUAUGCAUGAUUAACCAAUAAUGUGGUGUUUUUUGUCAUUAACAACACGUUAUGGUUUAUGAUUCUAUGGUUUCGGUUUCAAAUCAAAAUUCAUUUUGAUAAAAUCAAGAUUUUUAAGUGAAAAUCAAUGUGAUUUGAUUGUAUUUUUACCAUAAUAUACGAGUUGUAGAAAACUCUCCCGCCUACCUCGUGUAGGGUAUGUAGGUGUGAUAAUAUCUUUCCUAGCUAUAACCAAUCCCUUACCCUUAAAAUUCUGAUAAAACCAGUACACCCAGGUCUCCAAGUGACUUUGAAUCAAACAACUAGGUGGCAACUUCCUGACCCCCAGACGUCAAGCUUCCACGUGCAACAAUUAUUUUUUUUAAGUGAUUUAAUUACUAUCCAUUAUCAGCACUAUUAUUAUUAUUAUUAUUAUUAUUAUUAUUAUUAUUAUUAUUAUCAAUAUCAAUAAUACUAGUAGUAAUACUACUGUUAAUACUAAUGAUAAUAGUAGUACAAUUAUUAUAACAAUGUAUCCAUGCAUAUCUUUCAUAGACAUAAUAUCUUACUUUCAAACUAAAUCUCUUUUUAAACAAGCCAUUUAAAUCUAAAUCCAGCUUUUAUAAAAAAUUAUUUUCUGCAAUCAUUCAUCAAAAUAAAAUUAUAAAAUGAAAAAAAAAAGAGUAAUCAUUCAUCAAAUUCCAGUAACCCCUCUGUCAUGUGAGCGUGUUUGUUUGUUUUUUCUUGGGAUGCAGACGAUAUCUUCCCCUACUAACUUUUCUAGCAUGUCCUAAAAACUAUGAAGUUUUCCAUCCUCUCUGACAUGUCAUCGACAGAAAUGUGGUUUCAUGAUUAUCUUUUUAGUGCACAUGUCAAUCAAGGUCAAUAACAAUCAAGGUUAAUAAUGAAACCAAAGGUCAUUAUUCGUAUUACUGUUAAUAAUAAUGAUAAUAGUAGUACAAUUAUUAUUAACAAUGUAUCCUUACAUAUCUUUCAUGGACAUUAUAUAUUAUUAUCAAACUAAAUCUCUUUGAUUCUUAUUUUAAACAAGCCAUUUAUAUCUAAAUCGAGCAUUUAUAAAAAUUUAUUUCCAGCAAUCAUUCAUCAAAUUAAAAUUAUAAAAUAAAAAAGAAGUAAUCAUUCAUCAAGUUCGAGUAACCUCUUUGUCAUGUGAGUGCGGGGUUUUUUUUUUUUUUUGUAGGAUGCAGAAAACAUCUCCACAACUAACAUUUCUGGUAUGUCUUAAAAAACUGUGCAGUUUUCCAUCCUCUCAACAUGUCAUCGAAAGCUGAGCGGUUUCAUGAUUAUCUUUUUGGUGCACAUAUCAAUCAUGGUCAAUAACAAUCAAGGUUAAUAAAGAAACCAAAGGUCAUUAGUAAUAUUAUUUUUAAUAAUAACGAUAAUAGUAGUACUAUUAUUAUUAACAAUAUUUCCUUGCAUAUGUAUCAUGGACAGUAUAUCUUAUUUUUAAUCUAAAUCUCUUUUAUUCAUAUUUCAAACAAGCCAUUUAAAUCUAAUUCGUGCAUUUAUAAAAAUUUAUUUUCUGCCAUCAUUCAUCAAAUUAAAAUUAUAAAAUGAAAAAAAAAAGUAACCAUUCAUCAAGUUCCAGUAACCCCUCUGUCAUGUCAGCGUGUUUGUUUGUUUUUUCUUGGGAUGCGAAUGAUAUCUCCCCCCACUAACUUUUCUGGCAUGUCCUGAAAAACUGUAAAGUUUUCCAUCCUCUUUGACAUGUCAUCAAGAGCUGUGCGGUUUAAUGAUUAUCUUUUUGGUGCACAUGCCAAUCAAGGUUAAUAAAGAAACCAAAGGGCAUUAGUAAUAUUAUUGUUAAUAAUAAUCAUAAUAGUAGUACAAUUAUUAUUCAAUGUAUACAAUUAUUAUUCAAUGUAUUCUUGCAAUCUUUCAUGGACAUUUUAUCUUAUUUUCAAACUAAAUCUUUAUGGUUCAUAUUUUAAACAUGCCAUUUAUAUCGAAAUCAAGCAUUUAUAAAAAUUUACUUCCUACAAAAAUUCAUCAAAUUAAAAUUAUAAAAUAAGAAAAUGACCAAUCAUUCAUCAAGUUCUAGUAACCUCUCUAUCAUGUGAGCGCUUUUAUUUUUUUUUCUGGGAUGCAGACAACAUCUCCCCUACUAAAUUUUCUAGCAUGUCCUAAAAAACUAUGCAGUUUGCCAUCCUUUCUGACAUGUCAUCAAAAGCUGUAGGGUUUCAUGAUUAUCUUUUUGGUGCCAUUGUCAAACAAGGUCAAUAACAAUCAAGGUUAAUAAAGAAACCAAAGGUCAUUAGUAAUAUUACUGUUAAUAAUAAUGAUAAUAGUAGUACUAUUAUUAUUAACAAUGUUUCCUUGCAUAUGUUUCAUGGACUAUAUAUAUUAUGUUCAAUCUAUAUCUCUUUAAUUCAUAUUUUAAACAAGUCAUUUAUGUCUAAAUCGUGCAUUUAUAUAAAUUUAUUUCCUACAAUCAUUCAUCAAAUUAAAAUUAUAAAAUAAGAAAAGGAGCAAUCAUUUAUCAAGUUCUAAUAACCUCUAUGUCAUGUAAGCGCGUUUGUUUUUUUUCUUGGGAUGCAGACAACAUCUCCCCCACUAACUUUUCUGGCAUGUCCAGUAAAGCUGUGCAGUUUACUAGCCUCUCUAACAUGUCAUCAAAAGCUAUAUGGUUUCAUGAUUAUCUUUUUCGUGCACAUACCAAUCAAGCUCAAUAUAACAAUCAAGGUUAAUAAAGAAACCAAAGGUCAUUAGUAAUAUUAUUGUUAAUAAUAAUGAUAAUAGUAGUACAAUUAUUGUUAACAAUGUACUUUCAUGCACAUUUUAUCUUAUUUUCAAACUAAAUCUCUUUGAUUCAAAUUUUAAACAAGCCAUUUAUAUCUAAAUCAUGCAUUUAUACAAAUUUAUUUCCAGCAAUCAUUCAUCAAAUUAAAAUUAUAAAAAAAGAGUAAUCAUUCAUCAAGUUCUAGUAACAUCUCUGUCAUGUGAGCGCGUUUGUUAUUUUUUCAUGGGAUGCAGACAACAUCUCCCCCACUAACUUUUCUGGCAUGUCCUAAAAAACUAAGCAGUUUGCCAUCCUCUCUAACAUGUCAUCAAAAGUUAUAGGGUAUCAUGAUUAUCUUUUUAAUGCACAUGCCAAUCAAGGUCAAUAACAAUCAAGGUUAAUAAAAAAAACCAAAGGUCAGUAGUAAUAUGACUGUUAAUAAUAAUGAUAAUAUUAGUACUAUUAUUGUUAACAAUGUCUCCUUGCAUAUGUUUCAUGGACAAUAUAUCUUAUGUUCAAUAUUAAUCUCUUUGAUUCAUAUUUUAAACAAGCGAUUUAUAUCUAAAUUUUGCAUUUAUAAAAAUUUAUUUUCUGCAAUCAUUUAUCAAAUUAAAAUUAUAAAAUAAAAAAUUGAGUAAUCAUUCAUCAAGUUCUAGUAACCUCUCUCUCAAGUGAGUAUGUUUGUUUUUUUUUUUCUUGUGAUGCAGACAACAUCUCCCCCAUUAACAUUUUUGGCAUGUCCUAAAAAACUAUGUUGUUUUCCAUCCAUUCCGACAUUACAUGGAAAGUUGUGCGGUUUCAUGAUUAUGUUUUUGGUGCACAUAUCAAUCAAGGUCAAUAACAAUCAAGGUUAAUAAAGAAACCAAAGGUCAUUAGUAAUAUUACUGUUAAUAAUAAUGAUAAUAAUAGUACUAUUAUUAUUAACAAUGUUUCCUUGCAUAUGUUUCAUAGACAAUAUAUCUUAUAUUUAAUCUAAAUCUCUUUGAUUCAUCUUUUAAACAAGUCAUUUAUAUCUAAAUCGUGCAUUUAUAAACAUUUAUUUCCUGCAAUCAUUCAUCAAAUUAAAAUUAUAGAAUAAAAAAAAGGAUUAAUCAUUCAUCAAGUUCCAGUAACUUCUCUGUCAUGUGAGCGUGUUUGUUUUUUUUUGUGGGACGCAGACAACAUCUCCCCCACUAACAUUUCUGGCAUGUCCUAAAAAAGUGUGCAAUUUUCCAUCCUCUCUAACAUAUCAUGGAAAAGCUGUGCGGUUUCAUGAUUGUCUUUUGGUGUAUAUGUCAAUCAUGGUAAAUAACAAUCAAGGUUAAUAAAGAAACCAAAGGUUAUUAGUAAUAUUUUUGUUAAUAAUAAUGAUAAUACUAGUACAAUUAUUAUUAACAAUUUGUCCUUACAUAUCUUUCAUGGAUAUUUUAUCUUAUUUUCAAACUAAAUCUCUUUGAUUCAUAUUUUAAACAAGCCAUUUAUAUCUAAAUCUUGCUUUUAUUUUAAUUUAUAUCCUGCAAUCAUUCAUCAAAUUAAAAUUAUAUAUAUAUAUAUAUAUAUAAAGAGUAAACAUUAAUCAAAUUCUAGUAACCUCUCUCUAAUGUGAGUGCGUUUGUUAUUUUUUUCUGGGAUGCAGACAACAUCUCCCCCACUAACGUUUCUGACAUGUCUUAAAAAUCUUAGAAGUUUGCCAUCCUCUCUGACAUGUCAUCAAAAGCUGUAGGGUAUCAUGAUUAUCUUUUUAAUGCACAUGCCAAUCAAGGUCAAUAACAAUCAAGGUUAAUAAAAAAACCAAAAGUCAUUAGUAAUAUUACUCUUAAUAAUAAUGAUAAUAGUUGUACUAUUAUUAUUAACAAUGUUUCCUUGCAUAUGUUUCAUAGACAAUAUAUUUUAUGUUCAUUCUAAAUCUCUUUGAUUCAUAUUUUAAACAAGCGAUUUUUAUCUAAAUCAUGAUUUUAUAAAAACUUAUUUCCUGCAAUCAUUCAUCAAAUUAAAAUUAUAAAAUUAAAAGGAGUACUCAUUCAUUAAGUUCUAGUAACCUUUCUGUCAUGUGAGUGUGUUAGUUUUUUUUUCAUGGGAUGUACACAACAUCCCCCCACUAACAUUUCUGGCAUGCCCUAAAAAAGUGUGCAGUUUUCCAUCCUCUCUAACAUGUCAUUGAAAGUUGUGCAGUUUCAUGAAUAUCUUUUUAGUGUGCAUGCCAAUCAAGGGAAAAAACAAUCAAGGUUAAUAAAGAAACCAAAGGUCAUUAGUAAUAUUAGUGUUAAUAAUAAUGAUAAUAGUAGUACAAUUAUUAUUAACAAUGUAUCCUUGCAUAUCUUUCAUGAACAUUAUAUUUUAUUUUCAAACUAAAUCUUUUUUAUUCAUAUUUUAAACAAGCCAAUUAUAUCUAAAUCGUGCGUUUAUAUAAAUUUAUUUCCUGCAAUCAUUCAUGAAAUUAAAAUUACAAAAUGAAAAAAAAAAAAGUAAUCAUUCAUCAAGUUCCAGAAACCUCUCUAUCAUUUGAGCGCGUUUGUUUUUUUUUUCUUGGGAUGCAGACAACAUUUCCCCCACUAACAUUUUUGGCAUGUCCUAAAAAACUAUGUUGUUUUCCAUCCAUUCUGACGUGACAUGAAAAGUUGUGCCAUUUCAUGAUUAUCUUUUUGGUGCAUAUAUCAAUCAAGGUCAAUAACAAUCAAGGUUAAUAAAGAAACCAAAAGUCAUUAGUAAGAUUAUUGUUAAUAAUAAUGAUAAUAGUAGUACAAUUAUUAUUAUUAACAACGUAUCCUUGCAUAUCUUUCAUGGACAUUAUAUCUUAUUUUCAAACUAAAUCUUUUUUAUUCAUGUUUUAAACAAGCCAAUUAUAUCUAAAUCGUGCGUUUAUAGAAUUUUAUUUCCUACAAUCAUUCAUGAAAUUAAAAUUAUAAAAUAAAAAAGGAGUAAUCAUUCAUCAAGUUCUAGUAACCUCUCUAUCAAGUGAGCGUGUUUGUUUUUUUUCUUGGGAUGCAGACAACAUCUCCCCCACUAACAUUUAUGGCAUGUCUUAAAAGACUAUGCAGUUUUCCAUCCUCUCUGACAUGUCAGGGAAAAUCUGUGUGGUUUCAUGAUUAACUUUUUGGUGCACAUGCCAAUCAAGGUCAAACAUUCAUCAAAUUAAAAUUAAAAAAUUAAAAAAGAAGUAAUCAUUCAUUAAGUUCAAGUAACCUCUCCGUCAUGUGAACCUGUUAAUUUGUUUUUCUUUGGAUGUAGACAACAUAUCCCCCACUAACAUUUUUGGCAUGUCCUAAAAAACUGUGUAGUUUUCCAUCCGCUCUGAUAUGUCAUGGAAAGUUGUGCGGUUUCAUGAUUAUCUUUUUGGUGCAUAUGUCAAUCCAGGUCAAUCAUUCAUCAAAUUAAAAUUAUAUAUAUAUAUAUAUAUAUAUAAAAGAGUAAUCAUUCAUCAAGUUCUAGUAACCUCUUUGUCAUGGGACCGUGUUUUGUUUUUCUUGGGAUGCAGACAACAUCUACCCCACUAACAUUUAUGACAUGUCAUGGAAAGUUGUUUGGUUUCAUGAUUAUUAUUUUUUUGUGCACAUGCCAAUCAAGGCCAAUAACAAUCGAGGUUAAUAAAGAAACCAAAGGUCAUUUGUAAUAUUACUAUUAAUAAUAAUGAUAAUAGUAGUACAAUUAUUAUUAACAAUGUAUCCUUGCAUAUCUUUCAUGGACAUUAUAUCUUAUAUUAAAACUAAAUCUCUUUGAUUCAUACUUUAAACAAGCUAUUUAUAUCUAAAUCGUGCUUUUAUAAAAAAUUAUUUCCUGUAAUCAUUCAUCAAAUUUAAAUUAUAAAAUAAAAAAAAUGAGUAAUCAUUCAUCAAGUUCUUGUAACCUCUCUGUCAUGUGUGGGUGUUUGUUUUUUUUCGUGGGAUGCAAACAACAUCUCCCCUACUAACAUUUCUACCAUGUCCUAAAAAACUAUGCAGUUUUCCAUCCUCUUUUUCAUGUCAUCGACUACUGUACGAUUUUAUGAUUAUAUUUUUGGUGCACAUGCCAAUCAAAGUCAAUAACAAUCAAGGUUAAUAAAGAAACCAAAGGUCAUUAGUAAUAUUACUGAUAAUAAUAAUGAUAAUAGUAGUACUAUUAGUAUUAAUAAUGUUUCCUUGCAUAUGUUUCAUGGACCAUAUAUCUUAUUUUCAAACUAAAUCCUGUUUAUUCAGAUUUUAAACAAGACAUUUAUAUCUAAAUCGUGCAUUUAUAGAAAUUUAUUUCUUGCAAUCAUUUUUCAAAUUAGAAUUAUAAAACAAAAAAAGGAGUAAUCAUUGAUCAAGUUCCAACAACCUCUAUGUCAUGUGAGAGUGUUUGUUUGUUUUUUCUUGGGAUGCGGACAACAUCUCCCCCACGAACAUUUUUGACAUGUCCUAAAAACUAUGCAGUUUUUCAUUCUUUUUGACAUAUAAUAGAAAGUUGUGCGAUUUUAUGAUUAUCUUUUUGGUGCAUGUGCCAAUCAAGGUCAAUCAUUCAUCAAAUUAAAAUUAUAAAAUGAAAAAGGAGUAAUCAUUCAUUAAGUUCAAGUAACGUCUCUGUCAUGUGAGCAUGUUUUUUUUUUUCUUGGGAUGUAGACAACAUCUCCCCAACUAACAUUUCUGACAUGUCCUAAAAAACUGUGAUGUUUUCCAUUAGCUCUAACAUGUCAUGGAAAGUUGUGCAGUUUCAUGAUUAUCUUUUUUGUGCACAUGUCAAUCAAUGUCAAUACCAAUCAAGGUUAAUAAAGAAACCAAAGGUCAUUAGUAAUAUUAGUGUUAAUAAUAAUGAUAAUAGUAGUACUAUUAUUUUUAACAAUGUUUCCUUGCAUAUGUUUCAUUGACCAUAUAUCUUAUUUGCAAACUAAAUCUCUUUUAUUCAUGUUUUAAACAAGUCAUUUGAAUCUAAAUAGUGCAUUUAUAAAAAUUUAUUUCCUGCAAUCAUUCAUCAAAUUAAAAUUAUAAAAUGAAAAAAAAAAGUGUAAUCAUUCAUUAAGUGGUAUUAGAGGAGGUCAACAUUCAAAUCAAUGGAAAAUUGUGAAGAGAAUCGUGGAGCAUUUGGUGACAAUCAUCUCUGUGACAGUGAUCAGGGGAUGCAAGCAAUUUGAGAUCAACUAAAUCAUCAUUAGCGAUAGUAGCUUUAGAGGGACAAAUGCAAACUGGGUUUGGUGACAUCAAUACCAGAGUCGAUGACCUUACAACCAGGCUUAAAGCUUUAGUGUUGCACGCAAACACGAACUAGGAAAUAACAGAGGCAUGCGUAUGGAAUAACGCCAGUGAUAAACCUAUCCCUGAACUAGUUCAUGCAAAUCAUCAUUGCUAGUAUGACAAUGGUAUUCUUCUGAUAAAGAAGAUUGAGGUAAGGUUGCUAGAAAUAAUACGUAUGAUCAAGAUUAUCAUAUAAAAGUUGAGAUUUCUUGUUUUGGUGGUGAUUUAGGAGUAGAGGAUUUCCUUGAUUGGUUAGUUGAAUGUGAUCGAUUUUAUAAGCAUACAAGAGUUUCAUACUCGAGGAUGAUAAAAACUACAGGGUUUAAAUUGAAGCAUGGGGCCUUAGUCUGAUGAGAUAGGCUAUUGGAAACUAGAAGGCAAUAAUGUAGAAGACCUAUUAAAACUUGGGAGCAGAUGAAGUAGUUGUUGAGAGGUAGAUUUUUGCCUCUUGAUUUAAAAGACCUCUUCCUUAAGUAUCAAAGGUGUUCCUAUGAUUCUCAAAAGUUGCAUGAAUAUAUAACGAAAUUUUUGCUCCUAACUAAGCGAAAUAAUCUGCAUGAAACUUGUUGCAUGUCGAAGCCAAAAUACACAUAUUAUUGAAAAUUAGAGUCCCCACCUAGAAAUUAAAGGAAACUAAGGAUCCUAAAAAAGAUAAGCAUUAGUUCUAGAGAUUCAAGUAAGAGGUUAGUUAUGCUUAAGAUAAGAACGAUGUCACCCAUAAAACAUCAUAUUUUAUGAAAUGUUAUCUUUACUACAUGUUCACUUAAAAUUUUCUUUUUUAUUGUCAUCAAUUAUCCUAAUUAAUUGUUUUAUUAUUUCUAAUUUUAUAAAAGUUUGACAUUAGUCUUCAAAUACAUUAAGAUGUAGACAUAAAUUCCGAAAAGGAAUCUUCAUCGAAAUUGCUAAAAAAUAAGCAUAACUAGCAUUUGAUUUUCACAUAUGAACAUCGAUCCUUUUAAAAAAGGACGUGUCAAUUAAGCCAUUUUUAAGACGUGGUUCCAUAUGAAUAAUAAAAAUCGAAUUGGAAUUUAGCCCAUUCACUAUGGUGAAUUGCAAAACAAACCCGAAAAUCAUUAUUAUUAUUCUAUGAGCUUUAAUAAAACCAUAUUGACACAACCCAAGUUAUCAAUUCGUAUACUUGGAAAAUAUAAGGAAGCAUUUGUUAUAAAUUUUCUUUUGCAUUUUGUUUUUGUACUUUUUUAUAAGAAUGUCACUAUCAAUAAUAAUAAUAAAAAAUUUGGACUUUCACAAAAAUAAAAAUAAAAAAUAUGUACAAAAUUUAAACAUAUAAUUUAGCAAUAAAAUAUUUAUUUGGGUUGAAAUUGGGCUUGAGCUGGAAAAACUUUAAAAAAUACCACUGGACCACGUGGCGCGCAUGCACCCACAUGCUGGCUAUUUCACCAAUCUUAGGAUUACACCCACGUGCCUUCACUCACCAUUUAUAACCUGCAAAGGGAGUGAAUUAAUUUGGCCACCAGCUCCUUUUCUUCUCCUGUUGCCAGGGCUUUUUUUUUUUUUUUUGGUCUCUCGGUGUUUCUUCUCUUUUCAGCUGGGUUGUCGUCGAGAUAGUUGGGUUGGGUUUGAUUGGUUCAGUUUUAAGAAGUGGGGUCUGCUGGAUUGUUCGCGUGAAGGGGGACCUGCCUACUAGGUUCGACAGUGGAUCCUAAGGUUUGUGAGAGGGCGGUUUUCAUGGUGAUUGAUAGCUGUAGAAUGCAUAUGGUGGCCCAGGGCUGUGGGAUUUGGAAAUUAUUCUUCAAUUUUAAAUUUCUUUCACUUCAAAUUAAAUCAAAUUAAGCUAUUUUUUAAAUAUUCUCUUCAAUUGAGACCUUUAUUAUGACCAAAAAAAACUCUCAAACUCAAUUUGUUUUUAUUUGUGAUACUCUAUUAUCAAUCUAAUUUCAAACCUCAACUAUUUUUAUAUUUUUUUUCUUUUUUUUUUGACACGCAAGAAUUAAAUAAAAAAAAUGAAGAAAAUAACUAACACUACUUAAAAUAUAUUUUUCUAUUUUUCUAUUUUUUUUCAAAGUAUAUACAAAAAUAAAAGUAAAAAAAUUGAAUUACAACAAAACUGACGGCAAAUAAGUUGCUUGAUAAGUAAAGGGAUUGAAACCUGCCAUCAGAGAUAGAAUUGGGCUACAAAGGAGGGUUGCUGCCACAGAGCCUUGACUUACACCAGUUGAGAAGGGUAAGCAGCCAUAUAUAAACAAUUAAUCCAAACAAGCUCAUAUUGGCUCUAGUUAUGAUAAAAAUAGGCCUCAAGCAAUUCCCAGCGACGAUAACCAGAAAAAGAGAUAAUCCUCAUGUCAAGCCACCUUUAAUAAAGUGUUAUCGAUGCAAUUAGAAAGGGCAUAAAUCCAAUAUAUGUCCUCAGAUGAGGUUAGUUGGUCGGUCAUCGAAACCCUCAAAAUAUAAUUUUGACUUUACUUAUCACAAAUAAAAUAAAUUCGUAGUAUGAUUUUGAAAACCAGAUUGAACCCAUGAGAAAUUUUGUUUAAUCUUCCUAUAAAAUAUUGAAAUAAAAAAUAAUUGGGGAUUUGAAUAAAAAAUUAAAGAAACAAAAUUCUAAAAAUAAAAAUAAUAAAAUGAUAUGUCAUUAAUUCAGUUCAAAGGUCUAGACAUUCAUUCCUAUAAAUUUUCAUUCCUAUAAAUUUGUUGAUCAUCAAAGUAAAACAAAUAUUCUUACAAUUCAAGCAAAUAAAUUCGAUGUCUCUUAAAGUUAAAGGAAAUCGAGGAGAUUUUGACUAAAUUAAUUAGAUAAAGUUUUCUAAUCAAUUUCUUACCAUCAAACGAAUUUAACAUUGAAAACCAAUUUUAAUUCAAAUGGCAGUAGCCUUAUGAGCACAGUCUGUAAAAUUUAUUCUAAGCAACCGUUCAAAAAAUUCAGCAAUUUAACUUAGCUUAUUCCUCCCUAAAAAAUUAAAGUGAUAGUUGCAGCAAUCAAGUUAACUCCUUUGCUUUUUAUUCUAGACCCUAACAACAAUUAUAGAUUGAAAGAAACUAGAAAGUGUUGAAGAUUCUGAAGUAAUUAAGGCUGAUUUGAACCUGAUUUAUAGGAAAUAAAAACAGAAAAUCAAAUUUCUUUUCCAUAAAUUAGAUUCAAAUAAUAAUACCUAUUUAUGUGUAGUUAAUAGUUAUCCUAAUAUACAUUUGUAGAUGCUGUAUAUACUUAGGAAUCUAUUUUGAAAUAAGAUGAGAAAUCAGAAUUUAAGAAUUCUUCACAUGGUAUUAGAUCUUUAAACCAAGCCUAUCUUUUUUUUUUUCCAGAACGUACCUUCUCUCUGAACUUGGAAUUCCUUCUCUUCUCUUCUCUUCUCAUCUGUCCUGACAACCCUAGUCACUUGAUCUAGCAAACCUGUCCAAAUAUGAAAAACAUGUCUGAAAACACCACAAAAGAAACCUAAAUAUCAGGGUAAUUGUAGAGUUUACAGUCAUCCUACCGACUGAAUGGACAAAACUAUCUGAAGUAGUCACAAAUAGUGAAAACCUUUCUCAAAGGAAAAGGAAAUAUCAGUCAUUUGAUGGACCACCCUUCUAGUCCAGAAGACCCAAAAUUUACACUCUGAGAUGAAGAAAACUCCAUAACUAUGCCAUGGCUAUGGAACUCUAUAAUGCCAGAAGUCUGUGGGCCUUACAUGUUUCUGAUUACAACAAAGGAUAUAUGGGAUGCAGUGAGACAGACUUAUUUUAAAGUAAAGGAUGUUGCGUUAAUCUAUUAGAUUAAGACGAAGCUUUCAAUGACCAAACAAGGUAAUAUGAUGGUUAUUGAAUAUUACAAUACUAUGAAAAGUUUCUGGUUGGAAUUGAACUAUUAUCGGGAUUUUAAGAUGCAGUGUAGUGAUGAUGCUGUAAUUCUAAAAAAUUAUAUGGAAAGAGAAAGGAUUUUUGAAUUUCUUGUAGGACUUAACAUAGAAUUUGAUCAAGUGCGAGUCCAAAUACUUGGAAAGGAAUCUCUGCCCUCACUCAAUGAGGUGGUCUCAUUGAUAAAGGCUGAAGAAGGAAGGAGAAUUGUGAUGCUUGAUGUCCCUAAUAUUGAAGGGGAUGAUAUUAAUAACAGAAACCUGAGUGAUGCCAUGAAUGGUGCAGAAGUGGUGAAGACUGAAAGGAAAAAUUCUCUAAAGAUGAUCUGUUUUGUACCUAUUGCAACAAGACAAGUCAUACAAAGGAGACCUACUGGAAAGUCCAUGGAAAACCACCAAGGAUAGGGCGUAAUGGAGGAUACAAAUGGAACCAGUCAAGAGGACAUGCACACUUGACAAAUUCAGAAGAGUCAGCCCAUGAGUCUAGCACCCUAGAGGUUGGGGUUCAAUAAGGAGGAGAUUGAACGCCUAAAAACGUUACUCAACACAAUGGAGAAACCAUUUGGGUCAUGCUCUCUUGGUAUAUUAACUUUUUUUAUUGAUGGAAUGGAAGAGUGUAAAGUUGUUUUUAUAUAGCUAGAAUAACGUUGUUGAGCACUUGCACUUGUUGGGAGAGUCAUUAGAGACCUAAAAGUAUUAAAAUCCUUAUGAUAAGAAGAUCAAUUACUCUUUUUUGUCAUGGAGUUUUAUCAGUCAUGGACAAUAUUUUUGAUGAACAACAAAAGGGAAUAAACUAGAUUUUUUGUUGAGAUUUCCACAUGUGACUCCAUUAAUGAAGCCAUGAAAAACUUCGAACAUAUUAGGCUUUCCUUAGUUAAGUACUACGUUGGUGACUAACUUACAAAACAAGUUUUCUGUCAGGAUACAGGAUCCUUUGAUGCUUAAGUUAACAAAUAUAAUAGGAAUGUGUGUGUAAAAAAAUAUAUGUAAUGAAUGAUGUAAGUAUGCUUGAGUGAGCUUGAGUUAACAUAUAUAAGCUUGAAUGGCUUGUCUUCAGGACCUUAUAGAUACCAGAGGAACAUAGCUUAUCUUACAGGAAGAUUAUAUGGUAGAGAGGGAAAAAUGAUGAGGAAUAUCUGGUUUCCUAUAAAGUUGACUACUUGAUUGGCAUGCCAGACUUACGUGGAUAGAUUGGUGCUUGAAAGUAAAUCAUUAUCAGUAAGAGCGGCAGGCCAGGAAAGGCAAAGAAAGUUGGUGCAAAGUUAGAUAUAGAUUAGAAAGGUUAGCCUAAAAAGUUAAUAAGAGAUUGUUUAUUAAUGAGAGAAGGUGGUAUGGUGUGUGAUGGAUGGUGCAUGCUUAUAGAGGAAAAUAUUUUGAAACAUGCGCCAACAAGAAAGGGUGAAAGGAGGGAGGGAGGGAAGGAGAGUAGCUCAACUGCUGCUAAGGUGACAGUCUAGAUCAGGCUGUCAAGAUGGCAGCAACCCCUUUCUAGCUAGCUAGACCCAGCCUUGCUGUUGCAGAUAACCCCAGUCUGGGCCGAAAAGGCUCUGCCUGGGGCUGCUGCAUGCUACCCCGAUCUGGGCUGCAUCAUUAUCAAUUAACACAAACAUAAUAAUAUGGUGAAAAACUUAUUCGUUUCCAUACAAUGAGACAGUCAAAUUUUAAUCACCCCAUGCAUCGCAAGACAUUUCAAAAUAAUAUAAGUAGAAGAAGUCACAAAGUUAGAGAAAAAGAAAAAGAAAAAAUAAUCACCCAAACAUUGGCAUUUUUUUUAGUUUGAGAGAUGUAUUUUUAUUUUAAAUUAUCUAGAUUUUUUAUAUUUAUUCUAAUUGCUUUUAGUUUUAUCAAAUUUUAAAAUCAAGAUAAAAAAUAAUUUAAACUCAAUAAUAUACAUUAUAAUUAGAUUCUAAGAAAAUACAUUCAGGUCUGCAUGUUUGAAGAAAAAUAUAUUAAUAAGAAAACGAGGAAUUUUACAAAUAAAGCCAUUUUUUCAAUUGAGUUUAAAUUACUAACUUCUAAAAAAAACCCUUAUAUUAUUGUAUAAUUAAAAAAUAAAAAAGCUCUCAUUGUCCCGAGAUCUAAUAUUUUAAUAUGUAAAUUCCUUUUACCUUCCAGACUCAAUUUUUAAUUAUCAUUAAAGGUUUUUAAAUAUUUGUUGGCAUAUAUAAACCUUGUUUUAUUUUAUUAAAUACAAGCAUUAAAGCUUCCAGAUUGAGAUUGUCAUGUUCCUUGGAAAAAUGCAACUCGGCUUUUCAUGACUUUGAUAAGUGAACCGUGUUUUAUGUGGUGUGGUUCCUCUACGCCUUGGACACCAGAAUAUCUAAAAGAUAAGAUGAUCUUGUCUCCAAAAGCAAAUUUGUGGGAUGGAUUGGUGUGGUUCCUCUACGCCUAGGACACCAGAAUAUCUAAAAAGGCAUGAGACGAAGAAAGGCAUGAGAGAAAAGCAUAUUGGACAUAUUGGCUAGUGAUUGUGAGGCCCCAAUUCUUGACUGGGCAUAGUUGUAGAUGAGCUUUGAGUGGCGGCUGCAGCUUGAAAGAGAAAAGGGUGUAUGUAUAGCGAACCAAGGCUUAAAAUUCUUGAAAAGGGACUGCUAGUUGCAGGCAUAAAUAGUGAUCUUACUGGUAUUGGUGAUGGUAAUGGUGAUGAUGCUGAUGGUUCAUCAAGAUCUAAUAGUGCAAUAUAUAAUUGUCGAUGAGGUAAGAGGAAAUGACUGAAAAUGACUGGAAACUCUUCAAGUGAGCUCAGAUCCAGUAGAGAAUAAACUCAAGUUACUUUAUAUAGAGCUGUAUCCUUUUUGCGGCAAUUGUAUUCUCAUGCAUUCGAUCUCCAUCGUCUCAUGUGUGCUUUUGGAGGGCAUUGAGAACUUGUUACUUUCUUUUUUUUUUCUUUUUUUUUUUGAUAACGUAGGUGUCCGGGUCAGCUUGCAUGUACCUCGACUAAUCCAACAGAUCCUGAAGUUAACGACCAUAUAAGUCUCCAAUAAUCUUGAGAUUUGUGAGACUCGAACUGAUGAUCUCUAGAGAACUUGUUACUUUAAUCUUAUGCUACUUCUGUGUAAAAUCGUGUAGUUAAUGACGCUUUUCUAGUAAAAUGAUUGAGCACCAUCACAAGUGAUUAACUCUAAAUAGAGAUAUAAACAUGACUGCGCGAUGAAAUGAGAUACUUAUUGUGUUUAUUUUCAUUUGGAAAAAAUAUUAAAUUUAUAUUUUUUAAUGUUUUUUAAUAAUUUUUAUUUAUUCAUGUUAAAUUUUUUUUAACAAGCAGCUUGUAUCUUAAUAUCAAACACUCAACCCUAAUUUUCAGCACUUGAGAAUACAAUCUUUUUAACAGUAACAACAUAUUAAUUUUAUACAGUGAAAUUUAAUUGAAAAUUGGAGCCCCUAAGCAACUAAAUAUUAAUUUUAUACAAUGAAAUCUAAUGCAUGUGUGGGUUAAUGACCUAUGGUCAUGGUUUUAAAAGAUGAGUUGAGUCUCCUUUAGGCAUAGGUAAGAGACUGGAUCCUGUUCAUGCGAGUUGACCCACGAGUGAACUGGUAAAAAGUAAAACAAUGUUAUAACACUUCUUUUUAUUCUGCCGUUUCAAUUCCUUCUUUUCUACUAACAAAUAAUGAAUAAUUGUUAUAUAAUCUCACUUUUGUUUGUUUUGUUUUAUGUAAGUUCAAAAUUUAAAGCUGCUAAUCCGCAUGCACAUUAUUGUUUUUAUUUUUUUGAACACAUGGUUUCCCUUUUCUUUUUGUUUUUUUGUUAUGAUUUUUUUAAAAAAAUUAUUUUUAUCUAUUUUAUUUUUUAAUAUUGAAAUGGUUAAGAAUUUAAUUUUGUAAUUUUUUUCUUUUUCUUUUGUCUUUCUAUGAGGUUAGCAUGGUUUGCGAGUUUGUCAAGGGAACCCACGUUAUCCCAAUUUAUGGAUUUGAUUGGUUUUUUUAAAAUUAAACUUGAUUUUUUUAUAGUCUAUUUUUUUCUUAUAUUGUUAAGAAAAUAAUUUUAUAGAAAAACCAUAUUAUUAAACUUUAUGAAGAAACAAAACUUAAAGGAUGUGAGGGAAACCAUUGUUCCUCCAACACUCAUUGUACUGUGGAUUACAAUAGUAAUCCACAAUGUUUUGCUUUCUUAUUUUUGUUUUUUUGAAUUUUUGCUAUGAUAUUUUUUCAAAUCUAUUUUUUUCGAUUUUAUCUUUUCAAAUAAGAUGGGAUAUGACCCCUCUUGCAAAUUAAUUAAAUGUGCUAAGGCCUCCUUUUGAUGCUCCAAUGGACCUCUAAUUUCUGCAUUGGCCGAAACUUGCAAGACUAGCCUAUUUAAUACUUCUUUCAAUACCUUUAUUUUGGACCUUGUAAUUGGCCCAUUUAGAACAUGUAAUAGAUACUUAUUGGUGUUCGUGGGCUGAUCCACAUUAAUUAUGGUUACUAGAAAACCCUAAUUACUCUUUAAAGUUCUAAGAUAAGGGACAUGUUACGCUAAAGGAAAUGUAUUAUCACCCAAAGUAUCAUACCUAUAGUAAAUUCCAUUGCUACCUGUCUUUUAUCCCUAAUAGCUUGUUAUGCCCAAUCUACCGAUGGUGUAUCUACAUGGAUCUACUGUAAUGAGUUAAACCUAUAGUAGGUUUUAUUCCUAUCCGUUCUAAAGUUUUGUUUAUUUUUGUUACUCCCAAUUUUUAUUUUGUUUUAUGUAAGUUCAAAAUUUAAAGCUGCUAAUCCGCACAUUGUUUUUAUUUUUUGAACACAUGGUUUUUUUUUCCUUUUCUUUUUGUUUCUUUGUUAUGAUUUAAAAAAAAUAAUAUUUUUGUCAAUUUUAUUUUUUAAUAUUGAAAUGGUUAAGAAUUUAAUUUUGUAAUUUUUUUCCUUUUCUUUUGUCUUUCUAUGAGGUUAGCGUGGUUUCCGGGUUUGUCAAGGGAACCCACGUUAUCCCAAUUUAUGGAUUUGGUGGGGUUUUUUUUUAAUUAAACUUGAUUUUUUAUAGUCUAUUUUUUUCUUAUAUUGUUAAUAAGAAAAUAGUUUUAUAGAAAAACCAUAUUAUUAAACUUUAUGAAGUAACAAAAACUAAAGGAUAUGGGGGAAACCAUUGUUCAUCCAACACUCAUUGUGGAUUACAAUAGUAAUCCAUAAUGUUUUGCUUUCUUUUUUCUGUUUUUUUUUUUUGAAUUUUUGCAAUGAUUUUUUUUCAAAUCUAUUUUUGUCGAUUUUAUCUUUUCAAAUAAGAUGGGAGUUGACACCUCUUGCAAAUUAAUUAAAUGUGCUAAGGCCUCCUCUGAUGCUCCAAUGGACCUCUAAUUUCUGCAUUGGUCGAAACUUGCAAGACUAGUCUAUUUAAUACUUCUUUCAAUGUCUUUAUUUUGGACCUUGUAAUUGGCCCAUUUAGAACAUGUAAUAGAUACUUAUUGGUGUUCAUGGGCUGAUCCACAUCAAUUAUGGUUACGAGAAAACCUUAAUUAGUCUUUAGAGUUCUAAGAUAAGGGACUUGUUACUCUAAAGGAAAUGUAUUAUCACCCUAAAGUAUCAUACCUAUAGUAAAUUCCAUUGCUACUUGUCUUUUAUCCCUAAUAGUCUGUUGUGCUCAAUCUACCGAUGGUGUAUCCACAUGGAUAUAUUGUAAUGAGUUAAACCAAUUGUAGGUUUUAUUCCUAUCCGUUCUAAAGUUCUGGUUAUUUUUGUUACUUCCAAUUUGUUUGGGGAAUUUAUAUUUAUAUCCCUAUUUACUCCAUAUCAUGACCCGUGAUUAUUAAUAGUUUAUAAAGCCUUGCUAGUGAAUAAUUGGACGGGUCUAUGUUAGGUUCAUUAAACCCAGUUCAAAUCCUAGGAUGAGAUGUCGCCGAACAAUUUGUUUAUGCAAUGGUGGUGUAUGGAUAAUGUCCCGUUCAAGUUCAUUUAUCCUAUAGUACCAGGGUUUACUCGUAAUUUUUACGGAAUAAGAGUUUUGUACCCUAAUCCUAAAAUGUCCAAGCAUUAACUAUUGUGGGUUAAUCUACUUAGGGAGUGUUUGGGUGGGAGGUUUUUUUUCAAAGGUACAACUCUUUUAAAGCACACACAACACCUCCUAAAAGCAAAAAAUACAUGCUUUUCAAUGAAAAAAAAACCACCACACGUCCCACCAAAACACACAUUAGUGGUGAGAUCUAGUGGCACACAUACUUUAGACAAUAUUAGACUUAGAUAUUUUUAAGACUUGUUUUUUUGUUUAAAAUCAAAAGAAACAACUAAUACUUUUAAUAUAAAAUGUAAUGAUCCAUGUUAAGUCCAUUUACCCUAAAUACCAAGAGUGAAUAACAAAACAUAUUUUGACAUAAUUUUAAAACAACAAGGAUGAGUUGUAAAGGCUUGGAACAUAAUAUUAAACAUGGCUUUACAUAAAUAUAAUAUCUUGCAUGUCAAUUCAAAAUCCUUACGAUCUAGAGCUUUAUUUAUAUUUUAUUUUAUUUUAAAUUAUUUUUUGAUAUUGACUUAGUUAUAUUUGGAUGACUCAACAUAUUGAUUCAUAACUUAGUUAUGUACUGCUCAUGUGAAUUGUAUUUUGAUGCUUGGAAAUUGAUUAUUUGUGAUUGUGCGCAAUGCAGUUUUUUUAGGGAAGAAAGAUGAUAACAAAAUAAAUUAUCACAUGAUAUCUCUGGUAAAGAAGUCGUAGAUACCUUCUGCGACAUGUGAGUUGCAAUUGACAUUUACGACUUGCAUGUUGUAGAUUGUAUCUACAAUAAUGGAGGUUCAGAAGUCAUUCCUGACUUACUGAUGGCACAUGCCAGUUAUAAUACUCUCAAUUACACUUAGAUUUUUAAAUAUUGUUUUGCUUGUGUUAUUUUACAAAAUAUUUUUUUUAAGGGUGCUAACUUACCAAAAACUCUAUCCUGGCUAGAUUCAGUUUGUCAUGUUCCUUGGAAAAAUGCAACUCGGCUUUUCAUGACUUUGAUACGUGAACCGUGUUUCCUUUGGUGUGGGAUCGUGGAAUUAUUGAAGAUACCAAAGUUGUGUGGUCUCUUUAAUAGCUACUGUUUUCUUUUGUGGUUGAUAGAGAAGGUUGAGGAGAAAUAAAUAAUGCAUGGGUACGAUGAAAAGAUCUGUCUCCAAAAACAAAUUUGUGGGGGGCUCGCAUAGUAGUAGCUGUGUUUGCAUGGGCUUUGAGUGGCGGCUUCAGCUUGAAAAAGAAAAGGGUGUAUGGCUGGUGGCUAGUACGAGGAAAGGGAGACAUAAGGUUGUAAGGGUUAGAGUUAACUUGGUAAUACAAGAAUAAAAAUGAAUUGUAUGUGAUUCUACUUGGGUGCCGAUUGAAACUAUGUAUGGUGCUGGGGUAAAAUUUGUUUUUUUAGUAUAUUUUUAAAUUAUUUUAAUAUGUUGGUUUUAAAAUAAAAAAUUAUUACUUUAAUAUAUUUUUAAAUAAAAGCCAAUUUAAAAAUAACUAAUUUCAUACUUACAUGACCUUCAAGACUCGGGUUUCAUGUGUUGUGUGAGAUAGUUAAACUAUUGAAGAUAUCAAAAGUCCCAUCAUGUACAACAUUGAUAAUCCACACUUAAAUUAUUGAAGAUACCAAAGGUCCCAUCAUGUAUAAUUUUUUUAUCACACUAAAAUGAUUGGGUCUCUUUUCAAAAAGAGCUUAACGGCUGACGACGUCGGUCAAUGGCUACUUUUUUUUUUUUUUUUUUUGAUAGAGAAGCGUAGAGGAGAAAUCAAUAAUUCAUGGGUACGGUGGAAUGGAGAGAUAAGCUUGUGGGUACGGUGGAAUGGAGAGAUAAGCUUGUCUGGGUUUUUUAUUGUUAUAAUUUUUUUUUUUUUCAUCCAUUUUUACUGUUCACAACAACAUCUAUUUAUAUUACUAGCGUGUUUGAUACUAUGAUAUAAGUUGUUUUUUAAAGUAUUUUUACUUGUAAAUGAAUCAAAAUAAUAUUUUUUUUAUUUUUAAAAAUUUAUUUUUGAUAUUAACAAAUCAAAACGAUACAAAAAUAUAAAAAAAUAUUUUGACUAAAAAAAUAAACAAAUUUAAAAACACGGUUGGACCACAAAACCAAAAAAGGCCCAACAUAGGUAUAAUAUCUUGCAGAUCAAUUCAAAAUCUUCGAGAUCAGCUUGAUUUGGAUUUUAUUUUAUUUUAAAUUGUUUUUUAUAUUGACUUAUUUAAAUUUAGAUGACUCCACAUAUUGGUCCAUUAUUUAGUGAAUUUAGCCAAACUUGACUAAGUCAAAGUCAAUAAAUUAAAAAAGAAUUUAAAUGAUAUCAUUUUGAAAAUAUAAAAAUAAACACGACUUGACUCGGUAAUAUGAGAAUUAUUAACCCAAUGAUUCUCUCAAAUCUCAAACAAACCUUAAAAUAAAAAUCAAAGUUUAAUUCUCUAUAAACAGUUUGUAAAACACUACAAUAUACAAGAAAACUACACUACAAAUAUUGUAAAUCAACAAUACAUUAACUUAAACACAACAAUAUAGCACCAAAAACGCUCCUAUGAAAGUGCGUUAGGUCCAGCGCUGGCCAGACCUAAAUGCUCAUGAGUCUGGUCAAUGCAAGACCCAAAGGUUAAUGCAAACCAAGUAUAAUUGAUGGGAACCUCAUAAUCGUGUGAUCAUGCAACUCACAAUCAAGAUUGAAAUCUGAUCUCGAAAAGUCAAAAGAGGUUUGAUAGGAGUGUAACAUAAUAGAAACAUGUCUCAAGGUAUUAGCACUAUUAAAAUUAAAUUGAAUGAUGCUAAGAAGCCAGUUAAUCUUAGAUAAGUCAGUUUAGUUCUUUCAAGAACCAAAAAAAUACAAGAAUCACUCUCAUAAAAAAGUUGAAAAAUCAGGAUGAUAUUAUUCAAUGACCGCUGAAUUUUAGGCUUACAAAAAAUUUAAAUAAUCUUAGAAAAUAACCCAAAUGGAUCUACCGUUGUGGACUAAACUGGCUCACUUAUAAAAUUGACCCAGAACAUAUACUGAUAAGUCCAAAACACUGAUCUAAACAAGUCUUGGAUCUUAGCUAAAAACCAAGUAUUAAUUAAGUCCAAACAAGAUUUGGGCUAUAGCUGAAAUAAUAAAAAUAAAACUCAUAAGUUAAUUCCUUAAAUUGUCGUGAGAAGAGAAAAAAAAAGAGAAAACAAUAUAAGUCAGAUAUAAGGCUCAUGUACAGCCUACAAUGCCGCCCAAUGAUCCUAGAAACAGGGGAGAAGUUGACGCCCCUAUAGUUUCUAAGAUAGUAAAAGAUUUUAAUUGUAGCUUUGUAUUUAUCAUUCUUUUGGAAGGAAAUGUUGUUGCCUUUAUUGUUCCUCUUUGCCGCCAAUUAAUUGUCCUUCCAUCACUAGAAAAAACAAUUAAAGUUGUUGAAAUAUUUUCCUUGCAAAUCUAGGAAACUUUGCCGCCACUUUGUUACCCUUUUAAGCUUGGAUUCUUUGUUUUCUUUUGUUGUGUAUUCUCCUCACUUGACAUGGAAAUAAAUUAAAUAAGAUAUUCUAAUACAUAAAAGAAAUAAUUAAUGUUCUCACACGUAAUAGAAAAUCUACAAUUAGUAUGGAAUCCACAAGGCACAUGGAAACACACACUAAAACAAGGUUGACCCAAACUAGUGUAAAAUUGGCAGCCUUGCUGUCGAAAGUUCAUGGCCCAAAUAAGGUGGGAUUUGGCCCCUCUUACAAAUUAAUUAAAUGUACUAAGGCCUCCUCUUGAUGCUCCAAUAGAUCUCUAAUUUAUGCAUUGGCCGAAACUUGCAAGACUAGUCUAUUUAAUGCUUCUUUCAAUGCCUUUAUUUUGGACCUUGUAAUUGGCCCAUUUAGAACAUGCAAUAGAUACUUAUUGGUGUUCGUGGGCUGAUCCACAUCAAUUAUGGUUACUAGAAAACCCUAAUUAGUCUUUAGAGUUCUAAGAUAAAGGACUUGUUACGCUAAAGGAAAUGUAUUAUCACCCUAAAGUAUAAUACCUAUAGUAAAUUCCAUUGAUACUUGUCUUUUAUUCCUAAUAGUCUGUUGUGCCUAAUCUACCGAUGCUAUAUCUACAUGGAUCUACUAUAAUGAAUUAAACCUAUGGUAGGUUUUAUUCCUAUCUGUUCUAAAGUUCUGUUUAGUUUUGUUACUCCCAAUUUGUUUGGGGAAUUGAUAUUUAUAUCCCUAUUUACUCCAGAUCAUGGCCCAUGACUAUUAAUAAUUUAUAAAGCCAUGUUAGUGAAUAAUUGGAUGGAUCUAUGUUAGGUUUAUUAAACCCAGUUCAAAUCCUAGGAGGAGAUGUCGCUAAACAAUUUGUUUAUGCAACGGUGGUCUAUGGAUAAUGCCUUGUUCAAGUUCAUUUAUCCUAUAGUAUCAGGAUUCACUCAUAAUUUUUACUGAAUAAGAGUUUUGUACCCUGAUCCUAAAAUAUCGAAGCAUUAACUAUUAUGGGUUAAUCUACUUAGUGGUGGGAUCUAGUGGCACAAAUACUUUAGACAAUAUUGGACUUACAUAUUUUUAAGACUUAUUUUUUUAUUUAAAGUCAAAAGAAACAACUAAUACUUUUAACAUACAAUGUAAUGAUCCAUGUUGAGUCUAUUGACCCUAAAUACCAAGAGUGAAUAGCAAAAUAUAUUUUGAAAUGAUUUUAAAACAACAAGGAUGAGUUGUAAAGCUUGGAACAUAAUACCCAACAUGGCUAAACAUAAAUAUAAUAUAUUGCAAGUCAAUUCAAAAUCCUAGAGAAGUUUAAUUUAGAUUUUAUUUUAUUUUAAAUUAAUUUAUGAUAUUGACUUAGUUACAUUUGGAUGACUAACAUAUUGAUUUAUAAUUUAGGUAUGUGCUCCUUUUGUGAAUUGUAUUUUGAUGUUGGAAAACUAAUUACUUGUAAUUGUGUGAAUUAUAAUUUUUUUGAAGAAGAGAGUUGAUAGCAGAAUAAACUAUCCACUUAGAGAAGUUGAAAACACCGAGUUGCCAUUGACAUCUAUAAUUAGCAAGUCAUAGAUUGUAUUUGCAAUAAUAGAGGUUAUGGCAUUCGUGACUGACGUGAUGCACAAGACUUACAAUACUCUCAACUAUACUACAUUUUCAAAAAAAAAAAUAUAUAUGUAUUGUUGCUACCCAAUUUUUGACCCAUGUUUAAUAAUUUUUCAAAAAUAAAAAAUAAAAAAAUAGAAAUAGAAAUAAAAAAUAAGGGUUUACAUGUGGCGAUAACAUAGAGCAUCAAUGCUAAUAUCAAGGAAGCAAUAUGUCAAGGAGAUAAUUACCGAAUCAUAUAUAAAUACUGCAAUAUAAAAUACCAUAUAUAUAUGAUUUGAUUCGUGCUGGUUAUGGAAAAUAAUCAUACCAUAGAUAUAUGAUUUGAUUCGUGCUGGUUAUGGAAAAUAAUCACUGCAAUAUAAAAUACCAUAUAUAUAGGAUUUGUUGGUGCUGGUUAUAGAAGACAAUCUCUGCAAUAAUUAUUGCAAUAUUUCCUUGAAUAGCACGUACACAGAUUUUCUAUAUAAAUGAAUCUCCAGCCAUAUUAAAGGGGGGAGAAAAAUAUUCAAAAGGGGUUGCAAUUUUUCAGAAAAAAAAAAAGCAAAACACAAAAAACCCUAAACCCGUUUCAUCUUCCUCUUCUGGUCGCUCCCUCCCUUUGAAAAGAAAAAAACAGAGCCGCCCUCCCUGCUUUUGAUUUUCGCUCCCGUGAACCAGCCGAAGCCUUCCUCUUCUCCAUCCAACAGCCCCGCUCACUGCCCCUGCACUCUCCUUUCUCUGCCGCCAGCCAAACAAACCAUUCCCCCAUCUUCUUCUCCCAAGUCAGCCACCAGCGAGCCCCUCCAUUUCUCCAUCUCAGCCACUUACCCCACAGACACCAGACCACAGCACCAACAGUCCCUUCUCCCCGAGUCCAGCUUUUUUUUUUUUCCCUUCGUUUUCUUCUUCCCCUCAGCCGACCAAAGAACACACCAGCCCCUCUGCCUUUCCAUCUUUUUUUUUUCAUCCCUUCAUCUUCAAGUCUAAGCCAACCACCAGCGGCUUCCCUGUUUUUUGGAGAUUUCGGUCACAGAACCCCCAAGCCUCCAACAACUUUUCCCUCUCAUCAACAACCCUCCUUCCUCAGCUCAUCAUCUUUCUCCCACACGCCGCGCCACCAUUGAGGGAAACCAUUGUACACUGAGGAGGACGAACAGCUGACAGAAGGAAACACCCGAGAUCAAGAGGAGAAGAACCAAACAGAAGCAAAGGAGGAAGGAAAACAGAGGCGGGUGCAUCUGCAUAAAGGAGAAGAAAUACUGCAGAAAACAGUUGUUGACAUUGAGCUUCUCAGCCACUGCCACCGUCAGAACCACCGGGAGACCUAGUCGGCUGCCUCUCCACCGCCACCAGCAUCACAGGGAGUGUUCGCCAUCGUCUUCAACAUCGCUUCUGCCACCAGGUUUGUUUCUCCUUCUCGUCGCUGUGCAUGCACCAUUUCCUUGCAUUUCACUGUUCAAGUGAAAUAUAAUUCACUUGAACAGUGAAAUGCUAUUUCACUAGUUACUUAUUGUGCAUAUGCACAGUAACCCGGUUACUGUGCUGGUGCACAGUAACCAGUCCAUACUUGUUUUGGGCUGGAACCCCAGCCCAGCCCAUACUGCUGGGCUGAGUCCAGCCUUGUAGAAAGUAAGCCCAUGCUGUUGGGCUGAUUUCGGCCCAUUUUCCUUUUGGGCCGGGUAUGGCCCAUUCAAAAGUUUUCUUCAAAUAUGUAUUCAAAAAUCUGUGAUUUUCUGCAAGUUUGUAUUUUUGUACUAUAAAGAAUACAAAUCCGGUAUGAAAAUACCCGGUUUUCGUCAAGACAUCAGAAAAAAUAUAAAAAUGAAAAAAUGUUUUGUUUUCAUGCAUACGGCCAAUACCCUAACAUUGUUUUUACGUUUUUUUAUCUAAAAAACAAAUGUUUGAAGUUUCAAAAAUGUGUUUUCGCAUGGAUUUCUUAAACACAACAAAAAUCAUUUUUCUUGCAUUUCUGGAUUUUACAACAUGUUUGUAAAACUCCAAAGGGUAUUGGCCAAUAUUCCAAAAAAAAUAUAAAAAUCUUAUUUUUGGAGAAUUCAUCUAUUAUUCACCACUAAUGUUUGGAUAAAGAAAUCCCUAAAGGACGAAUAUCCAAAAUAUUAUUGGGGAUAAUUUGUUAUUAUUCACCACUAAUGUUUGGAUAAAGAAAUCCUUAAAGGACGAAUAUCCAAAAUAUUAUUGGGGAUAAUUUGUUAUUAUUCACUAUUAAUAUUUGGAUAAAGAAACCCGGAGUGGUAAAUAUCCAAAAUAAUUUUCUAGGAAUAAUAAAUCCGCACACAUCCUUGAAAGAAACCUUGAUUAUAAUCGAGGACAUUUCAAAUUUUUUUACUCCACGGUUUGCGAGCCGUGAGAGUAUAAAACACUAAGACAAAAAAUAGGUUUUUAAAGCACCCUAUAUUUCGUUCAUCAGGGCAGACUUAUCCUAGGAAACUGAUGGGAUUAGAGAACAUCAACACCAUAACAGUUAUAAGGCAAAUCAAACUCCAAGCAGCUUACCUUAGGUAGGGCGUACUAGGGGUGCUAAAACCUUCCCUUUACGCAACCAGUCUCUUGCCUUAGAAUCUCUGAAAGACCAGUUAGGUUUCCUAGUGACCAUAAUACUAGGUGGCGACUCCCUUUUUCACAACAGAAAGACCCCAACAAUCAAUCCUGGCUAAGAGGAUGGGUCGCCGCGACGUCAAGCUCUCGGGAGGGUGCGACAGGAUGGCGACUCCACUGGGGACGCUUGGACUAAGCUUGGUAAUUGCUUUUUUUUAUUAUGCUAUGUGUUGUUUUUUUUUACUAUGAAUGAUAAUUUGUUUAAAAGCUUUAGCAUGCAUCUUUACAUCCUGUCAUACAUGAUGUAGUCAUUCAUCACUUUACUAUUAUUUUCUUUUUGGAGAGCACACAUUAAAUUUUAAGUUAAGUGGGGGACUAGCAGCUUGCCUUAUGACUUGAGUCAAGGUUUAAGUUUGUGUAAACCCCAACUCUUUGCUGAGUGUUUAGACUGAUAGUGAUUGGUAUAUGUGCCACCCCACUAUCUGCUGAACCCCCAUAUUGCCUUUACGAGGGUGAUCACUAGGACAGCAAGAGACCCUCUUUAGAGACCAAGUAGUAAACCUACACAAUGUCUCACAUAAAGGAAAUAGAACCUAUCCUUAGGAUGUAUGCUCCAUAGUAUCUUUUUACAUCCAAACAAGCCUAAGCUCAAAGCAUUUUGAAUCUCAAGACCUUCAUUCAAAAGCUAGCAAAGGGAGAGAUGUUCCAGAAUUGGGAGACCCAAGAAGCUCUAUUGGUGUUCAAAAUUUAAUCAACAAUGCUUGUUUGAUCAUGAUAUUGUGUUGUUUGCCUUUUUCACCUUUUUAAAUCGAGUUUUCAAAUGUCAAUUGGAUUUUAUCCUUCUUUUUUUUAGCUAAACUUUUCGUUUUAAUGAGAUCAUGCAUUUUCAAAAGUUCAUCUUUAUGUUUUUACCAUGCAUUUACACAUCACUUUCCGCUCGUAAAAACCCUGAAAGCGAAUCUUCCAUAACAAACACUUGCACUUUACACUGAGAAUGAAUGGCCGAACUUUAAAGAAUACAUAUUAGUUGUAAAAGAAGAAGAAUGAGAGGGAAAUAACAUUAGGGGAUUCACAAAAAUUAAUAAAAACAACAUGAACAAGCUUGGAAACUCGCUAAAGAGGAGCUUGAAACCAUAAAUGUGGGCGACGAAGAAAUCAAGAGAGAGUUGAAGAUACAGACUAGGAUCACCCCUAAAGAAAGAGAAGAGUUGAUUGCACAACUCCGAAAUUAUGUAGAUGUUUUUUGCCUGGUCCUAUAAAGACAUACCUGGUGGAUAGGGUACCACUAGUAGAAGGAUGCAAACCGGUUAAGCAAAAGUUGAGAAGAAUCCAUCUGGAUGUCUUAGUAAAAGCAGAAAUUGAAAAGCAGUGGAACACCGAUUUUCUAGAAGCAGUCAAGUAUCCACGUUGUGCGUCGAACAUAAUGAUAGUACCUAAAAAGGAAGAUAAAAUCAGAGUUUGUGUGGACUUUAAGGAGUUAAGCCCAAUUAGCCCUAAAGAUAAUUUUUCUCUACCACACCUAGAUAUGUUGGUUAACAAUGCAAUCACGUAACUCCAUAUAUUCCUUUAUAGAUGGAUUUUCUGGCUAUAAUAAAAUAAAAAUGGCACAAGAGGAUAAGGAGAAGAAACCUUUGUAACACUACGGGGAACCUUUUGCUACAAAGUCAUGCCAUUUGGGUUAAAGAACGUUGGGGCCACCUACCAAAGGGUCAUGUUGACUCUAUUUCACGACAUGAUGCAUAAAGAGAUGACAUGAUUGCUAAAUCUAGAGAGGGAAAAAAUCAUGUCCAAAUAUUGAAGAAAUUGUUUGAAAGACUUAAGGAAAUAUAAUUUGAGGCUUAACCCAACGAGGUGUUCAUUCGGGGUGAAAUCUGGGAAGUUGUUAGAAUUUGUGGUAAGUGACAAAGGGAUAAAAGUGGAUCCCAACAAAGUAAAGGCUAUUCAAUCUAUACCACCUCCCAAGACUGAGAAUGAUGUAAUAAGGUUCUUAGGAAGAUUGAAUUACAUUGCCCGGUUUAUAUCCCAAUUAACCAUGACUUGUGACCCAAUCUUCGAUUGUUAAGGAAGAAGAAUCUUGGAAUUUGGAAUAAGAGUGUGAAGAAGCUUUCGCGAAAAUCAAGCAGUACUUACUGAAUCCACCCUUAUCUAUCAAGCCAAAUGGCAAGUUCUACUGGCUGAGUACGACAUAGUAUAUAUGACAAGGAAAGCCAUGAAUGUCAUCGCCGAUCACCUAGCUAACCAUGCUAUGGAAUAUUAUGAGCUGUUAAACUUUGAUUUUCCUGAUGAAGAUGUGUUUUCAGUCGAGGAAGGGAAAUCAGAUUGGUGGAUUAUGUACUUUGAUGGUGCUAUGGUAAUGAAGUGGGGGCAGUGCUAAUCUCUCCUGAUAAGAAACAUUAUCUAGUUUCAUUUAAGUCGUAGUUUGGGUGCACUAACAACAUAAGAGUAUGAAGCUUGCAUUCUCGUUUUAGAGGUGGCAUUAAAUAUUAGAAAGAUAGAUAUGUAUAAAGACUCUAUUUUUGUUUAUUUGCCAAGUGAAAGGAAAAGGGCAAACCAAGGACGAGAAGUUGAGACCUUACCAAGAAUACCUGUCUGAAUUGGCUAGAAAAUUUGAGGAAAUAAAGUUCACCCAUCUAGAAAGGGAAGGAAACCAUUUUGCUGAUGCUUUGGUCACGCUAGCUUCUAUGACUAGAAUAGACUUUGGGCACAAGGUGCGGCCGGUACACAUUGAUACCAGAAAUAACUCAGCUCAUUGUUGCUCAGUUGAAAGAGGAAUAGAUGGAAACCCUUGGUACUAUGAUAUCAAGAAUUUCAUCCAAAACCAAACAUAUCCCAUGGGGGCAUCCACAAUCGACAAGAAGACUUUGAGGAGGUUGGCAAUGGAUUUCUAUCUUGAUGGGGAAACUUUGUAUAAGAAAUCAUCUGACGGAAUAUUGUUGAGAUAUUUGGAUGACGUGGAGGCAAAAGGUGGUGAAGCAAUUUAUGAAAAGAGAUUUGAUCUAUCGAUAUGGUCCACUAGAAAAGAUUAUAUCUAAUAAUGCCCAGAACUUCAAUAGUAAGAUGAUAAUAGAACUCUACGCUAGAUGGAAAAUCAAGCAUUCCAAUUCCUCGCCAUAUAGGCUAAAGAUGAAUGGUGCGGUAGAAGUUGCUAACAAGAAUGUCAAGAAGAUUAUUCAGAAGAUGAUAUUCACCUACAAGGAUUGGCAUGAGAUGUUGUUAUUGGCCCUUCACGCGUACUGCAUCGCAGUCUGAACCUCAAUAGGAGCCACCUCAUAUAUGUUGGUAUAUGGAAUGGAGGCGGUGAUGCUUUUAAAAGUUGAAAUCCCCUCAUUAAGAGUAUUGAUAGACUCUAAGCUAGAAGAGGUAGAGUGGGUAAAAGUUAGAUAUGAAUAGUUGAAUCUAAUCAGUAAAAAGAGGAUAGCUGCAAUCUAUCAUCAUCACGGAUGACCAAAUCAUAUGAUAAAAAGGUCUGACCUCGAGGAUUCCAUGAGGAGAUCUUGUACUGGAGAAAAUAUAGCCUUUACGUGGUAAAGAAAGCGUUCUCGGGAGGAGCUUUAUUGUUAUCUAGAAUGGAUUGAGAAGAUCUAGUUAGACAUGUGAAUACUGACUCUAUAAAGAAAUACUAUGCUUCCAGAUCCAUAAAAUAAAGUUCGGCCAUGAAUUCUCUCUAUAAAGAACCUUUUCUUCAUAAAGCGCAUGAUCUCAUAGCAUUCAAAAUCUUUUACUUAAAAGAAUUGUUUUUACACAUGACUAAGAAGAUGACUCCAUCAAUUCUCAAAUUGAAGGGAUCCAAACCAAAUUUAAACCUGAUAGGUAUUGCACACCACACUAGGGGGCAAAAAGUGCACAUAGGGGUCUAUAGUGAACCAAAGCCCAAAGGGGUAUCAUCAUUAGAACUUCUGAAACACCUUUUAUGAGAGUUGCUUAAAAAAAAUAGGAUGAUUGCAUUGAAAGUUUUAGUUUUCAUGAACAAAACCAAAUUUUUUUUAGUUUUCCUUUUAAAAGUAAUUUCUCAAAAAAUGGAAAAGGCAAUUAAAACAUCGGCAAAAGUAUAAUACAAAGCAACGUUUAAUGGAGUAAGAAAGGGCCCCAUAAGGAACUGGAGAUCUCUUCAUCAAGCAUUAAAAUGAUAGGAAAUAUAGCGCAUGGAGCAUAUUUCAGUUCAAGAGGAUAGGUCGUACAAACAAAUGGAAACAAGAGCUCGAAGAAGUCCACAACGGAAAGAGGGGACCUAUAUUUCCAAAAAUAGGUAACAAAAAACAUGCAUGCUAUAUUGUCAUAACACUAACCUGGCAGGAAAGGUGUGACGAAAGUCAAAUAGUUCCAAGUUUUUGGGACUCGCUGAGAUACAGAAUCUCAGGUCAACGGAACUACGGAAAAGAAUAUGAAUUGUGAGCUGGCACUGUUUCACUCCUCGAGGUAAGAUGAUUUCUUUUAAAGUUCAAAACGGGCAGGUCACCCGAUAUUGAGAUCAUUUUUUUGAAAAAAAAUGUGAGUUUUUCUAAAAAUUUUAAAAUAGAAAGGUCAUCCGAUUUUGAGACCAUUCCCUAGAAAAGGCAUGGAGUUUUUCUAAAAAAAAAUAAAAAUAAAAAUAAAAUAAAACGGGCAGGUCUCCAGAUAUUGAGACCCCUUUCUAAAAGCAUUUUCUGUUACAUCUGGGUAGGUCACCCAUCAUAAUGAGACCAUCAUUUUCCACCUGGGUAGGUCACCCAUCACAAUGAGACCACCAUUUUUUCUGGGUAGGUCACCCAUUAGAAUGAGACCAUUCUCCAUUUUUUUUUUACCUGGGUAGGUCACCCAUUAUAAUGAGGCCAUUCUUCCCCCUGGGUAGGUCACCCAUAAGAAUGAGACCACUCUUCCCCUUUUCCGCCUGGGUAGGUCACCCAUCACAAUGAGACCAUCAUUUUUUCUGGGUAGGUCACCCAUUAGAAUGAGACCAUUCUCCAUCUUUUUUUACCUGGGUAGGUCACCCAUUAUAAUGAGGCCAUUCUUCCCCCUGGGUAGGUCACCCAUAAGAAUGAGACCACUCUUCCCCUUUUCCGCCUGGGUAGGUCGCCCAUCACAAUGAGACCAUCAUUUUUUCUGGGUAGGUCACCCAUUAGAAUGAGACCAUUCUCCAUCUUUUUUUUUACCUGGGUAGGUCACCCAUUAUAAUGAGGCCAUUCUUCCCCCUGGGUAGGUCACCCAUAAGAAUGAGACCACUCUUCCCCCUUUCCACUUGGGUAGGUCACCCAUUAGAAUGAGACCAUUCUCCAUCUUUUUUUUACUUGGGUAGGUCACCCAUUAGAAUGAGGCCAUUCUUUCCCUUGGUAGGUCACCCAUAAGAAUGAGACUACUCUUCCCUUCUCUCCACUUGGGUAGGUCACCCAUCACAAUGAGACCAUCUUGCAUUUGGGUAGGUCACCCGUCAGAAUGAGACCAUCUUUCACCCGUCAGAAUGAGACCAUCUUGCAUUUGGGUAGGUCACCCAUCAUAAUAAGACAACACACACCAACUUGGCUUCGAAUUAAAGGAGAUCGCCAGAUGGGAUCUCAGGUUAACCCAACCACACACAUAGUUUAGCUUUGGUUAAAGGGAAUCGCCAGAUGGGAUUUCAGGUUGACCAAGUUACACAGCGACUUUGCUUCGGGUUAAAGAAAGUCGCCAGAUGGGAUCUUAGGUUAACCCAAUCAAAAAGACAGGUAGCCCGUGAAAAUAGAUCAGCGUGAGUAUGUGGGCAGGUCGCCCGUGAUAACGAGACCAUUUCCUUUUAAAAAAGUGAAAAUCCUUGGAUAAGUGGAUCACUUAGCAAGCAAGAAAGACCUUUUUUUGUUCUUUUUCUUUACAAGCUUACUAUGCAAAACAUUGAGGCGUUUUGCUUCGUAAGCAUUGUAAAGAGGGGGCAUCUGUUGCUACCCAAUUUUUGACCCAUGUUUAAUAAUUUUUCAAAAAUAAAAAAUAAAAAAAUAGAAAUAGAAAUAAAAAAUAAGGGUUUACAUGUGGCGAUAACAUAGAGCAUCAAUGCUAAUAUCAAGGAAGCAAUAUGUCAAGGAGAUAAUUACCGAAUCAUAUAUAAAUACUGCAAUAUAAAAUACCAUAUAUAUAUGAUUUGAUUCGUGCUGGUUAUGGAAAAUAAUCAUACCAUAGAUAUAUGAUUUGAUUCGUGCUGGUUAUGGAAAAUAAUCACUGCAAUAUAAAAUACCAUAUAUAUAGGAUUUGUUGGUGCUGGUUAUAGAAGACAAUCUCUGCAAUAAUUAUUGCAAUAUUUCCUUGAAUAGCACGUACACAGAUUUUCUAUAUAAAUGAAUCUCCAGCCAUAUUAAAGGGGGGAGAAAAAUAUUCAAAAGGGGUUGCAAUUUUUCAGAAAAAAAAAAAGCAAAACACAAAAAACCCUAAACCCGUUUCAUCUUCCUCUUCUGGUCGCUCCCUCCCUUUGAAAAGAAAAAAACAGAGCCGCCCUCCCUGCUUUUGAUUUUCGCUCCCGUGAACCAGCCGAAGCCUUCCUCUUCUCCAUCCAACAGCCCCGCUCACUGCCCCUGCACUCUCCUUUCUCUGCCGCCAGCCAAACAAACCAUUCCCCCAUCUUCUUCUCCCAAGUCAGCCACCAGCGAGCCCCUCCAUUUCUCCAUCUCAGCCACUUACCCCACAGACACCAGACCACAGCACCAACAGUCCCUUCUCCCCGAGUCCAGCUUUUUUUUUUUUCCCUUCGUUUUCUUCUUCCCCUCAGCCGACCAAAGAACACACCAGCCCCUCUGCCUUUCCAUCUUUUUUUUUUCAUCCCUUCAUCUUCAAGUCUAAGCCAACCACCAGCGGCUUCCCUGUUUUUUGGAGAUUUCGGUCACAGAACCCCCAAGCCUCCAACAACUUUUCCCUCUCAUCAACAACCCUCCUUCCUCAGCUCAUCAUCUUUCUCCCACACGCCGCGCCACCAUUGAGGGAAACCAUUGUACACUGAGGAGGACGAACAGCUGACAGAAGGAAACACCCGAGAUCAAGAGGAGAAGAACCAAACAGAAGCAAAGGAGGAAGGAAAACAGAGGCGGGUGCAUCUGCAUAAAGGAGAAGAAAUACUGCAGAAAACAGUUGUUGACAUUGAGCUUCUCAGCCACUGCCACCGUCAGAACCACCGGGAGACCUAGUCGGCUGCCUCUCCACCGCCACCAGCAUCACAGGGAGUGUUCGCCAUCGUCUUCAACAUCGCUUCUGCCACCAGGUUUGUUUCUCCUUCUCGUCGCUGUGCAUGCACCAUUUCCUUGCAUUUCACUGUUCAAGUGAAAUAUAAUUCACUUGAACAGUGAAAUGCUAUUUCACUAGUUACUUACUGUGCAUAUGCACAGUAACCCGGUUACUGUGCUGGUGCACAGUAACCAGUCCAUACUUGUUUUGGGCUGGAACCCCAGCCCAGCCCAUACUGCUGGGCUGAGUCCAGCCUUGUAGAAAGUAAGCCCAUGCUGUUGGGCUGAUUUCAGCCCAUUUUCCUUUUGGGCCGGGUAUGGCCCAUUCAAAAGUUUUCUUCAAAUAUGUAUUCAAAAAUCUGUGAUUUUCUGCAAGUUUGUAUUUUUGUACUAUAAAGAAUACAAAUCCGGUAUGAAAAUACCCGGUUUUCGUCAAGACAUCAGAAAAAAUAUAAAAAUGAAAAAAUGUUUUGUUUUCAUGCAUACGGCCAAUACCCUAACAUUGUUUUUACGUUUUUUUAUCUAAAAAACAAAUGUUUGAAGUUUCAAAAAUGUGUUUUCGCAUGGAUUUCUUAAACACAACAAAAAUCAUUUUUCUUGCAUUUCUGGAUUUUACAACAUGUUUGUAAAACUCCAAAGGGUAUUGGCCAAUAUUCCAAAAAAAAUAUAAAAAUCUUAUUUUUGGAGAAUUCAUCUAUUAUUCACCACUAAUGUUUGGAUAAAGAAAUCCCUAAAGGACGAAUAUCCAAAAUAUUAUUGGGGAUAAUUUGUUAUUAUUCACCACUAAUGUUUGGAUAAAGAAAUCCUUAAAGGACGAAUAUCCAAAAUAUUAUUGGGGAUAAUUUGUUAUUAUUCACUGUUAAUAUUUGGAUAAAGAAACCCGGAGUGGUAAAUAUCCAAAAUAAUUUUCUAGGAAUAAUAAAUCCGCACACAUCCUUGAAAGAAACCUUGAUUAUAAUCGAGGACAUUUCAAAUUUUUUUACUCCACGGUUUGCGAGCCGUGAGAGUAUAAAACACUAAGACAAAAAAUAGGUUUUUAAAGCACCCUAUAUUUCGUUCAUCAGAGCAGACUUAUCCUAGGAAACUGAUGGGAUUAGAGAACAUCAACACCAUAACAGUUAUAAGGCAAAUCAAACUCCAAGCAGCUUACCUUAGGUAGGGCGUACUAGGGGUGCUAAAACCUUCCCUUUACGCAACCAGUCUCUUGCCUUAGAAUCUCUGAAAGACCAGUUAGGUUUCCUAGUGACCAUAAUACUAGGUGGCGACUCCCUUUUUCACAACAGAAAGACCCCAACAAUCAAUCCUGGCUAAGAGGAUGGGUCGCCGCGACGUCGAGCUCUCGGGAGGGUGCGACAUGUAUACCAAAAGAAAUUAUUAGGUCAUGAAAAUGCUUGAUUUCCAUAGAAAAUGCUGGGAUUUUUUAAUCGUUUCUGGUUGAAACGAAAGAAAAAACAUUAGUUCACAAUACCAAUAGCUUGAUUGCCAUAGAAAAUGAGGAUCAUGUCAAUAGUUAGUGGGCAAUAGUCAUCAUCAGAUAAAUGUAAGUGUGGGAUCGUGGAAUUAUUGAAGAUACCAAAGUUUCCACACCCAACUUGACUUCAAUUCUUUAAUAUUUCUUCGCUGUGUGGUCUCUUUAAUAGCUACUGUUUUCUUUUGUUGUUGAUAGAGAAGGGUUGAGGUGAAAUAAAUAAUGCAUGGGUACGGUGGAAUAAAAGAUAAGAUCUGUCUCCAAAAACAAAUUUGUGGGGGUAGUAGCUAGCUGGGUUUGCAUGGACUCUGAUACGGGAGUCGUGUUUCAUGUGUUGUGUGAGAAAGUUAAAUUAUUGAAGAUACCAAAGGUCCCAUACAAAUUCACAAAAAUAUCCACGACCAUAAUAAUAUAUAGAGAGCUUUGUGAUCAGACAAUAUAUAUAUUAUUAUGGCAAGACCACCCGAGGGAUUUCUGUGAAUUCUCGAAAUGGAAUGAUACCGGAAAGAAUUUUUAUUCAAACAUUAAUAGAUCGUGUAUUAGUAGACAAUAUAUAUAUGGGUCUACGAUGCAUUGCCACUCGAAAUCAAGAUAUUGGGAUUGGACUUGUCAAUCGAUUCAUCACCUUUCGAACACAACCAAUAUCUAUUCGAACUCCUUUUACUUGUAGAAGUACGUCCUGGAUCUGUCGAUUAUGUUAUGGUCGAAGUCCUACUCAUGGCGACCUGGUGGAAUUGGGAGAAGCUGUAGGUAUUAUUGUAUUGUAAAUCACUAUCUGGAUGCAGCCAUUGUGAGAAAGUUAAAUUAUUGAAGAUACCAAAGGUCCCAUACAAAUUCACAAAAAUAUCCACGACCAUAAUAAUAUAUAGAGAUCUUUUAGUUCAAAAUGAUCAAUAUGUAGAAUCAGAACAAGUGAUUGCUGAAAUUCGCUCGGGAACAUACACUUUGAAUUUUACAGAGAGGGUUCGAAAACAUAUUUAUUCUGAUUCAGAAGGAGAAAUGCACUGGAGUACUGAUGUAUACCAUGCAUCUGAAUUUACAUAUAGUAAUGUCCAUCUUUUACCAAAAACAAGCCAUUUAUGGAUAUUGUCAGGGGGUUCGUGCAGAUCCAGUAUAGUCUCGUUUUCACUACACAAGGAUCAAGAUCAAAUAAACGUUCAUUCUCUUUCUGUCGAAAGAGGAUAUAUUUCUAACCCUUCAGUAAAUAAUGAUAAAGUUAAACACAAAUUCUUUAGUUCAUAUCUUUCGAGUAAAAGUAAAAAAAAAAAGUAGGAUUCUUGAUUAUUCAGACCUUAAUCGAAUGAUAUGUACUGGUUUCAUAUAUCCUACUAUUCUCCACGAGAAUUCUGAUUUAUUGGCAAAGAGGCGAAAAAAUAGAUUUAUCAUCCCAUUCCAAUCGAUUCAAGAAAAAGAACUAAUGUCCCAUUCCGAUAUCUUGAUUGAAAUACCUAUAAAUGGCAUUUUCCGUAGAAAUAGUAUUUUUGCUUAUUUUGAUGAUCCCCAAUACCGAAGAAAGAGUUCAGGAAUUACUAAAUAUGUGGCUAUAGGGGUGCAUUCAAUUGUCAAAAAAGAGGAUUUAGUUGAGUAUCGAGGAGUCAAAGAAUUUCAGCCAAAAUACCAAAUGAAAGUAGAUCGCUUUUUUUUCAUUCCCGAGGAAGUGUAUAUUUUACCCGAAUCUUCUUCCCUAAUGGUACGGAACAAUAGUAUCAUUGGAGUCGAUACACAAAUCACUUUGAAUACAAAAAGUCGAGUAGGGGGGUUGAUUCGAAUAGAGAGAAAAAAAAUGGAACUUAAAAUCUUUUCUGGAGAUAUCCAUUUUCCGAGGGCGACAAAUAAGAUAUCCCGAUACAGUGGUAUCUUGAUACCACCAGGAACAGUAAAAACAAAUUCUAAGGAGUCGAAAAAGGUGAAAAAUUGGAUCUAUGUCCAACGGAUCACACCUACCAAGAAAAAGUCUUUUGUUUUGGUUCGACCAGUACUCAUAUAUGAAAGAGGGGACGGUAUAAAUUUAGAAAGACUUUUUCCGCCGGAUUUAUUGCAGGAAAAAGAGAAUCUGAAACUUCGAAUUGUCAAUUAUAUUCUUUAUGGAAAUGGUAAACCAAUUCAGGGAAUUUCUAACACAAGUAUUCAAUUAGUUCGUACUUGUUUAGUGUUGAAUUGGAACCAAGACAAAAAAAGUUCUUCUAUCGAAGAGGCUCGUGUUUAUUUUAUUGAAGUAAGUAUAAAUGGUUUGAUUCGUGAUUUCCUAAGAAUCCACUUAGGGAAAUCACGCAUUUCCUAUAUCAGCAGAAAAAGGAACGAUCCAUCAGGUUUGGGAUUGAUCUCUGAUAAUGGGCCAGAUCGCACCAAUAUUAAUCCGUUUUAUUCCAUUUAUUCCAAGACAAGGAUUCAACAAUCACUUAAACAAAAUCAAGGAACUAUUAGUAUUAGUACGUUGUUGAAUAGAAAUAUGGAAUGUCAAUCUUUGAUAAUUUUGUCAUCAUCUAAUUGUUUUCGAAUGGAUCCAUCCAACGGUGUAAAAUCUUAUAAUGUAAUAAAAGAAUCAACUAAAAGAGAUCCUAUAAUUCCAAUUAGGAAUUUGUUGGGCCCUUUAGGAACAGCCCUUCAAAUUGCGAAUUUUUAUUCAUUUUACCAUUUACUAACUCAUAAUCAGAUCUCGGUAAUUAAAUAUUUGAAACUUGACAAUUUAAAAUUAAAACAGACUUCAAAAUUAAUGGAUGAGAACGGUAGAAUUGUUAAUCACGAUCCGUACAGUAACAACGUUUUGAAUCCAUUCAAAUUGAAUUGGUAAAUUGAAUUGGUAUUUUCUCCAUCAUAAUUAUCAUCAUAAUUAUUGUGAAGAAACAUUCACAAUAAUUAACCUGGGACAGUUUAUUUGUGAAAAUGUAUGUAUGACAAAAAACGGACCACGCCUAAAAUCAGGUCAAGUUCUAAUUGUUCACGCCGACUCUGUAAUACUAAGAUUGGCUAAGCCCUAUUUGGCCACUCCAGGAGCAACUGUUCAUGGAUGUGAGAUGGAUCCAGAAAAAAGGGGGUUCUAGUUAUAAUCCAGAAACAAUUCGCGUAUAUAUUUUACAGAAAUGUGAAAUCAAAGUAGGGGAUAAAGUCGCUGGAAGACAUGGAAAUAAAGGCAUCAUUUCCAAAAUUUUGCCUAGACAAGAUAUGCCUUAUUUGCAAGAUGGAGCACCUGUUGAUAUGGUCUUCAACCCAUUAGGAGUACCUUCAUGAAUGAAUGUAGGACAGAUAUUUGAAUGCUCACUCGGGUUAGCGGGAAGUCUACUAGAUAGACAUUAUCGAGUAGCACCUUUUGAUGAGAGAUAUGAACAAGAGGCUUCGAGAAAACUAGUAUUUUCUGAAUUAUAUGAAGCCGGUAAGCAAACAGGAAAUCCGUGGGUAUUUAAACCCGAAUGCCCGAGAAAAAGUAGAAUAUUUGAUGGAAGAACGGGAGAUCCUUUUGAGCAGCCUGUUAUAAUAGGAAAGCCUUAUAUCUUGAAAUUAAUUCAUCAAGUUGCUGAUAAAAUACAUGGAUGUUCCAGUGGGCAUUAUGCACUUGUUACACAACAACCCCUUAGAGGAAGGGCCAAACAAGGGGGACAACGGGUAGGAGAAAUGGAGGUUUGGGCUCUAGAGGGAUUUGGUGUUUCUCAUAUUUUACAAGAGAUGCUUACUUAUAAAUCUGAUUAUAUUAGAGCUCGCCAAGAAGUGCUUGGUACUACGAUCAGUGGACGAACAAUACCUAAACCUGAGGAUGCUCCAGAAUCUUUUCGAUUGCUCGUUCGAGAACUACGAUCUUUGGCUCUGGAACUGAAACAUUUCCUUAUAUCUGAGAAGAACUUCCAGAUUAAUAGGAAGGAAGUUUAAUCGGAAUGAAUCAGAAUUUUUCUUCUAUGAUCGAUCGGUAUAAACAUCAACAACUCCGAAUUGGAUCAGUUUCGCCUCAACAAAUAAGUGCUUGGACUAAUAAAAUCCUACCUAAUGGAGAGAUUGUUGGAGAGGUUACAAAACCCUAUACUUUUCAUUACAAAACUAAUAAACCUGAAAAAGAUGGAUUAUUUUGUGAAAGAAUUUUUAGGCCUACAAAAAGUGGAAUUUGUGCUUGUGGAAAUUAUCGAGUAAUUGGCGAUGAAAAAGAAGAACCAAAAUUUUGUGAACAAUGCGGGGUCGAAUUUGUUGAUUCUCGGAUACGAAGAUAUCAAAUGGGCUACAUCAAACUGGCAUGCCCAGUAACUCAUGUGUGGUAUUUGAAACGUCUUCCUAGUUAUAUCGCCAAUCUUUUAGAUAAACCUCUUAAACAAUUAGAAGGCUUAGUAUACUGCGAUGUGUGAUUUGAUCGAAAUUCUGAUUUUACAGUUUUGGAAUGAGAAACUGUCAUCUCAUUUAAUCGAAUUGGGAUGCCUUGGGUCUGACAUGUCUCUUAGGAAGAGUAACAUGAAGCUCAGAAUUAUGGAUGUAUUAAAUACUCCCCAAUAAAAGUGGAAUUGGUCUAUGGUCGAUUCAGUAACAAAUAAGUAGGAAUUUCUAGUUGUACCUCGUGAAAACGGACUUCUUUCUUUUUUUUUUCUUUUGUGGAAUUAAUCAUUUCCUUUCUUUUUAUUUUAGAAAAAAAUUAUGUUUAUACUCAAGUAAGUAAAUAUGUCAUGGUUGCGAGAGUCUAUACAUCGCAUAUAGGCUUUAAUAGCAUCAUAGCAUAACCGUCGAGGUCAAGUCGAGUUCGAGACCUAAAAGAUCGAAUGGAAGAAGACAUAGACAAGUAAAUCCCUUGAAUUCCCAGUAUUUUGGAAUUCAUCAUUCGAAGGGAAGUAGACUACUCAAGAAUUUCGCAUUGCAUUUAGGUCGUAAUUGUGAUAAUUGAAUAAAGAAUUUAGAAAUUCUAAAAAAAAAACAGAAAAGAAGAAUGAAUCAAUGAAAUGUUGCUUGGUCUUCAUUGGGAACUUGAGUAAGGAGUGGCUCCUUUUUUUUUUUGGGUUUUAUCCAUUUUGAAAGCAGGAACCCUUUAUUUUAUCUUUAUUUGGUGUAACUACUUGAGACGGAUGAAAGGAAACUUUCACGUCCGAUUUUGAAGGGGGGAGAUCCUAUAGGAUCCUAUCCCAAUUUUUCUUUUGCUAGGCCCAUAGCCAAAAAACCUACUUUCUUACGAUUACGAGGUUCGUUCGAAUAUAAAAUACAAUCUUGGAAAUACAGUAUUCCGUUUUUUUUUACUACCCAAGGGUUCGAUACAUUUUGAAAUCGAGAAAUUUCUACUGGAGCUGGUGCUAUCCGAGAACUAUUAGCCGAUCUGGAUUUGCGAAUUAUUCUAGAUUAUUCAUCGUUAGAAUGGAAAGAAUUAGGGGAAGAAGGACCCACCGGGAAUGAAU
rnacentral:lncRNA from 1 species